rnacentral:lncRNA from 1 species
ACCUAGUGGAUUUGGCCGGGGGACGGUUUCACGCUGGGAACGGUGCUGGGCUGCGAUUUAGAACCCGGACUUUUGAGCCUCUCCUCACAUGGAGGGAAGAAUCCUGUGCCAGCAAGGUUACAGCUUUGCGGGAUUCGUCACCAGAGUCUCAAGAAGUAACAUAUGAAUGCCAGGUGAAUUUUUAUUGCUGUUGCUAAUAUUAGUAAUGUGUUCCAGUUGAGGCAGUACCUAGAUAAGCAAAUUCUGUUGAUUCUGUAUUUUUUACUGGGCUAAACAAAUAGGCCAAUUAAAUCUGAAAAAUAAAGGUGUGGAAGUUCCCUUAAAAAAGUGUGGAAAUUCCAGCCAAGUGAGCUUAGGGUUUUAAAACUCUAUGAAUGAAGUAGGGUGGGAGUGGGGGAGAUUCCUGGGACCCAAAAUUGAGGGUGAGCUUCCUGACAGAUGCUUGGUCUUCCCACAAAAGAAAGAGGCAUAGUUGUUUAUGUAAGGAUGCCUCAGGGUGUCUGGAGAGGGAAUGGAGUGACAACACAGGUGGAUUUGAAUAUCCCUAUCAUAGUUCAAGUUCAAGGGAACCCAAAGAAAACCUUUACAGCUCUCAACGUCAGGGGCAGAUACGGAAAGAAGAGCAGUCAGGUGUAGGUGAAAGUCCCUCUAGGAUGAGUCCCCACGUUCUUUCAAUUUGGGGACAUUGCUCCAAAUAUGACCCUAUCCCCUUUGCGCAGAUAACCCCAACGUCAGGCACUUGGAGGUACAUCCUAGUGACAUUUUCCACUUCCAAUCCAGGGCAGCCAGCCCCCAGGGCCAAGGGCACAGGAGGGAGGGGCAGCCUCUGAGGUCUGAAGGAAACAGCAGUCCCCAGCCUGCCGGCUGGCAGGGAAAACGUGGCACCCGAGUCAGUGGAGAAGGAGAGGCAGGCUGAUGAGGAGGUGCCUGUCUCUCUGAUCCACAGCAGUGGACAAAGUUAAGGCAAGUGCAAAAGGGAAGAAGAGGGGCAGCAGAAUAACAGGAAGUGGAGAGAGGAAUGGGAGAGAAAACAAUGAGGUCGAGAAGCUGGGUGUGCCGUCAGAAGUGCUUGGUGGAGCCCGCAUCACUGAUGUCAGGCUUUGUUUGGGGUCUGCCUUGAGAGAAUGCGUGUCAGUGCUUAUCCACACCCAAGCACUCACACCCCACUCGUGAUCUGAUCUUCAUCCUUCUUCACUUUCCUCAGUAGGAUCUAGAGACCGACCGACACGUUUGCUGACACGUUUUCCUUGACGGACUGGCUUUCCUCGUUUAAACUUACGUUUGAGGUGGCUGGACAUUUCAUGGUAUGAGUGCCGGGUAAUUUUUCUCAGACUCCUAUAUAUCAAACACUGUCCAUAUUCUCCUUGUGACUGUUACUACCUGUCUUUCAGUCCUAUCCCCUGUCUUCACUUUGUCUGCUUUCAGUUCAUGGGGCAGGUGUUGGGACUGUUUUUGUUGUAAGGUGUCAGAGCCAGUGGACCGACUGUAUACCCCAAAGCUCGGCUAGGUCACGGGGGGGGGGGGUGGGGCGUGGUGGUGGCGGUGGUGUCUUUCUGUGGGACAAAGGAAGCAGGUUAUUUUUCCUUGGAAAUGAGUUUUUAGAUUGUGUUCUAAGUCUCUGGCACUGUCCUAAGCACCUUUCGUGUAUUAUAUCAUCUGUUAGUGCUUUAUCCCCACUGUUUCAGAUAGCGUCUGGCACAUUCUAGAGCUCAUUAAAUAUGUGUUGAAUGAACUAAUAGAUGAAGCAGUUCUCAUUUUAUCCUUGCAACAGUGCUAUGAGGAAGAUGUUAUCUUCCCCAUGUUACGCAUUCGGAGGGGUCAGGUAACGGCCCAGUUUUGCACAGCUUGUAAGUUGCAGCCCCAGGAUGCAAAUGCACAGCCUGUUGCACUUCAGUCGUUGUCUUGUGCCGUACCGAUUGGCUCUCGGAAUGGUGGCGGCAUUCAUUUUGCCUGUGUUUGGGGAAGUCAGAACUGUGGUGUCCAGAGUUCAGCAUUGUUCUCCUCAUCCUUUUUUUUAAACAUUUUUUUUUGACGUUUAUUUAUUUUUGAGAAAGGAGACAUAGCAUGAGAGGGGGAGGGGCAGAGCACAUGAGAGAGACACAGAAUCCAAAUCAGGCUCCAGGCUCUGGGCUGUCAGCACAGAGCCCGACGUGGGGCUCGAACUGACAAACCAUGAGAUCAUGACCUGAGCCAAAGUCAGACGCUUAACCAACUGAGCCACCCAGGCGCCCCUCUCCUCAUCCUUUGAAUUCAACUCUGCAUGUGCUUGUUGGAGCCCCUAAAUCCUAAGCAAGAAAGAUCCAGUGCCAACUAGCUUCUUCUUUGGCACAACAUGCUUGUUCUGAUUAAUCAGUGAAUGCCUCUGGCAAAGGAAAACAAGGGCACUGAAAUCACCUGGCGUUUUGGCAGAUGUUCUUUUCGCCUAUGGCUGUACUAAGAUUUUCUUCUGUCUGGUGCGCAAGGAUGAGGGAGGAUGUUGGUAUCUUUUAGAGUGACCCAUGAUCUGUGUGGAAGUGGGGGAAGUGGCUUUUCCACCGUGAUUCAGAGGACCAAGAGCUGCCUGAGAACACACAUACCCCGACUUCCAGUCUAGUUUUCUCUUCGUUUUGCCAUGCUGAAGUAGUUCCGCGUAAUUUAUUAAGAUUGCUAGUGCUCAAGGUUCUGCAUUCCAGUGGCAACUUUUCAUUUUAGUUAGAAUUUACUACCCACCUUUGUUUUGAAAGGCAUCAUGUGGCUCUGGGAAACAGCCAUUGGCAAAGGGCGAGUCUGCUUCCUUCCACACUUCAUAUAUUCUUGUCUUUAUUAUACUUCCCUUUCCCCACCCCCCCCCAUCAUGUUCAAGCUCCUUCUUUUAUACUGUGACCUAAAUAUACAAUCAUCUUAACUGGUGCUGUUACCAUGGUAAUGCUUCAUGGUAGAUAAGGGUACACACUAAAAAAUCAGUUUCUUUCAUUAGCAGUGGAAUUCCUUGUCUUUCCCUCUCUCCCAAAUCCUGGCUUUCACUGAAUGAUGCCCUCUGGUGUUCAGGAACAGGAAGCACAGUACUUUGGAUAGGGCGAGAACAUCCUUUUUUAAACUUUUGAGAAAAUUUCACUUCCAAUUUUAAUUUGAGAUAGACACAAGCAAGAAAGACCUGUAAGUAGUAUAUUUUUUAAAGCAGAAGGAUUAGUCGAAGAAAUUCAUUGCCUGAACAUAGGGCUGUUUACUCUGUAGAAUUCUAGAAAGUUAUGGGAAAGCUGGGAUAUUUAUACCCUUCUAUGUUUAAAAUUGCUGUGAAAAUAUUUCUGUGGGAGACAAAGAGAUUCCACCGAGGUAUCUCUGAAGAAGAAUCUAAUGGAAUCUUCUAUAUUUUGAAGUCUUUAAAACUUCAAAAUGGGAGUCUUUUACCUUUAGAAUGGGAACAUUUUCUUGUUGGGUAGGAUGUCGAUAUAGAUAUAGAUAUAGAUAUAGAUAUAGAUAUAGAUAUAGAUAUAGAUAUAGAUAUAGAUAUAGAUAUAGAUAUAGAUAGUUUUAUAUUGUAAAUAUUUUUUAGUUGUUUUGUUAUAUAAGAAACUUGAAAGUUAUAUUCUCUGUUGUGUGAAUGGUAAUGUCAAUCUGUACAUUAUUUUUUUUAUUUUUUUAUUUUUGAGAGAGAGAGAGAGAGAGAGAGCGAGCAUGAGCACGGGAGGGGCAGAGAGAGAGGGAGACACAGAAUCCAAAGCAGGCUCCAGGCUCAGAGCUGUCAGCCCAGUGCCUGACGUGGGGCUCGAACUCAUGAACUGCAAUAUCAAGACCUGAGCUGAAGUCGGAUGCUUAACCAACUGAGCCACCCACGUACCCCUGUACAUUAUUAUUAAUCACAAAUUACAUGACACGUUAGAAGAAGUGACGUUGAUCUCCAAUAAGCAAUGUCUUCUUGUGUUCUCGGUCCAGAUUCUACUUACGCCAUCUAAUGGUGUCUCCCAGUCCAACCUGUCUCUGAGAAUUGCCUCUUCUCCAUCCACAUAACUUUUCCAGACCUUUAGCUUCUCUCACAUGAACUAUCACCAGAGCCUUGCAUUUCUAACUGGUCUCCCACCUCCAGUGUUCCCCUAGUACAAUCUAUGCCUCACGCUGCCAGCAUGACCUUUCUAAAAUGCAAAUCUGAACAUGUCAUUCUCUUGUUAAAAAUUCUUCACUGUUUCUCAACUGUGUCGGGUAAACUUGAAACUCAAACCCACAUGAGAUCUUCUUCCAUAACUGACCAAAGCCUUUUUGCCAGGUCCUAUCUCUCUCUGCGUGUCUAUAUUCUCCCACUGCACAAGGAGAUAAUACACAUAAACGGCUGUAUAAUGACCGACCCGAGAGAAAUGCAAAAUAAAUAUUGGCCAGUAUAUUUAUUUUUCUCUUCAUUCUCCUCCUCUUCUUCUUCCUCCUCUUUAUCUAAUUUAUUAUUAGGAUAGUAAGCAGUGAGAAACGUGACCCGUAUACUGGCCAUCCCCCAAACUUAGAACAGUAGCUAAGAAAAGCUAUGAUGUGGCUGAAUAUUUUACACUCUGUAUCUCAUUUAAUCUCCCACAGUCAGGCACACUGCGUCAUAUGUUCUGGGUACAUGUAUAUGUUAGUUGUUUCGAUACGCAUAGUCGAAAUAAGAAUAGUGCCAUUUCUGGCACUUGAUCGUUAUAGCAAAGUGCUUGGGACGUGAAAACACAGGUUUUUCAUUUUCUGUGGGGUUGGCUGAAUUGUGUUCUUGGAUAGGAAACUGCACUGUUUACAAAAGGCUUGGCCUGUGGAAGGGUCAGGCAACUUGCACGAUAUUAACCGAUGCUGCUGGUAGAGCCGCAUCUGGACCUUCCCAGGGAGGCCCAGGAGAUCUGAGAGCGGAACAGAGGCGUAAUUUUAUAAACACGUAAGUUUCAAAUGGAUUGGAAAUGUGGAGCUUCGUGUUUUCCCAAUGUUUUCAGGAGCAAUAUGGAACUUCAUCAGUAUGCAUCGUCUCCCAGUCUCUUUCAUUGUGGCAAGGGAGCUAGAAGCAUCUCCCUAGGCCACACACCGGUUGAAAUUCACGUGUCCAGCCUGUGGAUAAUGUGCAACAGUAGCAACAACAAAAUUGUAAGAUGUGGAUUCUUCCGGUCAGUGGAAACGAAUAGCAGAAAGUGUGGGAGCAGAGCCUUAUUUUCAAGUUCUCUAUUUCCUAGGUUCAGAAAAGUCACAAAACCAGGACUUCUCUUUUCUGAACCCUGUAUACUCUUGAGUGUUGAUCUCAUGGUAGAACUGGGGGUCACGUUUUCAGCAGUCGGUAUUCAAGAAUUACCAGGUAGAGUGCUCUGAAUAACCAGACUCUGAAGAACUUAAACCAUGACUGUCUCCUAAAAAGGCCUUUCAAAGAUUAAUUCACGGGUUGAGUCAUUGAAAUACCGUUUCUCUUGCAAAGAUUUUAAGGUAGCAGGUUUGGGGUCAGGCCCAGGAAUCUAUUUUUUAACUAGCAUCUCAGGUGAUACUGAGGUGGGUGAUCACAGGGCCACAUUUUAAAUGAUACCACAUUGAAGAAUUGGCAUCUGAAGGGCAUGGAAGAGGAACAAAGAUAGGAUGCUCAACCUGAACGUCACCGCCCUGACGUCGUACGAGUUGUGGCCAGAGACUUUGAUUUUCUUUUAUCAUCAGUAGAUAAAUAACUACUCGGGAGGGCAGCCAUAGGGAAAGAUGCUUCUCUUCCAUUUCACUGGCCCUGUACCUGUUUAUCGAGAGGGGCACAGACCCCACAUGUGUUAUGUUAACUCAGACCUGGCCAUUUAAGACGUAAGCACUUGAUUUCGUUUCUCUGCUUUGCUUCACUGGUUCCCCAUCACAAUUCCUCUCAUUCUCCCUGCCAUCUUCCUGGGAAGAUUUCUUCAUUAUUCCAGAGCUCCUCUGUAGCUCUCUCCUAUCUGGUUUUCUGACCAAGUUUCCAUUACUAAGCCACCCAGGCCAACCACCUGGCCCUCAUUCUCUCUUCCUCUCGCAGCCCUGGAGGAGGUGUUAAGAGGGAGGGAAUUGUCUUAAAUGUUAAUGGCCAUACAUUUCACUGUUAACUGGCUCCAAAUGGUGGUGCCCUGUCAUGAUCCUCAGUAACAGACUGAUCUAGCAUAUAUAACCCAUCCUAUAGGAACAGGAAAGUUGUAAUGAUUUUUCUUCAUGUUUUUGCUCACCCUUGGUCAUGAACUUUAAUGACCACUUUUGGUCACCUCUUUAAUAAAGCAAAGAGCUUUAUUGCCUUGCCUCCCCAACUAUGCCAAGCCAGUAAACAAGAUGGAAUAAUAUAGGAAGACCAGCCUAUUAUUUCUUGACUGUUUAACCACUGGGGAGAUCUUUAGGAGGAGUGCGAUGGGGAGUUAAAGAAUUACAAGAAGACUGAUUUCUCCCCCUCUUCAUAAAAUCCAAGCAUAGUCUAAAUUUGAUUGGUAGAGAGAAGAACGUACAAUCGGAUAUUGUGGGACACAAUGAAGAUUUUCUCAGAGACUGUGCCUUGCUCGUCACCUGCUCCAGAGAGAAAAGGCUCCUACCAUAUAACCAGCAUAAAAAUAGAAAAUGAUAGGAAAACCCUACUUGACUGUGCUCUUUAGAGAGCAUCAGGACACUUGGUUUCAUUUUAGGGACAAGAUAAAGAGCAGCCCCAGGGCCAAAGUGUUUCCCAGAUCUGGCCGCUAGUUUCUUGCUUCUUCCUCAAAAUUACUUUUCUGUCAGAUUUUAUCAGUGGAGUGGGCAAUUAUGUCCUCAUGUAAGCCUCAACGUUACAAACUUGUUUUUCUCCCCUUGUACUGUGUGUUGGGAAUACUGGAGGCAAGGAGUGGUGGAUGAUGUAGUUUAAUUUCUGUUGUCUUGGCCAAUGGAUGUCACUCGAAGGUAAACAAGGAGUCAGACUUUUGCUUUGAUUUUAAAGUGAGCGUGACUGGAUAUUUCCAUGUGAGGGAAAAUUUCAAAUUUUGGGCGAGAUACAUUUCUGUGACCAUCAUAACCACAACAAAAACUAGGAAACAACAGCCACUCUUUCUUAGGUACCAACCAAGUUUUAGGACCCAUGCCCUUUCUUUACGUAUAUCAUUCCUAUACUUCAUGCCCUAUGUGUUAGAUGUUUGCUAUUUGUUUUUUUCUCUGUAAGUCCAGAAGCUGGAGCUCGUUGACACAGAAAAGUUUGUUCUAGGUCUUAGAGGGAGUUUGUUGCCACAGGCAUCAGUCUCCUACCUGAUGUCAAAGAACAGUUUAAAAUUUGUUUUGUUUUGUUUUACUAUGCCAUAAGCAGGGUUGUUUUCUUUUUUAAUGAAGAAUGGCUCAUUCUAUCAUUUGGCAUCUAGUUUCAAUAAUAAAGCAAAAGAAAAAGAGGGAGAAGAGAAAAAGACAGAGAGGCACAUCACACUUCGAGUCUUGAGUUAGUGUUUAGGAAAGAGAAUCAUGAAAACCAAGUUUAUGUUCGAGGAAUUGGUCUCAGGUGAGAUUCAGAAUGUGUUGUGGCUACUUACCACUUGGCUUAGUCUAAUUCUAGGCUUCAGUUUGAAAAUGCUUGCUCCUUCCUCGUUCCCGGGAACUCUUUCCAGGCACAGCGGGGGAAAGUGUCUCAGCAAGGCUUCCAGGUACGGAAUUCCUAAGGCAGAUAAUAUGAUUUCAUGAAUAUUUAUAAAGCAUAUGUAUGUUGGAGAGUUUUUGUUGCCUGCAAAAACACUGUGUGCUAGUAAAAUAUUAUUUAAUCUCCUUCUAUUUCGUAUUAUUCUAUGUAUUCCAUUUCUCUGCAAAACAAUUGCUAUUACUUAACAUUAACCUCUGCAUUGCAGAUCUAAAAACACAAAAGGCCAAAAGAAUUAUUUUGAGGGAUGAACCAUGAGUGGAUUGAUUCUAUUUCUGUUUACACUGUCAACUGUGUUUGUUUGUAUGUCCAGAGUCUCCAGAGAAUCAUUAGAAUGAUAAUACCAGCUAAUUUUUUACAAUUAAUUGAAAUUUCACACUCUCACAUUUCAGUAUCAGUCUAUAUUUUUACACACUGACACUUUUAAUCAAGGAUUAUCUUUCACAAGGGACCUACAACAGGGCCCUAAUUAAUUAAAGUGAUAAUUGCUCUUCUCCCUCCUAGUUUGUUAUAUAACACAUCCUUCAGGAAAUUCGCAUCCUUAGCAUUCCUUUUUAAAAUUCCUUCAUUUACAAGGAGAUACCGUGGCUUCUACCUCUUUAAGAAUUUACUAAAAACUUGAUUUUUUUAUUUUCAAUUAAAUUCAAUUGAGUUUUUUUAUUUUCAAGCAGAGAUACAGAAAAGAGGUCAUAUUUGUAUUCCAGCAAGUUUCCAUAUUCAAAAAAAGAAAAGAAAAGAAAACGAUGUCUUUGGAUCGUGGAAGCAUUCAGAUUAAAUCCCAGGGGUCGUUUUCAUGGAAAAAAAAGAGGCUGUCAGGUGUGUCCUCUUUUGAUGUUAACUAGCUCAUUUGUUUCUUUACCCAGUGCAAGUUCCCAUGGUCUUGGAUCUUUCUUUGGUUCCUCAAUCCUCUGUUACUUAAUUGCCCCUGUGUCUCUGUAGCUUUUAUAGUGCCUAAGGUUUGUUAUAUUUUUCCCUCUGGUGUGGUCCCAUUAUUUUAGUAGAUACUGAAUCUAGAGACUUGGCUAUAAUUGGCAGCCCUGCUCUCUUCUCCUUUAAUAGAUAUCGCUCCAAUUCCUGUAUUUUGGCACCUUUUGGUACGGGAUGCAUUUUCAGAAGUAAUUGAUGGCGGCUGUAAAUCCGUUAGCUCAUUUCCCUAAGACUUAGAAAUUGCAGAUCAUUGAAAUCACUGCACCAUGUAUUGGUCAGAUUUUUCGAAAGGUCAUUAUCCCUGUUUGCGGCUCUUAAUGAAAUUAGUGUGACUUACUCAUUCCACUUGCAGCAAAUAUUUGGCUACUUUUUAAAAUCCUUUUUUUUUUUUUCCUCUCAAACUCCCAUGUGCCCUUAGUUUACGUUUGCACUAUAAUUGAAAAUGGAGCAGUAGCAAUAGUUCAGUUAUCUAAACUUCAAACUGGUAUUUUUGUAUUACUCUGUAUAAUUACCGAAAGAUAACUUUUCUUACUGCAGUAGCUUUUUUUUUUUUUAAAUAAACUAUUUUUUAUAAUGGAUUUAGGUUCACAGCAAAGUUAAGGAGAAAACACAGCGCGUUCCCAUAAACUCCCUGCCCCUAUGCACUCCCCUACUGUCAACACCCUACACCAGACUGGUACAUUCCUUACGGUAGGUGAGCCUACUUGAACACAUCAUAAUCAGCCCAAGCCCAUAGUUUUACACCAGGGUUUUGACAAAUAUGUAAUGACAUGUAUCUACCAUGAUAGCGUAAUAAAGAGUAGUGUCAUUGCCCUAAAAAUCCUCUGUGCUCUCCCAUUUAUCCCUCCAUCCCUCCUAACCUUUGGCAAUCACUGGAUCCUUUUAUUGUCUCUAUAGUUUCGUUUCUUCCAGAAUGUCAUAUAUUGGGAAUCAUAGGGUAUGGAGCCUUUUCAGAUUGGCUUUUUUCAUUUCCUAACAUGCAUUUAAGGUUCCCCCGUGCCUUUUCAUGGCUUGAUAGUUCGUUGCUUUUUAGUGCUGGAUAAUAUUCCAUGGCAUUGGUUUUUCUUUAGUAUUUUCAUUAAAUCAGCAAAUGAUUUUCUCUUACUUCUUGAAGAUACCUUUUAGCUAUGCAUUCGAGAGAUAUUUUUUUUUUCAUUUCAUUACGUGUAUUAUUUUAUUCUUGUGUUGGAUUUUCUCUAAUCAUAUAGUUCCAUGUUCUUAAAUUCUGGAGCUUUCUAAUAAUAGUCACAGCAGAACUCAUGUUGUGAAUAUUUUAAUUCUCUUUUUUUCCCUUUACUAUUUCAGCAAUUAGUGAGAAAAGAGCAUUGUUAGUUGGCUUGUGGUUUUUAUGUAACUAUUUUUGUUUUCUUUAUAUUAUAUUUUUUAUAAGAUGGUUUUUUUAAAUUACUUAUUUGGUAAUUCCAGCAACAAAAAUCUUUCACCUUUCUCGUGAAAAACUUAAAUGGUUUGUGUAUCCAGUUUUGGUCAUUCUUCUACUCCAUUGAGUCUGCAUAUACAAGAAGAGGUAAAAAAAAAAAAAAAGGACACCACGGGGAUAUUUGUUUUCCAUUUCUCCUUCCCAGUUGACUUUCCAAGCUUCAGCAGUCAGGGCUCCUGAGGAAGCUAAGUAAAAACCAAAAAUUUACCCAAGAUACUUCCUACUGACCCGUAAAUGGAGUGCUAUGAAUCUUAUUUUGUUUUACCCAAUGGGAGACCAAGCAUUCUUGUUUCUAUUUGAGAAGUCAACAGAGUCCUAAGAGGUUCAUUCAUACUCCUCCUCCCUUUUCUCUAUUCUCUGCCUUCAGGAAAAGUGAUGUUAUCUGAUAGCAUUGAUCUACUCAUUCCCGGUAUUCAGACGUGACCUUUGCACUGGGAAGCUUAUGAUACCCACUUUUUUAACUCGACUUUUAAUGUCUUUGCUUGAGCCCACUCUUCAGUUUCCACACAUAUCGUAUAUUUAACUCCUUUAUAUAAUGAAUUGUCAUUGAUAUUCUCUGGUUUCGUUAGAAGAAACCUGGUCCAUAUGGGCAAGAUUUGUUUUUUUCUUUUUAAAUUCUUGUUUUCAGCAUUGAAUCUUGUGCCCAGAUCUAUUCUUGUCAUAUAACAGAGCUCAAUAAAUAUUUAUUUAAUGAUAAUUUUGUGCCACUAGUAUGCUCAAAGUUUGAAGUUUCUUCCUACCCCAAAUUGUUUCUUCUGUUGGUUUCAUAAUAGCAAGUUAUCAUUUUCUGAAAUAGCUCAAAGAAUCUCUCUUUCUAGGUAAAGAGAAAAAAAGUGUUUUUCAGAAUACAUCUUUCCUUCUGGCACAUUUUCCUGCUUUGGAGACCAACACUUCACCUAAACCUGAGCAAAAUUUUUUAUGGGCUAUCUUUGUAGGUAUAUAGUAGUAUUAUUACUUUAUUUAAGUUCAAUGUAAUUAAUAUCUAGGACCUGAACUUUUAAAGGAACACAACUUGUUUAGUUUUAUGUGGAACCUACGUCGAAACAAAUUUUAGCUAGCAUAGAUCACGUUUGAUUUAAACAGACCCUUUUUCCCUGUACCAGGAUGGAUUUGCAGGACUCAUGAUUGUUUUUGUUUGACUCCAUCCGCAAGAUACAUGACCAAAGAUACAGAACAAUUCACAUCAUGAAACUAAGUACCAUACUGGAUAACUUGCCAUACUACAGCUUUGGUCUCAUGCAUAGAAUUGGAGGAUUCAUUUAUUCGUUCUCAUAUUCAUUCACCAGCAGAUAUUUGCUAAACACUUAUUUUGUGCCUAACACUGCUUGCAUCCCCACUUUCCCCUCGGACCUGACCCCUCUCUGUCAUCACACAUGAGUAUCACCUGGGAAGGAGAGGCCCACAUAUACCCACUUUGACCCUCUCUCAGGCUGCGCGUUCCCCCGGACCUGCACCGCCACAGCCUCGGCAGUCACAGCCCUGUGCUCCCCUGGUUUCGGGAAUCUUCCACUGGCCUUCACCGCUUCUCCACAGGGUAAGAAGAAAAGGCUUUGACCACUGUCCCUGACUUGAGGCUCCAGUGUCUCUCAAAAGGCAUCUCCACUGUCAGGCAGUAUAGAGUAGAGGUUAAGAAUAUGACCUUGGGGACAACUGCAUUGUUUUCAGUUUACCUGUAGUUCCUUCAGCUUCACAUUCAAGAAUUUAGCAAAGCCAACUUCAUCUAGUUUGACACCCUUAUUUUACAGUUAAGGAGACUGUGAUCAAGAAGUACUAGUGGCUUGUCCUGUGGGUGACGACGAGUUCAAGUAACAAAGCCAGGAUUUGGCGUCUGAACAUCCUGAUACCCAAACCAUUGUCAAUUUCAUUCCUUCACCAUGACUACGCUACGAAAUGUUCCACAGGAUUAUUUUUAACCUUAGAGUUUAAUUCCUUCCAAGAAAGGCUUGAGCUCCAAACAAAACAAAACAAACAAAAAACAACCCUUCUAAUUCUUCCUUAUUUGCACGGGACUUCUGAUUCUUUUCUCCACUUCCCAUCGUCUGUUUCCUUGAUGAUUUACAGAGGGGUCUCAAUUAGUGGCGAGAUUCGGUUGGAAAGGCAGAGGUUCCAACAUGAGUGAUUAUCAAAACUUUAAUGGUAGAUGUGACGUGGUGCCAACCUAUCAGAACAUGAAUCAACCAUUGUGUCAUCGUUUUGGGUCCCUGCCAAGAAUCGACCCUGGUUUCCCAGGUUACUCUGAUCCUGAGAGUAGUUGCUUUCCUGCUUUCUGGAAGUUUUAGAGAUCUGAUCUUGUCUUUUUUGCUACUAAUUGCAUGUAAAUAAUUAGGGCUUUCAUUAAUCUUUGCAGUAUCUAUUUGGACUGAUAUUUUUUUUUAUUUUCAUUUUAUUUUUUAUUUUUUUUAAUGUUUAUUUAUUUUUGAGAGACAGAGAGAGACAGAGCAUAAACAGGGGAGGGACAGAGAGAGAGAGGGAGACACAGAAUCCCAGGCAGGUCCCAGGCUCUGAGCUGUCAGCACAGAGCACGAUGUGGGACUCGAACUCACAAACCGUGAGAUCGUGACCUGAGCCGAAGUCGGCGCUUAACCGAUGGAGCCACCCAGGUGCCCCAGGACCGAUAGGGUUUUUUAAAUACUGUUGAUGCUUGUAAGAAGAUAACAACUCAGCCUUUUAACUUUACAUAAUAAGGAAUAAUUGAAAACAAAUUGCACAAUGUAUUUGUUCCUUGAGAUGUAGGACAUCUUUUUUAAAAAGCAGAGGGAAGUAUAAUGGAUGAAGCCUUUUAGAAAACAAGGUCAAAAUCCACUUCUUUCUUCUGCGUCCCCAUUUCAUGAGGUCAUUGGGAAGCUAUGUCGUCACCCUUACUGCCAAAUUGACGGAAGUUGUCCGUGGAGUAUCUUUAAAACUUUUUUUUUAAUGUUUAUUUAUUUUUUAGACAGAGAGAGACAGAGCAUGAAUGGGGGAGGGUCAGAGAGAGAGGGAGACGCAGAAUCCGAAGCAGGCUCCAGGCUCUGAGCUGUCAGAACGGAGCCCGACGCGGGGCUCGAACUCACGGACUGUGAGAUCACGACCUGAGCCGAUGUCGGACGCUUAACCGACUGAGUCACCCAGGUGCCCCUGUGGAGUAUCUUUAGAGUAGGAAAGAAAAGACAAAUCGGAAAGCUGUAUUUUUUUGUCAUCUCUCCUAAGUCCUGAUAACCGUAAGCGUAAUCAGUGUCACCACAAAUGUUUUCAAAAUGAAAUGCCCAUUUUUUGUGUGGUUGUCUUUUUUUUCUUUAUUUGAUGUCAGAGGAAAGUGGCAAGGAGAAGCAUUUGGUGGUGACUUGAGGACCUGGACUUGUCUGGGACACUGGGCGUUUCACGGUCCAGAGAAACUCACAGUGAGGUGACAGAAUGCUCUCUCAGACCCCUGUCACUUACACUGGAAUGUGAUGUGCUCCUGGGAGGUGUUGGGGAGCCACUGGCGAAGCUAUUUUAAGAGGCGUUUGGAGCUGUGAGAGGACAAGGAAGUAUAGGACAACAUGCCAGAAACCUCGUUUGUAAAUCCUGUAUUCUCUUUGGGGGUCACUCGGUGGCAAAAUCAAAGAGACGUGUUGCCAGGAAAUAGAGCUGUGUACCUUGCCUCACUAGAAGAGAAGUCCACACUAAGUGAAGAUCUACGAUCAGAAUUGAAGCAUUUCAACAAAAAUCACAGGAAAUCUGCUUUGCUUCGUCGUUUGUCCGAUAUGUGCUCCCUAAGCUUAUCAAUGAGCUGGUGCCAUUCACUGGUACCAGUAAUCCACCGGAAGACAGCAGGGACUUCGUUUUCAGAGGAACUGUAUUUAAGGAGGAUGGAAGCUAAAUUGCCCCACCUUUUAAGAAAUGUUUCAUCCAUCUUCACGUAAGCUUAAGGAACAAGUAUUGGGACGGGGAUGACAGUCCUUCUGUGGCAGAUUGCACCUCCUUAAUGAUGGCAAAAAGGGAGGGACAAAUCAGACCUCAGCGCCUCCCUCCUCCUCUGUCUGAUGGAUUCCACAGAGAGCUGGAGCACAGCUUGCUUGCAAAGAUGAGCAGGACUGGGGAACUCCCUUCAAUUCCACCAUUUCCCAGAAGAGUCCAAAAUUCCGCAGGUACCAUAUAGGUAUAGGUACCUCUAUAUAAAGAAGACAUUAUCCAAACUUAAAACUGGGAGAAAAUCCAUCACUCGUGUCAGUAUCAUUCUCAUCAUUCUACAUUUGAAAGUUUGCUUCUCCAUCUCCCUGAGGUUUUCAGUCCUUCUACAGAAGCACAUGGGAGUGCUUUAUAAGGGACAGAUACUAACACACUGGAAAUACUUGUUUUUUCAUUUAUUCUUCAGCAUUUAUUGCUGCAAAAUUAGUGGCAACCAGGUAUUCUGCUGGACAUCGAGAAUACAAAGAUGAUUAAUCAUAAUUCCAGCCCUUAGGGUCUGUCCUGGGAGAUAAGAUGAGGAAUAAGCAAUGACACACAAUAUAUGUGUCCUAUAAUAGAGGUAUUAGGACUCCCGCAACCACAGAGGAGAAGUGGGACUAACCUAGCAGAGGCUUGGUUUAAUAGAACAUUUAAAGAGCGAGUACAGUUUUACUGGGUUGAUGGGAUGUCUUGGUCAGCUUGGGCUCCUAUAACAAGUCUACCACAGACUGGGUGGUUCCAACAGCAAACAUUUAUUUCUUAACAGUUCUGAAGGCUGAAAGUCUGAGAUCCGGGUACCAGCAGGAUAGGGUUCUGGCAAGAGCCCUCCUUUUGCUUUACAGAGAGCCAUCAUCUUCCUGUAUUUUCAUGUGGUGGGGGUAGGGGAUGGGAGAGCAUGAGCCAGCAAAAUCUUCUGUCUCUUCUUAUAAAGGGCACUAAUCCAUCACGAGGGCUCCACUAUCAUAAGACCUUACUUUCUCCCAAAGGCACCAUCUCCCAAUAUCAUCAAACUGGAGAUUAGGUCUUCAGCAGAUGAGUUGGGGGGGGGGGGGGGGGGGGAUACAAUCAGUCAGUCCAUGGCGGUGGGGAGGGAGGAUCUCCAAGAAGAGGGUACAGCAUGUGCUAAAGCAUAAGAAUGGAACAUUCAAGGUCCUGCACAUUAUUCUCAGUGGCUGCAUCUUAUUCUCAGUGGCUGCACAUUAUUCUCAGUGGCUACAGCAGUGGGUAUGGGAAUAUGGGUUGUUUGGAUCAGACCGUGAAAAGCCAAUAUGCUAUUGCAAAGGUAGAGACUCACCCUUUUGGUUCCCAUGAGCAAAAUCUUUCAAGAAAGCUGAAGAGGUAGUUUUGAUCAGACCGUGAAGAGCCAAUAUGCUGUUGCAAAGGUAUAGACUUACCCUUUUGGUUCCCAUGAGCAAAAUCUUUCAUCCAAGGGAAGCAUUUUAUUUUAUGCCCUGUACCAUUCUGUUUCAUCUGACAUUUACCUAAUAAGGCAGUAGAAAAUUGGAUAGAACCAUGGCAGAGAAGAUUAAUUAGCUCAUUCCAUUGGAUUAUCUAACUUCUGAUGUCUGCCAAUGUCAUAGUGUCCUGUAUUAAAAGAAAGUGGGCCUGUGUAAACACGGAGCAAGGUCUCUACUAUCCCAUGACUUUCCCCCAUUCGUAAUGAUCUGGGCUUUAGGGAGAAGAAUAGGCCCAUUCCUAUGUGUAUACUAAGGAAGUAACCAAGAUGCUGAAGGAAGCAGGAAAUUUAUCCUAUUUUUAAAAUUCUAGUUAUUUAUCUAUAUCGGUGGAGCUAGUUAUUGGCUCCUUCCGAGACACUGAAACCUCCAGGGUGAAGCAGUGAAUAAUUGAAUCAGUCAUCCAAAUGUUUUAUCUCUGCUGGGCAUUAGAGCUUCUAGCAUUUUUUCCAGAAGGUGUAUUUAUGAAUAGAGAACCGAGAUGCUGUCAUGGCAAUCCAGUAAAAACCAUGUUUCUCUCAGGGAGUUACACCAUAGCAAUCUGUUAGGGUCUAUCAGUACCCCAGAUACCAUGAUUGGGUUCCCACAUAACAUGAUUGGUGGGCUUCUGCGCUUUCUGCUGGUUGUUUGGUUAUUAUGUAGGCACAGCUCUAUAACUUGGUAUAUGUAGUUCAGUUAAACACGACAAAAAAUAUUUGCCACAGAUCCACUGCUGUCACUGAUGGAAUGAGUAAUUGCUAAGGGUAUGGCUUGGAAUGGAAAUGACUCUUUACCAAAUAGUGCCAGACAUGGGGAUAGGUUCUUCCAUGUGCAUCGUCUUUCUCAGCUCUCAUGGCUCGUUGGUGUAGGCAUCAUAAUCCCCAUUGUACAUAAGAGGGAGAGAGGUUUAGAGAAGUCAAAUAACUUACUCAAGAUGAAGCAGAUAGGUGGAAUGUCUUGGUUUUGAACCCAAAUGGAUUUCACUCAGAGGCUCGUAAUCUCUUAUAAAAGAAGACCCACAUAGGGGCACCUGUGUGGCUCGGAAGGGUCCGACUUCAGCUCAGGUCAUGAUCUCAUGGUUCAUGAAUUCGAGUCCUGCGUCGGGCUCUGUGCUGACAGCUCAGAGCCUGGAGCCUGCUUCAGAUUCUGUGUCUCCUUCUCUCUCUGCCCCUCUCCCACUCACUCGGUCUCUCUCUCAAAGAUAAAUAAAAAUUUUUUUUAAAUUAAAAAGAAAAAGAAGACCCACAUAAAAUAAUUGGAGUAAAAGAGAGCAGGAUAUAUACUAUUGAUGUUAUUAUUUAUUGUUAGUAUAAUUGAGUGCUUAUUAUAUAUAUGAUAUUUUAAAGACACAAAUUUAUAUAACACAUCUCCACAUGUAAGUGCGUGUAAGCUAUAGAGUGAAUGACUGCACUUUAAUUUAUCAAGAAGCAGGUGUCACAACAGAAGUAAAGAAAAUGUAUCAAAAUAUAUAAAGUACACAUUGGGAGGUCAGAAAAAAAAUAGUAUGGAUUUGAGCGAAUAACCCCUUAUAUUUGCAUGUUGCUUUAGAGUUCCCAAAGCUUGUCACGGCAUUGUUUUAGAGUAGGAGUUAUUGCCAGAUACAGCCUUCGACCUGUUUCUAUAUGGCCACUAGCCAAGAAUUCUUUUUUUUUUUUUUGUUAGUGGUAAAGGGUCGUUUAAAAAAGAAGUAGAAGAAGAAGAAUGUGCAACAGAGACCAAAUGGAGCCUUCAAAGUCUAUAAUAUUUACUAUCUGGCGCUUUACAAACACAAAGUUUUCUGAUCCUUCUUUUUGAAGAAGUUUCACGGAUACUUGUAAUGCUCCUCAAAGUAUAACUAGUUCCACUCUGUUUCAUUUCUUACGGAAGUAAGGCAAGACAGGUGAACCAACAUCACAUCGUUUGGGUUAAGAAACUUCACUUGUGGUGGUGGUUCUCAUUGACAGUUUCUGUAUUCCAUUGUCCCAUAAAUGUACCUAAUGGAUUAGGUGUCUCAGUUUGGCUUCAGAACAUGUCUGCCUCUUCCUCGCUGGGCUUGAUCCCCGCUCUCCUGAAGUCCUAUUUGUGGGUUGUAUAAUGAUAGUUUCAAGAAAGCAAUCUUUGUUAAAAAAAAAAAAAAACUACAACUUACAACAAAUUAUUAGAUCCGUCAUCUCAUUUCAUUUUCACAAAGACUCUAAAAGGGUGAUUGCAACAAGUUGAAGAAAUUCAGAGGUAGCCAUCUCCGAUGACGAUAGCCUGAGUUGAUACAGCUUGAAUGGGGAUCCAGAAUGCCGACCUUCUGUCCUGCCGUGUGUGCCAUCCUUCCUCACAGAAAACCCACUGUGUCACUCCUGGAAAUGCCCUGGAGUGUACAAAAAAAGUUCACUGGCAGCUCAGGUGUGAUAAAUCCUGCAAGUGGGUUACAGAGACGUACACAAAGAAUUAGGUAUCCACACUUUUCUCUUGAAGCAGCUCACCCUCAAAGGACAGAGAAUUGACUGUCAAACUCCAGACUUCCCUGACCCUUCCUGACGAGAAUGAUUCUGUCACCCUCCUGAGGAAACCAAGUGUCUAGUCAGAGGAGAUGAGGACGAAGUCUCUGCUGCUUGAUGUCUGUGAAGCAGUUUCCCUUUGUGGGACACUUAGAAUAUAUUUUUUUAAAUUGUAGUUGGAAAUAACCUUGUGAUCUGACUGUGGCCCCGUCUGAAGAGAAAGAUGUGAGGAAGAGAAGUUCCCUGACCUGGGAGGGGCUCUGAUGACCAGCCUUGAUUCACUGAGACAACAGGAAUCUUUGGGAAGUCCGAUCUGAAGGAAAACCACACUGAGGAUUUUUACAUCCUCUGGGUGGGAUACAAGGUGUCUUGUGGGCUUUCUGAGGGGAGCUCUCUGGGACUCUCCGAUGGACUACAGUUUCCUCAGGGCUAUACUAAGCCAUGACUCUGCUGAAUGUGUUGCUUCGCCCUGCCGUAUUUAAACAGGAGAAUUUUACUUAUGUGCUGCUGAUUCCUACAGAAGACUAAAGCAUCAACUCAGAGCUUAGUGCAUGAGCUCCUAAAAUGAACCCUAAGAAAGGCUCUACUGUCUUAAAAUGCUUAGGCGCUGAAUUCCCCUCUUCUGUGUCAUGUCUCCGAAAUGUGCGCACUCACGCCCAAAAUUGCAAUGGGCACAGGAGAGAUGUGAUACUUUUGAGAACCUGCCUGGUUUAAUCCUUGCUUCAGCCUAAGGUGAGCUUCUGCUCUGUGGUGUUGGAAGCUGUGGGAAUUCAGUGAGAAGUAGUUCAGCAGGUUUUCAGACAGGAACUAAAUUUAUGGGUAGGAAUAACCUUUUCCAAGUUACACCAAUCAUCAGCCCUCUGUCUUGAGGGCAGAAGGUCUCUCUGCUAGGGAGCGAAUUCUGAGAAAUGAGGGAUUAGCAUUUCCUGCUCAGACUGCUCGUUGAUGAGCCCCGGGCCUCACGGUUUCCCUUAAUUUAACGUGGGGCUAUGAUCUGUUUUCCUUCCUCCGAUGGGAAAUCAUGAGAAGAGUUCUUCUUGUUAAUACGGUGACUUGGCUUCAAAGAGACGUUGGUAUGAUUAUUCCAAUUAAAAGCGAUCACCUAUUCAGAAAAGAACUGUUCUGUCUCACAACCCAAUUUAUCCUGUCCUCGUUUCCUUCAGAGCUACUGCUCUUGAAUAUUGGGAGAAUAUUUGAUACCGACGGGGAGAUGUGUGCUGAGUAGAAAGGCUGGUGGCGUGAGGUCGCGUGUUGACUUAUUAUCGAAUGCUGGCCCUUUGCAGGUGGCUUUGAGCGCUCGGGGAGCCAUGCCUUCUCACAGAGAGGCGACCUGACCUCAGGCCUCGUUCUUCUUGAGCUUCGUCCUUGCAGCCAUUGAACCUUUCCUGCUUUCACGUUGAUUUUUGCAUCUAUCGCCCCCUUUAUAAUCCUGUGAGGUAGGUGUUAUUACUGAGUUCCAGAUGAAGAAUGUGAGUACUUCAGUGCUGGCCCAAUCUCAACUUCAAGUAUGUGACAGAACCAGGAAACAAAUCAACGGUCCCAACUCAAGUGCAUUGCACCUUUUUUCCAAAAAAAAAAAAAAAAAAAAAAAAAAAAAAACCCNNNNNNNNNNNNNNNAAGAAAGAAAGAAAGAAAGAAAGAAAGAAAGAAAGAAAAGACUCUCAGGACAUCAUCAUUCAAUCCUGCAGUUUAUUCAUUUCUGUAAUGGACGUUACCAGUACGCAUACUUCUGAAUUCACAAGAUAAUUUAAGAAUCAGAAGAAAUAAAUUUGGAAGCAUUUUGUAAACAUUUAAAAUGCUAUGCAGUUGAAGCGUGCUAAAAUUAUUAUUGCUCUUUCCCCAAAUUUAGAUUCAGAUAAACAUUUCCACCUGUUUUUAUUUGGCUUAUCUAUAUAGUACUGUUAUAGGGAUGCAUUUUUUUUUCCAUUUGAAAAUCUUUUAAAAUUAUGUUCCUUGUCUUGGUAGACUGACUGACUUUCCUAUUGGAUCCAGAGAUAUUUCCUAAACAUAAAGCAGACAUGAGAGUUGGGUACCUUCUCAGUUGACUAGGAUUACCCAGUGAAGAAUAAAGAUUUCUCCCUGCCCUAGCAUACCUUAUCAUAUCCAGCUGUUCCUAAAUGUUUUCCAUCAAAGUCCAGCGUGAACCUUAUGAUGAAUAGUUCUGCAUUUUUUUUUCCUGAUCUGGUGUCAGAGGUUAAAGUUAUUUCCCAGAUCUUAAGGAGAUUCCUUCAAAACUGAGACAAAAUAUUCUUAAUCUUGGGAAGAGUUAAGAAAUGUGUAGUUUGCACUUAGAUGUGAUUUCUGGAAGUGGUGACUUGUGUUCUGCUGAGACAGAUUGGGAAGGAGGUAAUGGAUAUGGGACCUAAGGAAAGAUGGUGGGCACGUGGAAUCAGAACUGUGAUAUCUCCUGUGUUCUUUCAUUGAUCAUAUAUCUGGAGAACAAAAGAAGGUUCUGCACAGAGUAUUUUUGACCAUUGGCUACCUUUCAAAUUAAGUAGUUUUCCUUUGCAGAAUCCCCAAAGGAUGUCAGUACUCAAAAGGAAAUUGCCCUGUUCUGCAGCAGUGAGAAUUUGUGACUCAGAGGCAGAAAGAUCAUGAAUAGAAAACAUCUGUUUAUCAGGGGUGUUCUAGGGAGAAGCCCCAGAGGACUGCUCUCAUCCCGAUAGCUAGAAACCAUGGGUUCUGCUCUAGUGAGUAAUAGAACCUUCCACCUUAAACAGGGUGCCUGGUGUGCCACACUGGCUUUGCCCACUUGAAGGAGACUGUGACGGAUGUCUCUGUCCAAAGACCCUGUUUAUAGUGAUAAAGCUGCCCUUGUUGAGUACAUCUUUAGGUCCAAUAAUGCGUGCGUGUGUGUGUGUGUGUGUGUGUGUGUGUAAACCUUAGUUCUUCACCUAAACCUUCAAGAUAAAUAUUACCUCCAAUUUACAGAUAAGGAAAAGGGUGCUUAGAAAGGUUGAAAAAAAAGACAAGGUCACAGUACCUGUAAGAGCUGAAGCUGGGAUUCAAAUGCAAGCCAAUGGCUUUGUCUCUAGAUCCCAAAGAAGUUUGUUCUGGGAAGGACACCGAGAGAAAGGUCAAGCAACUGAAAGUCACCACCUCAAAGAUACUGUCCUUGACUUCCCAUCUAGAAUAUGUGCCAGUCACAACCUUCAUUGUAGUUUUUAUCACUUUAAGGUUUUGUGUGUACUUUGCUGUUCUGUAUUAUUACACUUGUGAUACAGAAAAGGGUAGGGGCGCCCAGGUGGUUCAAUUGGUUAAGCAUCCGACUUUUGAUUUGGGCUCAAGUCAUGAUCUCAAGGUUCUUGGGAUCAAGCCCCAUGUUGGGCUCUGUGCUGACAGCAUGGAGCCUGCUUGGAACUCUCUAUCCCUCUCUCUCUGCCCUACCCCCUGGUUCAUGCUCUCUCUCUGUCUCACAAUAAACAAAUAAACCUUUCAAAAACAAGACUAAUAAAAUAAGUACUUGUGCCACCCAGUCAUUUGUGGGCUUUUUUUUAUUACGGGAAAAUAUACAUCAUAUAAAAUUUACUGUUUGAACCAUUUGUAAAUGUACAGUUCAGUGGCAUGAAAUACAUUCAUGUUGUUGUGCAACUGUCCCCACUAUCCAUCCCCAAACAUUUCUCAUCAUCCCAGAGUGAAACUCUGUCCCUGUUAUUCUGUACCCUUUACCAACUCCUGGGAGCCCCCCGGCAGCUGGGGGGGGGGGGGGGGGGGCGGGGGCUCAUUUACUCUCUAGAACUCUCGUUACUUUCCAGAACUCCAUUCCCAUCUGCCUGGCAUUUCUCUUUGGAGGUUUCACUAACAUCUCUAAUUUAAGGUGCUCCACAGUACAAUUUUGCUGCCUCCUGAAACUUGUUCUCCUUUCCUCCUGCAUUUAUCCCAUUUUUGUCUCCUUGUCUUUCUCAUUUCAGGAAAUGGUACCACUCGCUAUCAACUAAUUUGCUAAGUCUAGAAACUUAGGACUGAUUGUUUUUUAAUAUUUUAUUUAUUUUGAGAGAGAGAUUGAGGGGGCAGAGGGGCAGUGAGAGAGGGAGAGAGAAAAUCCUAUGCAGGCUCUGCGAGCUGUCAGGGCUCAGUCCCACAAACCACGAGAUCAUGACCUGAGCUGAAGAGUUGGACACUUAACCGACUGAGCCACCCAGGUGCCCCAGGAGUGGUUUUUUAAAAUAAACUUUAAAAAAAAAAUUAGCAUAGUUUUAGAGUUAACAGAAAAGUUACAAAGAUAGUAGAGUUCCCAUAUACCCCAUUACCCAGUUUCUCUGUAUUACGAUCUUACAUUAGUAUGAUACAUUAGACACAGCUAAUGACCCAGUAUUGAUACCCAGUUAUUAACUAAAGUCCAUACUUUAUUGGGAUUUCCUCAGUUUUUACCCAAUAUCCUUUUUAUGUUCUAAGAUCCCUUUCAGAUACCGUAAUAAAUUUAGUUGUCAUGUCUUUUCCCUUAGACUCUCUGAUACUGACAGUGUCUCAGACUUUCCUUGCCUUUGAUGACUUUGACAGCUUUGAGGAGUCCUGGUCAGAUAUUUUAAAGAACAGCCCUCAAUGUGUGUUUGUCUGAUGUUUUUCUCAUGAUUAGACUAAUGUUAAUCAUUGGUUUUCUGGGGAGGAAGCCCACAGACCAUCAAGGACACAUGUUAUCAACAUGACUUACUAAUGGUGUUCAGCAUAGGCACUUGGCUGAGGGAGUGUUUGUGAUGACUCAUUCUUGAUUCUUCCCUCCCUUCCCUCAUUACACUUCUUAUCAUGGUCUUAGGUGCAUGAUCUAGAACUUCCCACCUCUCCAGUCUCAUCUUGAGCUGCUCUCUUCUUCAAUCAGGUCAUAGCUACACUCGUUUGUCUCAGUCUCUUGACCAUGAUGGGCCCUUUCUGCUUUAAGGCUUCUGCUUAGAGUAUAUGCCAUUUUCUGUUUCCUUCAUAUAGAAGCUUCUCAUGCUUAGCGUGGAAAGCAUCCUCUCAUUAUGUAGUCUGAUUAUCUGCCACUCCUCAGAAAGCUGUUCCCUGUGAUUCUAAAAUAACGACUUGGUUUACAGGCCAGGUUAGCACCUUGUCUAUUUCUUCCUAGAAUUUAAUGCAGUCAUUUUAUGUAACUUUUAUUUUAUGUCUUUAAUAUCCCACUAGAAGGCAGGGACAAGAGCUCUUUAAUUUAUCACCGAGUCACCAGAUCUUAAAAUGGUAUCUGGUAUACAGUAGAUAUUAAUACUCGGAUGGAGUUGAAAGGCACAUGUACUGGAUAGUAUUGAUGGUAAUUUAUAUUUAGAGAAAUCCCUUUUUUCUUAAGUUACUGAUAAUUGGUGUACUGUUGUUCAUUUAUUUAAUGACAUUUAUCUUUCUUGCUUUGAUAACAUGAAUCAAGGAUAUGCUUUCAGAAGACUGAAAGAACAAGAUUUGCUUAAUGUGACAAAUAAAGGAAAACGAUCACCUCACUCUUCAGUGAGAUGGUAUUGGUCUAGUGAGACCCUCUCUGAGUUACCUUGCUUGGUAGUCCCUGAACCAUCAAGAUUGUACCAACCCAUAGAAAAAGCUCAAGGGUGGGGGGGUGCGGAGAAAGAUCCAUAGCAUGAGCAGAAUGGAAAAUUACGGCCUUAAGCCUAAAAACACAAAUAAAUUGGUGUCAGCGAGUUAAUUUUAAGUUUGAAUUAACUUGAGAAGAGCUUAAAUACCAAAAUGGAGAAAAGUUGUACAUAUCUGAAAAUGUCCAAGGGUGAUGCCAUGGAAGAAAAAAACAAUAUGGUGUUUUUGCCAAAGUUCUCUUACAGUGAAGUUAGAUUAAGGGUUCAUAUCUCUUUGGCUCUCCAUCUUUUAAAACAUUCCUGACAGUAGCACCCAUGUUUUCUCUAAUCCCAUGGCCUUUUUAUGGAUGAUCCUUUUAGACUGGGGAAGGAUAUUGGAAAGAUUUGCAGCAAAGACUUGUCUGAGAAGGUAGGAAGCAAAUGUUAUCCUUCCAUUAUACCUGGUAGUUCUGGAAGGACUGAAUGGGACAGUCAGUUGCCUGAACUGAAAUAAUUUUGCCACUGGUUGAUCAUAAUGAUGUAGAGUCAAGAUAAGGGUGCAAACUCCUUCUUUCCUUCUACUGCUGGGUUGCCGUUUAUGCCCCAGUCACCAGUUAGGCCAGAGUUAACUGGGGUUAACUUCCUUCUUUGUGAGCUGCUCCCUGAUGAGGUCUUAACUUCUUUAAGACGUUAUACUCUCGCAGUCAAACUUUUUGACCACAGAAUAUCAUGGUUCCUGAAUCCAGCCUUGAAGCCAGGUAGGUAGAUCUCUGGUUUCUUGCAGUCUUUCCUAGUAGGAGAUAUAGGCCUUACAAAGAAGCCUUUUAUCUAAUAGUAUAAGCAUCUCAGCUUAAUUUCUAGCUUUAUUAUGUUGAUAGACCAUCUUCCUACCUAAAGUAAAUAGGGGAUGGCCUGAGGGGUUGUGUGUUGACCAGGAAUCUCCAUCCUCCCUGAAAGGAAGGAAGAGGGUGGAUAGGGAGGGAGCACAAUAAAAUAACUAUACAGUCAACUCCUGAACAAUGUGAGGGUUAGGGGCACCAACACCCCACCAUGCAGUCAAAAAUCCAUGUAUAACGUUUGACUUCCCCCAAGCUUAAUUACUAAUAGCCUACUGUUUCACAGAAACCUCACUGGUAACAAACAGUUAAUAUUUUGUAUGUUAUAUGUAUUACAUGUCGUAUUCUUACCAAUAAAGUAAGCUAGAGAAAACAAAAUGUUAUUAAGAAUAUCAUAAGGAAGAAAAAAUACCCUUACAGUGCUGUUGUAUUUACCAGAAAAAAAAAUCUGUGUAUAAGUGGACCUGUGCAGUUCAAACCCAUUUAAUUCUGGGGCCAGCUGGGCCUAAAACACUCUUCUUAGUAAAACGCACUGUAUUUCAUUCUGUUCUUUUAUUUCUAUAUCUUCAAAUUUUCUUUCUCUGUUUUUUUUUCUGGCUAUAUGCCCACUGUUCUUGACUCUUAACCAAUUUAUCCUACCUUUUCUCAAUAGACAAAGCCAGUCUUCCCACCUCCUUGUCUCUUCUUGGUUCUAUCAUCAUUGAAACUGUGAUCAGCUUGGAGGUGACACCCUUCAAUAUAAACCAUUAUCUAAAAUUCUAGUAGGUUACAAAGUGUUUUAUAAUGGCAGAAACAAAAGUAUCUGAUCUCAAAAUAUCCUUCCUGACCACACUCUCUGUAGAAUGAUACCAAUGAUUAUAUCAUGAUCAUCGUAAUAGAUAUAUAAAGGGUAGCAUAUGAAUAAGAACAAUCCCAAAGGAUCUACAGAAAAUGCAAUAUUGAUUAUCUCUCAGAAAAAAACAUAAUGAACGUUCACUUUAUAUUUUUUAGAGUUCUUUUUUAAUUUUUACAAUGUGUAUGGAUUUACUUUCAAUCAGAAAAAAGGCUCUCAAUAUUUGCCAGCUAUAAACAGUAUGUAAGCUAUUAUAUUCAAGAAGCAUCCAACACUUAGCUGUGGCCACCUAUCAAUCACCAAGAAUUCUUCAGAAAGGACAGUAUUUGUUCAACAGGGCCUGAUUGUCAUUGUUGUCAAGUAGGGGGAUAAGGCAAAGGAACAAACUGAAGGCUGUCACCGAAUGGGCUUUACAUUUGCGCUUCAUCUUCUUAAAUUGUUUUUAUUUUUUGAGUCAGUAUUGUGUAAACUCAUACAGUGCUUUGGAAUAUGGAGGUAUCUCUUGGUACCUUAGAGCUGGAAAUUUUUUCUAGGAUCGGCAAAGGAAAUUAGGGCAGAAUAUUUUAUCUGCGUGGAUUCAAAUAAUUCCUGGGAAUAAUAAUAUAUUUUCAUAAUGUUACCUAAUUAUAUAAAAUAUGUUCACAACAUUAUUCUUUAUUUGAUCUUCACAAUGGGCCCGUGGGUAGAAAUAUAAAGCUGCGUACUUAAAAUAGGCCUCAUUUCCAGUUUGAUAAAACUUCUGUGUGUCCUGUAAUGCAUAAUUUUGAGCACGUAUAAUGAGAAUCUAUGUCCUAAAAACUUUGAAGAAUCCUCUUAAAAUACAAUUUGAAAUUCUUAAGUUUUUAGCAAUUCAGUCCUGCAAUUUUCCUUGUUUCCUUGGAGCUACAGACUUUUUCCUCAUUCCGUUUCCAUCUCUUCAUUAGUCCAGGAGUUACAUCUAAAAUGCAGAAUUAAUAGGCAGGUUCUAUGAACCCUUUCUGAUGUUUCCGCUCUUCUGGCCAUGCUGUUUCUGUGCCUCAGUUUACACUUCUUAGUGUGGAGUCUCUGAUAAUAAGUUUAAUAGCCCUGCUAGUAAACAGUUGGGGUUUUAGUCUUAACAUGCCAAUUCCCCUGUCUCCCAUGGUUGAGAUAGUUAAGAUUCACACAGUUUAAACUUUCCUGCUACUAUACCUUUCCUUACCCUGCCCAUAGCACCUAAAAUGAUAUUCCUUUGGUAAAUCACUUUUUCCUUUUUAUGGCAAAAGCCUCAAAUGCCAGAUUGCAUCUGACGGAUCAGUAUGCCUUUUUGCUGACGCAUACUCUUAUUGAUGUCAUUGUGUUCUGUUGCAGCUUUGCUUUGUGUAAUGAAACACACUUGUAAACCUCUUUUGCACCUUUAAAAUGUAAAGAGUCAAGUGGGAUGCUCAAGCAUCUAUAAACAAUUUUCUCAGCCUAUUUGAUGUUCAAAUAAAUAAUGAAAUGAAAAAGAAGUAUAGUCACCGUCAUAUAAAACAUGGAUUGGAUUCCCGUUAUUUUAGGAGUGUGAAGUUCUGCUUCUGACCAUGCAAGUCUUGAAGCUGUAUAUCAUCAGUGAGAUCAAUUAAUUGAUAUACCUGUCAGGGAGCUGGGGGAAUGUGUGAUGUGUGACAGACUGGGGGUACUUUUUGGGUGGACUGUCUUCUUGCAUACGACAUUUCUGUUACCUAUUUCAUGCUUCGUAUAGUCCAAGUCUUCGAGAAUGUAAGACUUCCUCUUUCUCUUUCUUCACAGACAAUGCAAGAGGGAAAGAAAAGCAUUUGUGCAGUGGGGAAAUUAUCUCUAACCUUUCUGAAAUUGAAAAAACCUCAACAGUAAUAGUAGACCUGUUUAGAGAGUGUCACAUUCAUCUGGGCUUUAGUCUCACCCUGAAGUUAGAGCCUUGAACUAGAUGGCCUCUGGAAGGUCUAAGAGGUGAUACUCACCAGAGGCACUUAGAAAGGCAGUACCCACAAUCCUCUGAGAAAUGGGACACAAUUCCUCAAUGAUUAUGAGAGGUUAAAGUCAAUGUUACUUUCCUGAAUUCCAACAAACUCCCUGAAUUUCCCAGUCUAGUCUAGGUCUAGGAAAGCAAUAUAAUGAGGCCUUCAAGUGUAUCUAAAGACAGCAUUAAUGUUCUCACUAGGAGGGAUUAUGUGUCUAGGUAGAAUGUGGUACUUUCAAGGCUGGAAGAUUGUUCAGUAUGUUGUAAGCUAUACAACCCAAGAGAUCCAAGACCCCAGUACUUUUAGAGUUAAUAAUUCUGCCUUGCAUAUGUGUAUGUUUGUAUGUAUGUGUGUGUGUGUGUGUGUGUGUGUGUGUUUUCACGUGUGCACUCAUAUCCAAGUUUUCAGGGCGAUUCUAGCCCAAACUGAAAAGUACAUAAGAACAUCUUUAGGGUCAUGGAAUCUCGGUUGAGGUUGAAGAAUGACCAGAGGGGAGGACAUGAUGGGUUUGCCAAAUUAAGGCAGUUCAGGAUGACCAGACUCAGGAGUGAGCAGGGUGAGUGAUGGGCAUUGGCUGUACAGGUUGGCCAUGACAUACUGUCAAAAAUCUUACAUAUCUCCUUAACAAGGUUGAGGUUAAGGAAGUGAAACAUUAUGAAAAGGCUAAUGGAAGGAGAGAAACGAUCGAUUUAUGGCUAAGAAAAAUGACAGUGAUUGAAGAUUGCAAAAUAAUUUGGCAAGAAGAAAGACUGAAAGGAGGGAGCCCAGAAAAGUAAAUGAGGUAAGAGAGGGCGGUGACCCCCAAACUAAGUCAGUACUGAUGCAGGUGGCAAGGAGAGGAUGGGUUGGGAAAAUAUUGAAAAGUCAGGCUAGAUUGGACUGGGUGAUUGGGUACGUGUGUUGGUGGUGGUAGUGGUGGUAGGUUGGCCCUCCAAAAAUCAGGCCCCAAGAGCGAUUAAUUGGGUUUCUAGGGUAGGCAGUUGGGCUGACGGAAAAGGGGCCAGUUGCUUAAGUCUGAUUAUUUCCGUUUUGAACAUUUGAGUUUGCGGAAGCCAGUGCAUAUAGAGGAGCAUUAGGGUAAGCUGCGAUAUAGAAGUCUUAGCGGAGAGAUCUUCACUAUCUGCAUUUAGUAUUUGCCAGCAUAAUAAUGGCAAACUGCUAUUGCAUAUGUAUAUUCAUAUAUAAACAGCUUAUUUUCAACUCACGUUUGUUCCCAGCUCAAAAGCUCUCAUGCUGUCUCCCUUUAGGAAAUAAGAUUGCCAAGUGGUAACAAACAAAGGCAGAUCUGUAAUAAAUGAGCUCCUGAACUGGAAAGCGGUGUUAGGUCAUUUUUCUUAAUUGAAAAUAGUUGAUCUUUUAUUCAUUUCCCUGCUUUUUGUUUUCUGUGUUUGCCUUCCGAAUACCUGGGUGUAACUCAGAGUCUAAUUACAGCGUUCUGGUUGCACCACUGUUAGAGCCAUUUUUGGCAAGCAUUAAUAACAGUCAUGAAAAGUAAAAACAGACAUGCAUUUGUUGUACUUCACAGGGGAGAGCUCAUACUUGCUUCUUUGCGUGUCUUAAUUUUUACUUUUGUGUAAACCUAAUCACUGUUUCUCCCCACUUUUUGCCUUUCGUUCAUGUCUCCCCGCAAUGUGUUUUUUGGCAGGUUUUUCUUUUUAAAAUAAGAAACCUGGCCAAAGGAAAGUAAAACUCUAAAUGUCAUCUCUAUCUAAAAUCAACAUCUUAUCUAAUUUUUGUGUGUUUCUAUAAUAGAAUUCACAAAGGCUAGCCAAUACAGGGCUGUUCCUUCCUGUCUUAAAUACUUCAGGAUUGCUGCUGUUGCCAGCGAUGGCCACAUUGUGAUGGCAAUAAAUAAAUUUCAGGUGAUCUUAUUUCUAGUUAUCAGACACUUCAGGUGAAAAGUUGAUAAUGAAUUUAAUGGAACAUUAACGUUGAAAAUAAUGAAAUAUUUUUCUCAAGGUUUAUGUAUUUUCACAGAGUCUAUACAAACGAUUUUUUGGAAUGCUUACUUGAUGAGCUCAUGUUUUCAUUAUGUGCUUGCAGGAUUAAAAACAAAAAACUUGCCAGUUGUUAAAUGCUGAGUAGUGUUAUAUCUAGAAAAUACUCUUAAUUUGGUAACAAGGUAUCUCCACUGACAAACACUCAAUGGGUACAGCUAGUAGAAAAGUUGGUCUUAUCAAUAAUCAGUGUUUGGUACAUUGAUUUUAUCAUUCAUGUAGUUAAUUACUUCACAUUGUUAAAUCUCUAAGACUGGAUUAAAUAUUAGAGUGGUGUGUGUGUGUGUGUGAAUUAACAGAUCAUGUGGAGUCCUUUCUGUGCCUGAUUAACGAAAGAAUAACUGUCCCAGUGACUAAUUGACUUUCAAGAAAGAAGUAGCUGACCAGAAAGGAUGAGCUACCUUGUGACACAUAGUAAAUAGGAAAAAGAAUAAAGGAUGUGUUCAAUGUAUACUGGGUGCGGUAGACCCUGAAGGUAGACCAGUCAAUGCUAUGGCGUGGCUAUGCAAAAUGGGAAGUUAAAAGGCUAAAAUGAACACUUGUUUGAUUUGUUAAAGAAACUUAACAUGGUUAUCCAUCAAGGUGGGCACAAUACUGAAAGAUUUCACUCUUCAGAUCUUGUUGCUAAUAUAAGGACAGACAUAAAACAGGUACGAAAGAAUAGAAAAUUCUGAAGAGUUCAUGAUGAAGCGUCAAGUUGUAAGUAGGGCAGAUUUUAUUGUGCCGAAGUUGAUGUGGCUGAUUUAUGGCUUACCAUGCAUGAGUUUGUGCUACAUAAAUUCAAAACAUCACAGUUAUUAUUCUCAGGAAUGUUAUGUAAUUCUGAAUAUCAAUAUUUUGAUUAUAUUCCUAGUAAUCUCUAAAACUUCAUCAUCUGUGUAGUUUCAUAAUGGGCCAGUAGGCAUAGACCAUUGCCUUCAAUAAAUGAACACUUUCAUUCUAGAGGGUUUCUCACAUAUGUGUUGCUCUUACUCAUUAUUUAUAUUUAAUUAUCCAUUAUUUAUAAAGAAAAGUGAUGGGCACUGGGUAUUGUAUGUAAGUGAUGAAUCACUGAAUUCUACUCCUGAACCAAUAUUGAUUGUACUGUUUGUUAAUUAACUAAAAUUUAAAUUAAGAAAAAAAAAAGGAAAAGCUGAUUCUGUAUUGAAACUCUGCCAUUUGGCAAACAGAAAAUGUCCCCACAAUUGGGCACCCAGACUUCCUGUGAUAGCACAGAUCACAAAUGACUGCUCCUUAACUUUUUAAUGUGAAUAAUUGGCUUCACCCCAAGAAGAAUCUAAGCCACUGAUUCUAAACUCAAUGAGUCUUUGUAAUGGGGCUACCGGGGAAUUCUUACCACCUUCCUGAUCUCCAUUGACUACUCCAAAUAAGAUAAACAGUAUGAAAAAUUUUCUAAGAUAUGCCACAUCUUUGCAUAUUUGUUGGUUAAGGAGUGUGAUAUUUAAGCACCUAAUUCAUGUCACUGAGAGUCAGAAUAUAUGUCAUUCAACCAAAUUAAGAAUUUAAGAAGGCAUUAAUAUAAGAGGCUUGAGAAGUGUUCCAUUACUUUCUUUAGAAACAAUGCAGCAGAUACAGAGAGAGAAUACUGAAUGCUGCAACCUCUCCCUAAGGUGUCUGUGUGCAUUGUAAAAUACACAGUGUAGUAAUCCGUCUCUUGUUUUAUGGUUCCUUGAACUCAAAGACUUAUUUUGAGACCAUCAGAAUCUUCUUCAGAGUUCAUGGUUGGGAGGAAAGAUACAAAGAGAGCAUUAUGGAUUAGGUGACAAACAGUAGAUACGGAUGUACUUGUAGCUUAAAAAGCAUGUGCUCAUGCAGAUACCUCUAGUAAAUUCCCGAGGGAAGAUAAACAGUGAAAAGUAUCAGAUAAAGAAGAAUAAUCUUCUGUAAACAGGAGUACUUAGUUUUUAUUAUUGUCAUUGUUUUCCCUUUUGUUUUCUAGGAGGCACUGAAGACUGUUCAAAUAAACAAACAAACAUAGAAACCUAGUGAGCCCUGAUGUUGUUUGUGUGCAUUAAUAGGGAAAAAAGAGUCAUGCCUCCCAAAUAAAAGCAGGGUUAUUUCUGAGGCCGUUGUCACCACCAAGUGGGGUGUCUUCCCUCUCCGUCCGCUUAGAACCCGGAAAGAGCCCAGGAUGGUCUCUGGAGAUACGGGUGAAAGGAAACAAACCUUAAGACUAACCCACACGUUUUGCUGCAACGUUCCCUUUUUUUUUUUUUUUUUUUUUGUAUUAGGCGUUGCAGCCAUACUCUACCAUAGAGAGAAAUAAACCAGGACUGAUUUUGCUCUGUCAGUACCUGUGAGAGGAUUGCCUUGGAAAUCAAUGAAAUAAGGCACAGUGCUGAGCAGUGGCAUCUGGGCGAUCUUGACCACACGACUGUUUUUUUUUUUUUUUUUGGUGCGGGGUUCCUCCAAGACCCUACCUGUGCUCAGGACAUAAAUGCAGGGAAGCAAGAGCCGAGUUAGAGGCAGUCCGCUAAGGAUGUCCUGUCAGGCUGGGCACCUCAGAGGGUGACGGGAGCUUGAACACGUGGGGACUUCUCAGAAACCGGGCCUCGGAAUUAUCUUGCCUGAGGAUUGAGGGAGCUGGGCAAUGUCGAUACUCACGGCUGAGAUAAUCAUUAUUUGAAGGCUGCCUCCUGGGGACAUUUCCGGCUUGCCACAAGGGCCGGGCAGAGCAGAUUUCUAGGUUGCUGAUACAGCUCUGAGACACAGAGAGAAGCGGGGAUGGUCGUGUGGGAAUCCGCAGGAGGACACUGAAAGAUGUGAGUGAUAUGGGUAGGUACUUAGUGAGGAUGUCAGCUCCUUACCUCUAAUCACAAUAUUUUGAGCCCUGAUCAAUAUUUGGAUAUUCAUGUAUAUAUAUAUUAUAUAAAUUAUAAAUUAUAUAGGUUAAUGGGAUAUUGCUUGACUAUAGUCAAGCAAUAUCCCAUUAACCUAUAUAAUUUAUAAUUUAUAUAAUAUAUAUAUACAUGAAUAUCCAAAUAUUGAUCANNNNNNNNNNNNNNNNNNNNNNNNNNNNNNNNNNNNNNNNNNNNNNNNNNNNNNNNNNNNNNNNNNNNNNNNNNNNNNNNNNNNNNNNNNNNNNNNNNNNNNNNNNNNNNNNNNNNNNNNNNNNNNNNNNNNNNNNNNNNNNNNNNNNNNNNNNNNNNNNNNNNNNNNNNNNNNNNNNNNNNNNNNNNNNNNNNNNNNNNNNNNNNNNNNNNNNNNNNNNNNNNNNNNNNNNNNNNNNNNNNNNNNNNNNNNNNNNNNNNNNNNNNNNNNNNNNNNNNNNNNNNNNNNNNNNNNNNNNNNNNNNNNNNNNNNNNNNNNNNNNNNNNNNNNNNNNNNNNNNNNNNNNNNNNNNNNNNNNNNNNNNNNNNNNNNNNNNNNNNNNNNNNNNNNNNNNNNNNNNNNNNNNNNNNNNNNNNNNNNNNNNNNNNNNNNNNNNNNNNNNNNNNNNNNNNNNNNNNNNNNNNNNNNNNNNNNNNNNNNNNNNNNNNNNNNNNNNNNNNNNNNNNNNNNNNNNNNNNNNNNNNNNNNNNNNNNNNNNNNNNNNNNNNNNNNNNNNNNNNNNNNNNNNNNNNNNNNNNNNNNNNNNNNNNNNNNNNNNNNNNNNNNNNNNNNNNNNNNNNNNNNNNNNNNNNNNNNNNNNNNNNNNNNNNNNNNNNNNNNNNNNNNNNNNNNNNNNNNNNNNNNNNNNNNNNNNNNNNNNNNNNNNNNNNNNNNNNNNNNNNNNNNNNNNNNNNNNNNNNNNNNNNNNNNNNNNNNNNNNNNNNNNNNNNNNNNNNNNNNNNNNNNNNNNNNNNNNNNNNNNNNNNNNNNNNNNNNNNNNNNNNNNNNNNNNNNNNNNNNNNNNNNNNNNNNNNNNNNNNNNNNNNNNNNNNNNNNNNNNNNNNNNNNNNNNNNNNNNNNNNNNNNNNNNNNNNNNNNNNNNNNNNNNNNNNNNNNNNNNNNNNNNNNNNNNNNNNNNNNNNNNNNNNNNNNNNNNNNNNNNNNNNNNNNNNNNNNNNNNNNNNNNNNNNNNNNNNNNNNNNNNNNNNNNNNNNNNNNNNNNNNNNNNNNNNNNNNNNNNNNNNNNNNNNNNNNNNNNNNNNNNNNNNNNNNNNNNNNNNNNNNNNNNNNNNNNNNNNNNNNNNNNNNNNNNNNNNNNNNNNNNNNNNNNNNNNNNNNNNACAGAGCCAGAUAGGAAGAACUGUCAGUAGAGUCGAUCAUUCUCUCCUCCUUUAAUGAAAUGAUAUUCCUAGUUAAACUAGAUUAAUGAAGAACUUAACACUUCAGCCCCUCCCUUACCAGAUCUUUGUUUUUUCUGUGGCUUCCAGCAGGCUCUAAGCUCCUCUCUGCACUAUCAGAAGUUACUCUCAGAUCAAAAUAUGGAGCAGUCAUUUACUACUAACAUUCAUACUAUGAUGUUUCUUUUAAACUCAUCUAUCUGGGGCGCCUGGGUGGCGCAGUCGGUUAAGCGUCCGACUUCAGCCAGGUCACGAUCUCGCGGUCCGUGAGUUCGAGCCCCGCGUCAGGCUCUGGGCUGAUGGCUCGGAGCCUGGAGCCUGUUUCCGAUUCUGUGUCUCCCUCUCACUCUGCCCCUCCCCCGUUCAUGCUCUGUCUCUCUCUGUCCCAAAAAUAAAUAAACAUUGAAAAAAAAAAAAAUAAACUCAUCUAUCUGUCCAUCUAUCUGUUUUUGCAGUCAGCUGCCAGCAGUUAAGAUAAUUAGAAUGUUUUUUCAGAAUUAACAACUGGUAUAAAUUCCAGAAGAAUUUAGAUUUAGGUAGCAGCUUCGUAAGGAGUGAGAAGUUAACCUAUGGUAUCUCCCAAUGGUGUAUACAUUUUAAUUUUUAUCUCUCUCUAAUUGAAAAAUGACAGACAUUGCCCCCAAGUAAGUGCAUCUAAAAAUCAGAAGCAGAUGGGAUGCAUGUAUUUAAAUAAUGCCCUUCCCUGGUCCUGUGCACACAGGCCACAUAUGCAGAUACUUUCUUUCCUUAUACCUUAACUCCAGCCUCAGGACAAUGGCUGUGUUUGGAGCAAAUAUAACUGCAGGGCUCUGGAGCAGCUGGUGCGGCCAUCUGUGAGGAGCUGAGGAGCACAGCAGAAAUAAGCAGAGCAGAAAAAAACUUCAAGGAUCCCGUGAAACGUAGCUCCUGGUCUGCACCAGGAGCAGACCACAGUGAGGAUAGAGCAGCUUAGACUGCGGGGACAACAACAAUGGUCCUGACCAUUGUUAGGACGACCCUGAAUGGAAAAGGGCAAAUCAGAAACAACUAGACCUUUAACAGUUGGUUGCAGUUCCAACCCCAUGUCAGUUUUUACGCAUGACUGUUAGCUGGGCAUCCUUUCUCCACCAUGUUAAUUAAGUAUAGGUUACAACUGUAAUGACAGAAGCAUAGUCGUGGAGCUUUGAAAUUCCACAGCAAGAUGUAUAUAUUUGGCCACUAAGUACAAUUUAAUGUGUUUGUUACACAGCAACCAACAUGGUGUGCUCUUUGGACCUUUAGGAGAAAGUAGACACAACUUGCAAUGUUUGGCUAGUUUGCGUGUUCGUCUUUCUUUAGCAAAAGCAACAUGUCCAAGCUCAGGAUUAAUCUGGAUUCUGGGAAGCAGACAUCCUGGCCGGGAGCUUAAAAAUGGAAAAUGGAUGGAGGACAUUCUGAGCUAGAAGACAAAGGACAGAAUCUGAUUUGGGUUAGUGUAGACAUAGGUUGUGUGUUCUUCAACCAACGAUGGUGAAGAGGAUUCCCCUCACUUUAUGGAGACCUUGCUGGUGUGGAAAGUUCACUGUUCGACACCAUGGAUCUCCAGGUGGGUCACGUUUAGAGAUACACCAACCUGGAGGACUCCAUGCUGUUGAGCUGUUCACAAGCAGCGGACUCUUCUAACCCCAUCUGCCCGGGAAUUCAGGUGGUGUCUUCCACAGUGUGUAUGCAUAUCUUCCAUAGGUAAUCUUGCUGUUCCUUCUUUCAAAGAUGGGAACAGACUUCCCACCUCUGUAUCAAAAUAUAUGUUAUUUUUGUGGAUAUUCUUAAAACGUGUUUCAUGAUGUACUCUAUGAGGAUGGAAAGGAGUAUGGAAAGAUUUAUGUUUAUAAAAGUUAAUUUAAAAUGACAGCGGUACAAGUAAAAUAUUUACUUGUGGAUUUUAAUUUUGUCUAGAAGGAUUUUUAGUGAAAGGUGAGUCUAGCGUAUGACGUUGCAUUUUUAGAACAUUUUAAUAUAUUGGAUUUCAUAUAUAUUAUUUAUAAAUAUGCCCCAUUAUACAUUCAUUAUAAAUCAUGAAAAAUGCCCCUUGCUUUGCAAUAAAUAUAUUUUUUGUUUUGUUUAACAUCUUUUUGAAUUAGGUAGAUGUUUUAUAUCAAUGUUAUAAAACUGAAAAAACAAUAAUGAUGUUGAAACAAUCCUUGUUAUAUUUUAAUAAAAAUUCUGUUAGUCUUUUACCAAUAGUAUGGCAUUGAGGUUGGUUUAAGGCAGGUGCUCUGAUAUUAAAGAAAUGCCUUUUAUCAGAUACUUUGUUUUUAAUGCAUUGGGAUUAUUGUGUGUGUGUACAUAUAUGUACACACAUUGUUGAUAUGGCUUUAAUUUUUUUAAUUUAAAUGACUUUAAUUGUCAUGAUAAGUUUCUCUUUUAAUGUACUAUUGAAUUGAAUUCCAUUUGCUACUAUUUCACUGAAGCUUUGUGCAUUUAUGUUCAAAACUGAGAUUGAUUCAAAGUUUUAAAAAAAAUUUUUGAGUUCCGUUUGGCUCAUAUUUGUAUCAGAAUCAUACUCAUUAUAUAAAAUUAAUUGGUGGCUUCCCCUUUUCCCUUAUGCUGUUGAAGAGUUUUUAUAAAGCAUGAGGAUUAUCAAGUCUUUAAAUGUUGGAAUGGCCCACCCGUAAAACUUUUGAUACAAAGCUCAAAUCCUUUUUUACAAAAUUUAAAAAUAUGGAUUAUAUUUUUUCUACGCCUUUUGAUUAUUUAUAUUUUAUAUAUCUUCAUUAAUUUUGGUAAAUUAUGGAUUUAUCAUUUAUCUAUUAUUGAUUAUUUAAUGAAAAUUCUUGACAAUUGUUACCAAAUAAUUGUGCAUAUGAUUCUGUUAAACUUGAUUAUUCUCCAAAUCUGUUAUUAGUUACCUUUUUCUUUUCCUAAUUGUAGUCCUAUUUUUCUCAUGCUCUUUUGGCAAGAUUUUCCAGAGUUUUAUGAAUUUUAAUACUCCAAAUUCUUCUACUUUUGACUUUAUAACUUAUUACUUAUUUUUGUAGUUACUUCAUCUGAUUUCAUUUGGAUCUUUUUUUCCCCUUCUUUUCAUAACUUCCUGAGUUGAACACUUAGCACCUUCUUGAAAUCCUUCUCGUUUGGUACUGAGAACACUUAUAACUAUGAAUUUGUCUCUAAAACCUGCUUUGGUCUCAUCUAAAAAUGUGAAAUAUAAUCCGGUUAACAAGAACAUGGGCACAGAAAAAUGCAGGCUUGGAUUUGACUUCUGCACAUAUUGUGAAAGGAACUUUAACUCAUUAUGUUUCUUCAUUUGCAAUAUAUAGUAAAAAUACUUCUUAGAGUGCUUUGCAGGAUUCGGUGAGAUAAUGGAUUUGUAAGCAUACAGUUCAAUGAGAGCAAAACCCAAGGUUCAACACAAAUCGUCGUAUUUGUUGAAAAUUGUGGUUUGGCUUUUCUUUUAACUCAAUAGUCACCUUAAUUUUUAAUAUCUAAAGUGUUGAGUAUUUGUUGCUUUUGUUCUUACUGAAAUUUUCUUGUAAAUUUCUGAUUUUAUUGCACUUUGGUCAGAAAUGUGGCCUUAUAAUGUCUAUUCUUCAAGAUUUUUCUCAGUUUCUCAGGUUUUGAAUUAGUUGGAAAUUGAAGAGAAGAUUGUACUUUUUAUUGAAGAGGGGUGGUUAUACACACAGAUACACACGUGUUAUGUUUAUAUUUAUUCCCUAUAUUCACUCUGUUAUUCAUUUUCUUUUCUUUUCUUUUCUUUUCUUUUUUGUAAUCUCUCUGAUCUGUUAGCUGUAUUUGCGUUUCUUGCACUUAACUGUUUCUGGUCAAAUUCUAAUAGGGUUUUUUUGAAAACAUUUUGAAUUUUAUACAUAAUUAUUACUACUUUUUCUGUUCCGUUUAAAGCAUUUUGCUUGCAAUUCUAGUUCUUAAGCGAAUAUUGCUACCACCUGCUUCUUCCCUUUUCUUUUGAGAACCAUGGGUCAUUCUUUUAUUUUUAAAUUCUCUGUGUCAUUUUGUUGAGGUCAGUUUCUUUUAAGGAGGCUGCACUUGUAUUUCUUUAUUUUUUGAUCCUUGAGUAUUUGCUUUUAAGUUGGUAGUUUAAUACUCUCACAUUGUCUCCUCUUGCCUUUUUGUCUGCCUUCAUUUUGUCCUUCAUGUUUUAUUUCUUCUCCAUCUUUUGCCUUCUCAACCUUUCUUUUUCUUACAAUAAUGACUUAGAGAGUGUAAAUCUGUUUUCAGAAUUUAAUUAGCUCUUAGGUUUACCUUGAAAAAUUACAGGUUAUCCUUAUUUUUUUAUAGUCAUUAUCAAAGCCAAGGAUAAGAUGUAGUGUAUUUUGCUUUAGCGUUUGCUUACUUCAUACUCAGUUUCAGAUCUUUUGUGAUAUAACAUGAGGAUUUAGAGUAUAAUGAUCACCAUUAAAUUUUUUAUUUUCAUUACAUAUGCAUAUGCUUCUAUACAUGGUUUCUUUUUUCAAGUAUUUCCAAUCAGUUGCCUUGUGCUGUAUUAACUCUUACUUUAUUGUUCCUUGCUUCGCUGGUUUCUAUGAUUACAAGCGUUGUUCAGCAAGAUCUAUCUCUAAAUUCCUUGUUCUGAUUCAAUGUCUUGAAAAAUGGUUUUAAGUACUUAGUUUUAUUUCAACAAACUUAAUAUUUCUUGAGCCAGUGCAUAGCAAUGCAUACCUUUCUGUUGCUUUCACACAUGAAAGCAUCAUCUUAAGAUGCUUAAGUCAUCUUAAGAUGACUAUAGAAAUCUGAAAUCUAAAAUCUUCUAUCUCACAAGACUGUGAGUGCUCCUGACCCAGUUCAGAAACGUGGAGGUGGGAACAAGAGUCAUUUCCCCUCUCUGGGUGAGAACUGGGAUGGGCUACCUUGAGAGAACCUAGAACCUGUCACUGGACUGGAUGGAUGUUUGUGUGAAAUAUUCUGCACACUUCACUCUGUUUGACCUUCAGAUUAUUAAAACACACACACACACACAAACAGGGAUGCGCCUAUACAUUCUAGUCGUAGUCUUACAUUUCACCCUGAAUCCCUACUUAUUUCAUAUUCAGGAAAGGGUAAAUUCUUAAAAUGAAAUUUCAAGUGCCCCAUUGUACCUCUCUUUUGAGACUAGAGCCAGCCUGUGUAACAGGCCUGGGUUUUGUACUCUCUCUCAGUCAAAGCUACCUGCAAAAUAGGCAUUAUCAGGCCAAAGAACAAGAAAGAAUGUUAGAUCCAGAACUUACACCAAAAAUAUCUCAGUCUUAUAUUUUCUUAAAUUCUGUAACCCCCCGGUUUUCCAUCCCGGAAGUUCCAUCUCAGACUAUGAAGGUGUUAUCAGGGAUUCAGGAAAGAGAAAGUAGAGGUCACCAAGCUCUUGACCCAGGCAGCAUAGAGUUAUUUCUUACCUGGUUUUUCUUGUUUCUUUCCCAGUAUCAUUCUUUCCAUAUUGAUGCUUCCCAGUUUCUCUGUAAGGAAAAAUGUGCUUGGCUUCCUUGGAGAUGCCGUGAAGGAUUUACAAAGGAAUCACUUGGUUUUACGCUUGAUGUGCAAAUACCUUGUUGGAAAUGGAAGAAAAGAGCAUUUAGACGUAGAGGAUAGGAAAAAUAAUAACUGCUAACUGCUUGAGGACUUAACAUAUGCCUCAAACUCUAAGCUCUUUCUAUUCAUUAUCUCAUUUAACUUUCAAAACAACUUUAUGAGAUUAAACUUUUCAUCAUCAUCUUUCUUUGGGGAGGGCAAAAUAAUGGAGCCUUGAGUCAUCUGCUCACGAACAAACAUCUAGAAAAUGAAAGGGCACAGUUACCAGGUAUUUAUUCUUAAGUAUGUUGCAGAACUGCCUCAGUGCUUUAGCAUUUUUGGACCAAAGGCAGGGUAUGAUAGGGCAUAUGUACUUGUAUUUGUUCAUAAAUAAAUGUGUCUUCAGAUUGUAUUAUAAAUUGGUUAUAGAUUGCGGGACGGAUUCGACAAGCCUGUAAAUUGGAAAACCGAAGCAGGUGGGAAACAGAGGCAAAGUCCACUUACUCUGGUACAUUAGGUGGAGUCGUGAGCAUUCUGACUAAUGAACAGUCAGUGAAGAAUUUCUAUCUCUUCUUUUUGAUCAUAGCAGUAUGUUUAUAUAUGUUGACUAAAUUUUGAAUCAUCCGGUAUUAGUAUUAUUUUUUUCAAAGUGAACAAACCCAUCCUGAUUUUCAAAGUGGAAUUUUGGACAGGGUCCGUAUGUUUACUUGCAAAUCUAAGCCAUUUUGUUGAUGAAUAUAAUAAAAAAAAAACAUAAUCAGAAACUUUAUUUUCAUUAUCUACAAAUCUGCAUAUGUCCACGAAAGGAAGAGGUGAAAUAUACGCAUGAGCGUAAACUUGGGGGAGCAAAUAUAAGUCUGCACCUCUAAUACGUAAGUGAGAUCUCCUUACUAGACCCAGAAUUUGAAAUACUAAAGCCACCUAUACUGGCAGUGAACAGUAAGGAAGUUUUUAAAUUGUUUUGAAUUAUGAGUUUCAAUUUUGCUUUCCCAAGGAGUUAACAAGUCUUUGCCUAGAUAGAGUUCCUGCUUUAUUUUCAAGUGUGCUAAUUGUGUGCUAAUAUGUUUAAUAGGCUGACUAGCCAAGGGCACACAAGUUUCUCAUUGGAAUUUCAUCACAUUGAGUCGAGAUUACUCUGGGCUCAGUGAUUGCUUUCAGCUCUUCCUUCUUUCCUUCCUUCCUUCCUUCCUUCCUUCCUGCCUUCCUUUCAAAAAAUUUUUUAAGUGUUUAUUUAUUUUUGAGUAAGACAAGACAGAGUGAGAGUGGGGGAGGGGCAGAGAGAGAGAAAGAGAGGGAGACACAGAAUCCAAAGCAGGCUCCAGGUUCUGAGUUGUCAGCACAGGGCCUGAUGCGGGGCUUGAAUUCACACAUGGUGAGAUCAUGACCUGAGUCGAAGUCAGACGCUAAACCUACUGAGCCACCCAGUUGCCCCUCCCUCCAGCUCUUCUUUCUGUUACUGUUCUCUAAUGGUGGAGAAAGUGCCAACAUUUCUGGAGUGGCCGGGGGAGGGGGAGGAGAAAAUAGUAAAUGCACAUAAGGUAUAGACCGUGUUAUUCUCUAACACAUACAUGGCAAGCACAGUUAUACUUAUCAGUGCAUGUAUCUUUUCUUUUGGGGGAGAUAAUCAUAGACAAUAAUUUUUGCUGACUACCAUGUGCCAGUGCUAAGACUUUUAAAAGAUCAGUUGAUUCUCAUUACGACUCCAUGAGGUAGGUAAAAUUUUAUGCCCACUCAGUAGAUGAAGAAACUAAGGCAAAGAGAAUUUAAAUAACUUGUUUAAGGUCACACAGUUUCUAAAUGUUGGUCCUAGGAUUUGAAUGCCAAAGAUACAGCUGCAGAGCUCAGGUUUAUAAUUAUGUUGAAUUGCAUCCCAAGAAGAUGUAUAUUUAUCUACGCAUGCACACACAUUUAUAUACAUAUAUACAUGCUCAUGCAGAUUAAGCACAUUCUUGAAACUCAUGUUCUUCAAAUGUGUCUGUAGAGAGUCUCAUACUCAAAUCUACCUGAAUGUACCCCUUUAGAUGCACUUCUUUAGUUCACACGCACAUUUGUACGCAUUUCUCAAGCACACAUGGCAGAGCCACCAUUUUUAUCAGAGAAGGAUUGACUUUAAGGUACUGAAAUCAUCUUGUAUUAGGUCAUUUGCAGAGUAUAACCAACAGUGGGUGAAAGAAAGGUUAUGGGUUGAAUAAAUUUUCCCUCCAAGAUAAAUUUAUACACACACACACACACACACCAAGAGCCAUGCAUAUUUACUAGCUGGUAAGUGUGACUUUUAACCAAACUGAGGGUUUGGAGUGGGGCUAUGGCUAGGGGAACAGGUAAAGUAGGAAAGACCAAAGACAACAUUCAACACUGUAUUCAGAUUACUUAGGUAAUUCAAGCAGAUAAAAGGGAUGCUUUGCUAAUCACUCUGUUCUUCGUAUUCAAAGUAUUGCCCUGUUCUAUACAUGGUAUCAUAACUUACAAGUACUCAGAUUUUAAUUAGCAUGAUUUUGAUUAGCAUAGUAAACAUACACAUUUUGCUUCUUUUGGUAACAUUCUAUGUCCACAUGACCGUAAUGCUUCCUUAUUUUCUGGGAGUUUAAAUUGAAGCGAAGUAAUUAUUGUUACAAUUUGAUAGGUCCUCUAACAGGAUUCUGAAUCGUCUUUCAGAAGUUUAAGGUCCUUAUAUAAAAGCACCAAAUGCUCUAUUGGCUCAGCUACUACACCUGUCACCUUUUUGUAAGAUGUGAAGACUGCAAAUCUCUUUUCAUCACUGAGAUUCUCAGAAUAAAGCCUUUUGUGUUUACCAAGGAAGGACAUAAAAAAAACAUGAUUGGAGGUGUGUGGAUACUUAGGCACAGCUAAACCUGCCAUCACUCUCUCUCCUUUCAAUAGCAUGGUGCCAUCUUUGAAACUUGAGUCUGCUUUUUUAUUAUUGUUAACUAUUUUUUCUGUGCUACUGAGGUUUUGUUAGUGAUGAGGAGUUACAUACUUCUUCUGACUAUAUGAUUCUUAAGUUUUGGUGCCGUUAAUUAAAAUUAAGUGGUUGUGUGUGUGUGUGUGUGUGUGGGAGAGAGAGAGAGAGAGAGAGAGAGAAUUACUCAUUUGAGAAGUAAAUGUUUUUAUGCAGCCAAUGAAAUGUUGGGUUUCAGCAAUGAUAUGGAUUAAAAAGUAGUGUUUUGUCACAUUGCAUAGCUCACAUGAUAGUCGAAAAUAUAAUACCUAACAGUAUAUCUAACAUAAUAUUUUGGAUUGAUAGUUUCUUAAACAUAACAGCAGCAAAAUCAACAAAAAAGCAGAAGUAACGUUUAUGUGUUCUGUAUAUACAACCACUCUAUUAAUUAGAUGCCAUUAUCUCUCCCCAUUUAAAUUUAAGGAAAUUAAGGAUCAGAACAUUUCGUAAGUAACUUGCCCAAAGUCAGACAGGUUAGGUCCCGGCAGGGCUGGGGUCGAAGCCAUGCUCCUUGCCACCAUAUUGUCUGAUGUUUGUUUAUUUGGAUCUUCAUCCUAUAUCUUCACUUACACACUGGUUUGGGGGAAGGAGGAAGAAAUUGGAAUGAUUGUAUUUGGUUACAAGUUAACACUUAGCAACUAGUUACGAUAUAGCUAUAAAAUGUCUUAGUUCAAUUUCUCCUUUUUUCAAACCAGUUUAUAUAUUGAAUUUUCUUAUGUUUUCUUAUGUAGCAUUUAUGAUUCAGAUGAAUGUGAUUUUUUUGCUUUGCUUUUCUCCUCUAUACAUAUUAUGAUAUUCUUCUCACUAUUGAUUAGAACAAGUCUUCAGGCAGAUUUUUAGAUAUUCUGUGGAUAAGGAGGUCUGCUUUUUCAGUAGAUCCCACUAAAUUCUCAAGUGGCCACCCAUAAAUUUCUUCAAUUUCUUUUUUACAUAUUACAACCAUAUUAAAUAUCUACCCCUAUAGACAAUGCUUUCAAAAAAUAAAAUAAAUUAAGAAUACUGUAAUGGGCUAAUGGCGAUUUCUCAUUUUCUUUAUAAUAAUUUCUUUGUUAAAAUUUUGUCUUUGUAAUACAAACGUGAUCAAAACACAGAUUAUAAUUUUCAUACCUUCCUAUGAGAGGCUUUUUUCAGAAAAGGAAUUUUAAUAUCAAAAAAUAUAAUUAAACAUUUCUGAUCCUUUUUCAAUAACAUUAUAGUUUUUUUUAUGGUUUAAAUAUUUACUUCUUUGAUAUUGGAUGCUAUCAAGGAAUAAAAUAAUUGUUUGACUUAUUUCCUCCUUCUACAUAUAUUCAAUUAACAGAUAUUUAUUGAGUACAUACCACAAGUUAGCUUAGAUGCCCCGUUUCCAACAAUUUUUGACAUGCUUCACAAGUAAUUUAUGGACAGUGAUAUUUACGGCACAAAAAUCUGUGAAUAGUGUCCUUUCCCAAUACAUUAGAACAGAUCUAUUUUAAUCUUACUCACUUGCAUUGAAGUAUACUCACUUGAAUGAGAGAAAAAGUAGAAUUAUAUUUAUUGCCUUUUAAUUUCCAAGUAUGCCCGAGGGAAUGCCCCUUCACUGACCCAUGUGCGUGUCAUAGCAGAGAAGACAAUACUGCUUUGAGAGAUAAAAAGAUAAUAAACCCUGCUCCCUGUCCUGAAGGAACUGGGACCCCAUGCCCUCUUCCGGACCUUCCAGCACACUCUCUUCAUCUCACCUAACAGUAUUGUCACUCUGCGUUGGGGGAGAACAACUAUUGAUGUAGAAGGUCUCCCCUUUCCCAUCAGUGGGUAGCAGAGCUGAGACUUGCAUCCAGAACUUCUGACUCUUGGUACAGCUUGUGAGGUGUCAAAGGCAUAACCACCUAAACUGUGGGUAUUAUUUGUUUGUUUGAUUGAUUGUUUGAAGUUUUAUUUACCUAAGUAGUCUCUACACCCAACCUGUGUCUCAAACUCCCGGCCCAGAGGUCAGGAGUCGCACGCUCCUCCAACUUGAGCCAGCCCAGGCGCCCCAGAGUGUUGUUAUUUGUUUUUAAUUUUUUUUAAUGUUUAUUUAUUUUUGAGACAGAGAGAGACAGAGCAUGAACGGGGGAGGGUCAGAGAGAGGGAGACACAGAAUCUGAAGCAGGCUCCGGUCCCUGAGCUGUCAGCACAGAGCCCGACGCGGGGCUCGAACUCACAGACCGCGAGAUCACGACCUGAGCCGAAGUCGGAUGCUUAACCGACGGAGCCACCCAGGCGUCCCCAGAGUCUUGUUAUUUUUAAUGAGAAACAGGCCCAGAGUGUAAGCAGUCCCAUGGAAAUACCAUAUUAAUUUUAAGAAGAUGACUUCAACACAUAAAUUUGUGUCAUUACUAUCACAAAGCUACUAGUUGAUUUUUUCAGUACAUUUAGUAGCGACGCACAUAACAUUAAUUUGUCCAUACCUUAGUUUCAUCGUCUAUGAAAUAGGGUAGUAAAGGCACCUUGCUCAGGGCUGCUGUGUGGGAUAAGUGAGAUAAUCGGCCAAAGCGCUUGCUGUGAGGGCUGGCACGUCCUAAGCCUCAGUCAAUGUUAUAUUAUUAUUAUUAUAGCUUUAUUUAGCUCACCACUAUUAUGUGGGGGGAAAAAAGGGGAAAAAUCUAGGAUGCAAGUGGAGAACUGAUUUUUAGAUACUAAUUUAUAAUAAACUUGUAAUUAAUACAUUUUUCAUACAUUAAGCACCCGAAAGAUGUCUGACUUAGUAAGUUUUCAAUAUCUAAUGCAAUCCUUUCAUAAUCUAAAACAGACUCCUCCAUUAAUUUAUAGGGAUACCUCAGAGAGAUUGUGGGUUCAAUUCCAGACAACCAAAGUAAAGUGGGCAACAUGAGUUCUUUGGUUUCCCAGUGCACGCAAAGGUUAUGUUUGCCCCAUACUGUAUUCUGUUAACGUGUGCAACAGCAUUCUGCCCAAGAAACAACGUCUGUACCUUAGUAAAAAAUACCUGAUUGCUAAAAAAUGCCGACCGCCAGUCGUAAUCACUGGUUACAGAUAACCAAAUAUACUAGUCGUGACAAAGUCUGAUCUACUGUGAGAAUUACCAAAAGGUGACCCAGAGGUGUGAAGUGAGCAAAUGCUGUUGGAACAAUGGUGCCAGUAGGUUGGCUGGAUGCAAGGCCGCCAUAAACCUGCCGUUUGUAAAAAGCACAGUAUCGGUAAAGUGCAGUAAAGCAAAGCAGAGCAAGACGAGGUAUGCCUGGAUAUGAUACGUGUUUUCGAGCGCCUUCUUUGUGCCUGGCUUCUUUCUGAUUGAAAGAUUUAGAAUGAAAAGAGAAUAAAUUAUGAAUCAGCCUAUUUCUUAUUCAGGGCGGCAAAAUAUGAGCUUUCUAUCUGUACAAGAAGGAGUUGUUUAAAGGAGUCCUUUCUCAAAAGCGAAAACAUACCUCUUUGGAAGUCGCGCUGAAGUCAUCUCCCAGUUUCUGGAGGAGUCUGUUUCUGGAGGAGGUCUCUAGAGCACAUUUGUCUAUUUUUGAGCGGACUUCCUUCCCAGCUCAUGCCCAUAGCAAGUAGAGCUGAGCCUCCGCUCUCAAAGAUGGGAGCCCUAGAAUAUAAUCUGAUUUUGCUGGAGACCUAAUAACCAGCUACCAUUUCUGUGUACGUAGUGAGUGCUUAUCACGUUAGUAGUUUAAUUGUCAAAACAAUGCCAGGAAUUGGGUAUUACUUUUAAAAGAUAAUGAAGCUCACUUUAUUGCAGUGGUCUGGAACAGAACCCACAAUAUCUUUGAUGUAUGCUUGUGCAUUAAUAGAAUGGCCUGGUUUACAUUAGGAAAGUAUUUGGAUAGAUAUGAAAUACUCAUUAAAUUAGACAUGUUUUCAGAAGCUUAAUGUAUUAAAAAUGUAUUAAUUAUAAACUUAUUAUAAAUUAAUAUAUUAAAAUGCCAGAGAAAGGAUAAAACGCGCAGGUAGCAGAUCUGGGAGACUGACAGCAAAUGUUUCUGUAUUUGUUUUUUUUCCCCAUUAUAGUUUACUGCCCACUUAAGGUUUAUUUCCCGAAACGCAUUUCUGAAUGCAGAAACUAUUUAGAUCAGAUUGGUAGCACAUUGGGCCAAGAACAGUGUCAUACUGUUCAUUAUCUGGUCGUGCAUUUAAAUGCCAUUUCGAUAUAUUGAAUGAAAAGUCUAGACCUUUUGCAAAAGAUCACACAAACAGUACAAGUGAAACUUGCCUUUAACUCCUUUCCUCUCACGCCUAACGUAAUCUCCUGUCUUGCAGGAUUCCAAAAAUACACAUGCAGUUGCUUACCUCCGCUUCCUUGUACUUCUUUUCAUUAUUGUUCCAGUUGUUACUCUUGUUCCCAGUUCGUGCAGUUUUUUCUCAAUUGAUUAUGCAAUCACCGAAGUGGCAACCUCAGACUCACCUACCCUCCAGCUGAUGGCGAAGGAUUCAUAAAACAGCAUCUAAAGAAAGGUUAUAUUUGGAAGAAAAACAAUUACAGCUUUCAUUUGUUAUUGCAUAUUAUAGUGGUUAGUAAAAGAAUAAACCCUGUCAGCCUGCUUACUUCAGAAAGGCGGAGCAGGGCUCUUUGGAGGCUGUUGAAGGGCUUUCAGUUUGGAACCCCACCUGGGAAUGACUUCACCCUCCCUGAAAGUGGAAUCAUGAGGAACGUCAUGAUUCCACUUCUGAAAGCGGAAUCAUGGAGGAACGUCGUGACUGCACCCGGAGGGGCCCAUGAAAGGAAUCAGAACAAGCCCCUUUAAAACACGGGAAAUGAGGCAGAAUUCUACAAGAGGAACAUGGUUUUUUGCCGUUUCAGGUCCUACCUUCAUAGGGUGUUGGGUAACUCUAAUAAGCAGUGGAAUUUUAAGCCCCAGUUUUCUCAUUGGUAAAAUAGAAGUAUUAAUCAAAUGUACCUUAUCUCCCAUGUAGAACUAUCAUAGGGGGACAAAUGGGAUCAUGCAAAUGACAGGUUUUGGUGAACUGUAAGUUCCAUCCAAAUGUUUGUUAUUAUAAUGAAGUAGACUCUGCGGAGUGAAUGGCAAAUUAAGUCCUUGGGUACUUUUAGUUCUUUUAGAUAAUUGCUGAUUUCUUUUCAGAACGAAGAAUUAAGAUCCUAUGUGAUGCCCUAGUGGUCCAGGGGGAAGGAUUAAUGCUCCUACCAAAGCGUCUGCACUAUAUCCAGAGUAUGACUUACAAACUUUUAGGAGUCAGCACCAUUAAUCAACCUACAGACUUCUAUUACAAUGCUUAGAUCAUUCCUGUAAGGAAUGUGUUCGGGGAGAAAAGAGAUAAGUGUCGGAAGAGAGAUGUAUCACUAUUGCAGAGCUCAUUUUGAGAGUUUAGGGAAAGCUGAAUACAAGGAGAGAUGCCUUCGUAAAGUUUUAUUACUUGCUUAAAGUCAUAAAGUACAUUCAUGCCCUAUCAAUCUCUGGUUCAAUGGGAUUAAUUAAUUGAGGCUGUGCAUGCACACCGUAAGAUUAAUUUACUGAAUAAUUCACUGAGGAAAGUAUGUUCAAUUUUCAAGUGCUUGGGACUAUAAUGAAUCAUUGAUGUGACUAAUUUACCUUCCCUGUAUUGACUGAUAGGUUUUAAAUUGAAGUGAUCGGUAAUUGGGGCACAUUGAUCGCACUUUCUGUCGCGUAUAUUAUUAAGAAUUCCCAAAACUUUUAAAGGACUGGCAUGUGUUUUUCUUUAUAGGAAGAUUGAGGAGUGUCAUAACUUGUCAACUGGAAUUUCUUCUCUAUUUUUUUUUUAAUUUUUUUAAUGUUUACUUAUUUUUGAGAGAGAGAGAGAGACAAAGCAUGAGUGGGAGAGGGGCAGAGAGAGAGGGAGACACAGAAUCCAAAGCAGGCUCCAGGCUCCUAGCUGUCAGCACAGAGCCCGACAUGGGGCUCGAACCCACAGACCGCGAGAUCAUGACCUGAGCCAAAGUCAGAUGCUCAACUGACUGAGCCACCCAGUGCCCUGAGGAAUUUCUUUUUUAGACUCACCUAUGUCAACAAGUUCCAACUUCUCAUCACAAUUGAUAAAUCAAGGGAGAAAAUUGUGUUGAGAAUGAUGUGCAAAAUUCUCAGGAUCUCAGGGAGGAAAGUGGACAAAGAAAUGCCUACUGUUCUUUGUGUCAGAAUUCUCAUCCAAACUGCCAAUGAGCAGCCUCUGAGAAUUCAGGACAGCGUGACACGAAACAAUAGAAAAUGUGGCAAGCACAAUUAUGUUUCCCAAACCAAGAGACAUUUCGAAAAGAAGAAACUUUUUUUUUUUUUUUGGUCCUGUAUGAUAGCCUAAAAUGUGUAUUGGAGAAUCUUACUCUAUUACUUGGAAACAGAAGCCAGGAGGAAUUAGAUAGAUAUCCACGUUCAUCUAUAUAUAAAUUCCGUCCAUCUCCCAGCUUGGCCCCUUGUAGGUGCUUAUAUAUUGGAUUAAUAGUGAAAGGGUCAAAAAAAAAAAAAAAGGAGCAAUGAGUAAUCUAAAUCAGUGGUUUAGGUCCUGUUUAUAGGAAUCAUGACUGUAUUACUCUCACUAUUUCUUCUGGACUAGGUGCCUCUUAUUGGAGGCAGUGGUGUUCUAACUUUCCUUUUACACGAUCACUGUAAUUCCCAUCUUGGUCAUUAUAUCAAAAUUCUUAUUAUUGGGAGCAAUGUAAGCAUAUAAACGAAAUCUGAUCUGCUUUCUUUAGCGUCUCAAUUUGAAAAAACAGCUGCAUGGUUUUGAAAUUGAAUUUGAUCUUGGAAAGAACAAUAAAUUAAAAUAAGAACACACUUCACUGGCCUUUUGCCUGUAUGUCUUAAUGUUUUCCAUUCCUCAUUUUGGGUACUAUACUAUCCUCUCCAAAGAAGCAUUCACUCUGUAAUGGGUCUGCCUUGACUUUAUUGAAGAUGCUGUAUUUUUUUUCAAGUUUUUAAAGAAUCUUGUCUAUAACGUAUCUUUAUGAUACGGAUUCUGAGGACCAUGUGACUUAGUUCAACUGAUGAUUUAUUUUAUGCAUAUUCUCUUUUUGUUCUUUGAAUGGGUAUUGCUACAUUUCUAGUUCUCACAAUAUUUUCUCCCAUGUUUUUCUUUUUUUCUCCCCUCUUUACGUACAUUCUACAUUAAAGCUUUUUUUUUGGGGGGUGGGGGGGUGGUGGGCAGUGCCUGGGUGGCUCAGUUGGUGAAGCGUCUGACUUUGGCUUAGGUCAUGAUCUCAUGGUUUGUGGGUUCAAGCCCUCCACUGGGCUCUGUGCUGACAGCUCAGAGCCUGGAACCUGCUUCAGAUUCUGUGUCUCCCUCUCUCUCUGCCCCUCCCCUGCUUGCGCUCUCUCUCUCUCUCUCUCUCUCUCCCUCUCUCUCAAAAAUAAGUGAAAAACAUUUAAAACAUUGUAGUUUAUUUUUCUUCACAUUAUCCCCUUUUAUCUCCUUUCUCCUUAAAUGUUCCUUUUUUAAGUUUUUCUCACGUUCAAUAUUAUAGCAUAAAAUGUUUCUCUGUGUUUGUAAACAACCACUAAAAAUGCUCUUUACUAUAUUGUAUGGGGAUCUUCAUAUAAAGACAUAAAGGCUAAAUCCCUAUUACAAUUCAGGAUUAAGGGAAAUGGACAGUUCCUUACAUUGUUCUCUUUCUCGGAGUAAAUGUGUGUGUAGGUAUAGUUCUCUUGGAAGCUCAAGUUUAGAGUCAAGUUUUGAUUUCUGUUGUAGAAGUUUCAUUUAAAAAAAAGGUUUUUUUAAUGUUUAUUUUUGAAAGAGAGAGAGCACGUGCACGCAAGCAAGUUGGGGAGGGGCAGAGAGAGAGGGAGACAGAGGAUCCAAAGUGGGCUCUGCACCAGCAGCAGAGGGAACCCCGAGAUUAUGACGUGAUUAGAAGUCGGUCCCUUAACUGACUGACCACCCAGGCGCCCCAUCUGCCUCCUUUUUUAUGACUCCUGUUUCCUUGACCUGUGUAUUGAUGGGUCUACUCUAUGCCUUUAGUUCAUUAUAAAACCUCUCCAAGUCCUUUUCAGAAAUUGGUAUAUUAUAAAUUUAAAAAAAAGUGUCUACAUAAAACCCAGUCACAGCUACUCUUUUUAAUCUUAUUCACAUUUCUUUGCUUUCCUUCAUAUUUUUUUAGGCUUGUCCAUUCAUUGUCUGCCUUUCUUCUUUUCUUACAUCCAUUUCUCCUCUCUUCCUUCCUUGGAUGUUCAAAUCUUUGCUCUGUUCAGCAUUUGUCUCCGUAUUUUUAAUUUCCUUAUCCUUUCCCGUGAUCUGACCCAGGGAAAUAGUGUGUGAAUUAUAAAUUUUAUGUGUCUCUUCGCCUCUGAUGGGUCCAUAACGGUGUGAAAACAUAUUACUAUUUGACCCAUGGAAAGGAGAGGCCGGUUGCUGGCUGUCCACAGGCUCAGCAUCAUAAAAGAGUCCUAACAGAUUAAUUGGUUAUGUUCUGUCUGGUUUCUCUCUGCGUCACAAAACCACAAGAGCUAUUUUGCACUCAUUUACUCUAUUUCACAAAGAGAGAAUGAGGUAAGCAAGGGUGGGUAGUAGAUUUCUGAUAGCUUUUGCCAGGGUUAGUGUACUAUCUUCAGCAUUAACACCAAUUGUGGGUCAAUGUCACCAUCUUCCUAGAAAAUACAGGAUCAGAUUUGGAAGAGAUGUGAUGUCAGAGUUUUUUUUUUUUUUUUUUAAUUUUUAUUUCAUCUUCCCAAAGGUUCUUAUAAACAACGUUCUUCCUUCCAUAAUAACUACGUUAGCCAGUAACGUCAGGGUUAUUAGCCUAUUUAGAAUAACUGUGCUUGCUUCUGAGAAGAGGAAGCUUUUAAGCGAUGGGGAAAAUGAAUGGAGGGCACAGGAAACAGAAAGAUAUCAACACGUGCACGUGGAACACAAUGCGCCGUCUUCCCAACGAGAUGAUAAAUUUACUGACGUUGGGCACUGUUCACCUCAAAACGUUAUGUCCUUCAGUGUUUCGGACAGGUUUAUUGAGCAAAUGAAAUGCACAGCAAUUGCUAACACCUCAGGAGAGACUAAAGUCGAAAUUCGCUUAGAUCAGCCCACGCAUUAUGCUCUCUGUUUAACAUAUAGAUGUUUGAUGAAAUUUUGCCCUAAAAAUGACUAGCUACUAACAACUAGUGUCUUGGUUCCCUAACUUUCUAGAAUUGAUACCCCCGUGUUACUCCAUCUCAGUGUUAAUUAUCCUCCAACUUUGAUGCUCAUAGAGUUCGUAAUCAUUUGGUGAAAUCUUCCCCCGAAGUGACGUUGUCCACAAGUUUUGACAUCGUCAGCAAGACUGUUGAUUCUCAAGGCUGGUGUUACAGAGACAUUGCCAGCAACCCAGUGAUAUAUCUUUCUGUGGGACCUAAAUGACCCUGUGCUUCAUUCCUGGUCAGCGAGAGACUCACAACUUAAAGCAGAUCCCAUGGGAAAGGUAACCUAGGCAACAGUCGUACCUCAUUUCAUUGCUGCCUCAAUGAUGGAUAAACCAUUUCCGUUGGUGGUGGUUCCUCCCCGGGAGAGCCAUAUACCGAGGUCCUCUAAUGUCAUAGCAUAAUGAGAUAUGAAUAUGAGAAAAUCAUGCUGAGUGGCUUCUUAACCAAGUGGAAAUCGGGGUGAAUCUGGAGAAAUAGCUAUUACUAAUGGUCCAGAUACUUUUCCCAGGCAAUGAACAUUUAUAACUUCUGUAUAGCUAGCUAUUUCUAAAGUGCAAUGUGGCAGAAAACCGUUGGCCAUUUCCUCUAUAUUAUGCUGAAUGGACAACCUUUUGAAGACCCCUAGGACAUGUCAUAACAUUUUAUUUUGCCUGUUCUCAGUUCAAAGCACUGUAUGAAAACAGACAUUCAUCCAGCAUUACUGGGGGGGGGGGGGAAAGAUGUUUUUGUAAGUGAAUUCCAAAAAAAUGGUAUUGUACUCCUUUAAACUCAAAAUGUCAAAAUAAGGUCAUGUUAGGAUCAAGAGGCUUUCAUUAAAAUUUUCAGUCGGGUAGAAAAUAUUUCUUUAAAUGUUCUACAUUUCCAUACAUUCUAAGGCUCUGACGAAUAUGGUUUACCUUAAUUAAAAAUCAUUAUCAGGGGCGCCUGGGUGGCGCAGUCGGUUAAGCGUCCGACUUCAGCCAGGUCACGAUCUCGCGGUCCGGUCCGUGAGUUCGAGCCCCGCGUCAGUCUCUGGGCUGAUGGCUCAGAGCCUGGAGCCUGCUUCCGAUUCUGUGUCUCCCUCUCUCUCUGCCCCUCCCCCGUUCAUGCUCUGUCUCUCUCUGUCCCAAAAAUAAAUAAACGUUGAAAAAAAAAAAUCAUUAUCAUACAUAUCAAUUAGUAUUAAGUAGGUGAUUUCAAAUGUCACAUUCACAUUCGUAAUGAAGCUGGUGUGCUCCUUCUAACUUGCGAAUCCAGUCAGAUGAUCCUCCUGCUUACAAUCCUUCCAUAAUCUCCACUACCUGUAGGAAAAGCCCAAGUCCCAGGAAGUUCUUCAAAUCAUGUCUCUUCUUACCACCCUGGUUGGUUUUCUGUCUCUCUCCUCACCCCUGAUUCUGGAACCCUCGAGCACUGUGUGCCAUCCCCCCAGUGGACCACAGCGUUGCACAGCUCUGUGCCACUGAUGGCUCCCUUUUUCCAGAAAGCCCUUUCUCUCCGUUUCUAACUUGUGACCACCCACUCCACUUUGAAGAUCCUGUUUGUUUCACCUCCUGGACUAAGCAUUUCCUGACCCACUGCCCACUUCUACUCCUAUUACCCUGGCCCUUUUGGGACUGUCAUGUCCUAUGCAUCCUUUAGUCAAGUGGUCCUCAUUCUGUGGAUUGCUUAUUGGUCUGGGUAUUUAACUCAUCGCGACUUUGUCACCUUUUUUUGUAUUCCUCGGUGUUGCUCGUAAACAACACCAAGCUUAGUUUUCUUUAGUUUUCUAGAGCUUCAUACCUGCUUAUGGCAUCAGUGAAGGCAACAGAGUGAAGCUCCCGGGGCUUUCAGAGACACGGGGGACACCUUGUCCCUAACUAAAUGACCCCCGCUAUUCCAAUAGCUGUGUAUUUUGUGACUGAGUUUUAUGGCAUUUGUUUGUUCUUCUUUUCCCAUUUUAUCAAGCUCUCGUUCGUUCUCACUGCUGUCAGUGUGUACCCUUCGCUAAGAUACUGAAACCCACUGCACCUCAGUUCCUUCCCUUUAUAGCUGUUCGUAAAAUAAGUUGGGGCAGCAUCACAGAGUGAUUAAACGGUUGACCAUAAAUGUUGACAAGUGACUCAGACUUUGAACUUAAAUGAGACUUCACAUCCGUUUACAGAGUGUAGACUGUGGUGUGUUCCUAAUCACUAUGAUGAGCAGCUCAUCAGCUCCACAUUGUAGACCCAUGCUGACCACAUCUGGGAGGCUCUGCAUAGCGUUUUGAAACUUCAGCUCAGAACGUUUCUGGGGAAGGUGUCCAAGCGCUGCCCCCCUACUGCCUUUUGCCUUCCAGACUAGGAUAUGCACCCUUCACACACUAAACCCUGAGUGUGCGUAAGCUAGAUCUGCAUAUUAAUCAUGUCGGGGGAGAAUAGAGUCGCCUUAAACUCGUCACAUCUUAGAUCUCUGUCCCUGUUUCUCAGCAGCCCACGCUGGACUAUCCUUUCCCAGCUUAGCUUUCCCUGAGCCCUCGCUCGUGGCGCGCUGUGUUUCCUCUUCCCGGAUACAAAUGCCUCAUCUACCUACUCCUGCCAAGACUUCCCUCUCUCCCCUCCAAAGUUCUCGUUUCCAUUCCGAAUGACUUUCCUUCCCUACAGCUCCUUCCCUGACACCUUAGCAUCCCUUGAGGGCACCGCUUUCCCUGCAGCCAUCUCAAACGGAGUAUGCUUAUCUUCUCACAACCCGGGGACCUCCGGAGCUGGAGGUGGCUGCUGGAAUCCUUCAGAGCUUCCAGAAUAAAAAAAAUUCCUGCUCUCCUGUGGCUCAUGCUGCUGCUACACCAAUCCUCACUCUUUCCAUUACCCUUACCUACCAACUGCCGGCCCACCCUGUCUCCUUCAGUGAAGCUCCAACUGCCCAUAGUCUUCAUUCCCACUUCAAGCCUCCUAGUCACCCUGGAAGGCUCUAAUGUUCACCAAUCUAGUAAUCUGGUCUCUCAGCCCCUUCUCCUCAUUUUCUCCAGUGAGGUCCAUGGGGUCACCCGUGUCACGUCACCCAAACCCACGAGAAUGUCAUCAUCUGGAAUGGUUCCGUCACCUCGUAAAAUCCGAGACGCAAAUAUUCCGCUCUGUCUACAAGUUCCUAUCCUUCUAGCUCUCUUAUUCUAAUAGUGUGUACUCGUCACACUAUAAGGACCUUCAACAAGGUUCCCCUCCAACUUAGCCAUAUUACCAGCUUCCUUCUCUCUUCAUUUCUUUUCCUUAUUGAUUUAAAUUGCACAACCCAUCACUUCCGCACUCUUGUCGUUACUCCAAAUCAUUUUCCCUCCUGCCCUCAGCUCAUGCUCAUUCAGAAAUAUCCCCUUUUCUAAUACAAACAAGUUUGCCUUCUCUGAUGCUAUAUCCUGCCCCUGACUGACAGGUGCUCUAGAAAUGUCCCUUCCAUGAAGAUUGGGGCCACGGGGAAGUCAUGGUCUCCAGCCUCAACUGGGCCCUUGGAGAUGCUCAGGAGUCUUGUUUCCACAGUCACGGUUGUUAUCUGUUCUAUAUUCUCCUAAACCUCAUUUGCUCAAUUGCCAACUUUGGCAUCAUCCUCGACUCUUUGCUUUCUUUUAGGCAGCACAUCUCAUCAGUAAGAAGUCUUGUGAAUUUUACUUCGCAGACAACAAUUUACUUCUCCAAUCUCUCUGCAUUCACACUGCCACUACCUUAGUGCAGUCCUAUAUCAUAUUUCCUCUGGAUUAUCAUAAGAACCCUAUUGUUUUUCUUUACCAGACUAGCUCUCUGGUUCUGCUCUUCUCCACAUAGUAACUAGUUCGAUCCACUGACGAUGCACCUACAUCCACUGGCUUAAAGAUGUCCUUCUUGUACUUCUUAGUAAAAAGCCAAGGCUGUUUCAUAUCACGUUGAACAUCCCGUGGGAUCUUCUGCCAUGGAUUAUUAUCCCAGUUUAGGUCUCUCCACCCUCUAUACGUCUACACAGUCCAUCUACAGCUCUUCACAUUCCUGCCCUCCCUGAACUCCACAGCCAUCAUGUUCUGGCUUCUCUCCGUAUCCUGGCUACUCCCCGUUAUUCCCUUGGACAGGCUUGGAUAAUGCCAAUGUAUCUUUCAGCUGUUGAAUUGAUGCCAUUCCUCUGGGAUGCAAUCCUUGACUCUGCUCGGCAACUGAGAGCAAUUAGAGAGUUGACUGGCACUCCGAUUUUAUUACCAAAGACCCUGUCUGUUGAGUUGUUUCUUCUUCUCUUGCAUUUUUAUGCUGAGGUAUAGCCUGAUUGAAGAUCCUUUUGUUUUUGUUGUUUUCCAGAGAAAUAUACUCUUUACUAAAUGAUGAAAGUGACUCUUUUGUAUACUUGCCAAAUCCUUCCAAGCCUCAGUUUACUUCUCUAUUGAAUAGAUAUUAUAAAGGAUAUGCUAAGAGGAGCAGUGUUAUGACCAAGUGAUUAAAUAAACUAUCACAUGUUAAAUACCUGGAAAAUAUGAACCCUUACAUAAAAUGUAAUUACAUCAUUUUGUAGAUCGAAAAAAGCAGAGGGUUUUUAGGUCAUUAUUGCAAAUCUGAUGCCACAUUUUAUGUAAGAUGCUUCCUUUGAGUGAUCUACUUAUACAUCUGGCAAACACAGAGAAAAAUACUAAUGCUUCUUACAAAAGCAGAGGUUAUAAAUGAUAAAACAACAACAACAACAACAACAACAACAACAACAACACUGAGACAAUCAUUAUAAAGAUGUGAGAUUUCCAAGCCAGAUUUUUGAGUUACGGUAAUCACGCCAGGCACAUGUGAAGUCCUUACGUCGUUCCAGGAAUGUGUUCCUUGUUCUGCCUAUGCAAACUGAUUGGAUAAGUCAGGUGUGGAAAUUCCUUGUCAGUCAAGCAAUUGGUGAGUUGUUUCCAUCUAAUCAGUUGUUUGUCUUAGGUCAGCCAAAGUUAGGCCCUGAGAGAUGGGUGUCUUCUUCAAAAGAACCAGUCAUGAGCAAAGACUCGACACAAAGAGGCUUGCAUUCCAUGAAGGAACCCCCAAAGCUACAUGGUAGGAUCUGUGUGCCGACAUUUCAGUGAGCAUGUGAACAUACCAUGUGUCCUUCAUGAUAUUUUUACUAGUGUUGCAAAUAAUUUUUUCAUGUUGUUACUAAAAAGGGCUUUCAUAAUUAAAAAAGCUAAUAAAAAUGAAAGGAAUUGCAUUUUUCUGGGAUUCUCCUCUCCUGCAAAUAGGUAGGUUACAAAUGGUUUCUCAGUACUCGAGCAAGAGAUUCUAGGUUGACGGUUACUCUUAACAUGCUGGGAUCAGUCACCAUAACACUGUAGAUUUAUCCAUGGAAUUAACCCCAACAGGUACGUAGGCAGACUCCCCACACAGUGUCGUGCACACCAUGCUUGACACUUUGAAUGGCAGUUUUGCCUCCGCCCACAUUCUGCUUCAGUGGUAAUGAAGCUCCUUUGUAUGGCAACCCAAAUUUUGUUUUUCAUCACUUCCCCCCAUUGGUCAUCUUUCUACUUAAUCUUAAGCAGCUUUGUGAAAGUUCGUUGUUGGUAGAUCCAUAAUAGAAAACAUGGGUGUUCUGAGAAAUAGUCGUUUAUGCCCCGCCAGCAUCUGCAGGAUCCUUUCAUUGACCAGGUAUUGGGAAGCUUACCAUUGGCAUUUCCUAUAGCUGCAAAAAUAGUCAAGGCUUUUUAUCUGAGAGAGUUCUUGCUUCACUUUCAGGUCUCCUUGUCUUUGGUUCAUUGCAUCUCCUUUUCCUGUCUUGAUUGCAUUCCUGACACUGAAUAUUUCUUUAUCGUGAUCUGCAACCUCUACCGACUUCCUCCACACUGAUGCUCGCCAGAUGUACAAACACCUAUUUGCCACCUGGGAGGAAGUCGCCUGCAAUGUUUGGAUCCCUAUUCCAGGCUUUGAUCUGGUUCUACCAGCCCCCAUUUAAGCUUCGACUCAGAUUAAUUUAUUCGGCGCAUAUUUUUGAACACGCACUAUGUGUCAGACAGGGAUAGAGGGCUGUUCACAGACAGGUAAAGUCAUAGACACUCGGGUGCCAUUACCCAGGAUGGAGUACUGAGCAGUAUAUGUCCCGUUGUGGGAAUCCUUGCUUUCUGUCCCGUCACUUAAAUCUAUCUUUAUAGCUGUCGGAUCUUGGAGUCUGCACGUCUGAAGCUUGCCAAUAUAGAUAUCAAGAUAUAGAUAUUAAUAUAGAUAUUAAUAUAGAUACUAAUGUAGACAUUAAGGCAAAUAAGUGAAAUGAGGAGCCUACUUCUUCCAGGUCUCUUCACUGAGGCAGUGGAGUUCAGAUCGCCUGUAAAUGUAGCAUGACACAUUUCCAAGAAAGCAUCGGGAAUGGAUGGUCGGGAUGAAAGAAAUCAGCUGUUUGUGGAAGAGAACUGAGUCCCAGGAGGCUGUUGUCUCUGCCUCCAUUCCUCUGUAGCCUUCGGUCGGUACUGUGCUGUGAGCAUCCAGGAACAAGGCUGUUGCUGCCUUUGCAAUGCCUCCUGAUGGUGUUCCUGCUGCAGCUGUCAGAUGUAUGGAGACAUAAUUGAUGCAAUUCUAUUUAUACCCCGGGAUAAACUUAGAAAACCGAGCCAUGCCGCCUAAACUAGCAUAUUCAGUGGAUCCCCUUGCUGCAGUCUCUACCAUUCAAGUGACAGUGCUGUACGUUUACUAUUUGUCUCAAAGUCGCUAAUUGGCUCAUACCUUGGAAUACACUGAUCGUGCCACAGGCGUGCAGCUUCUGAAGUCAGAAGGCCUGGGUUCAAGUUUUGGCUCUGUUCGGGGUCAUGAUCUGUGGCACGUCUAUCAACUGCUUCGUCAGUAAAAUGAGAGUAAUAAGUAGCGUCCCCUUUACAGUGUUGUCGAGAGGAUUAAAUAAGCCACGUUGUAUUAAGCUCUUAAAACGGUUCCUACAUACACAGGAAGAAUUCAAAAUCAGUUGCUCCUUUUAUUCUCAUUAUUAUUUUACCUCCAGUUCAGGCACGGGAGUGGGUAUUAUGCCAGAAGGUGCCUUGGUUCAGGAACCAGAACACCUGGGUUACAAUCUCAGGUGUGCUACUGGUGAACUAUGUGACUGUAUGACCUUGGAAAAGCCAUUGAACUUCUCUGAGCCUCAGUUUCCUCGUGUGUAAAUGGGUGUAUGUGAGGGGAAUGUUACAGUGUCUUGUUUUGUUUUGUUUUGUUUUCGGUACAAUGUUUUAAAUUUGAAGGUUUCUUUUAGCACCAAAAGCAAUCAUCCUCACUAUCAGUUGAUGGGUCCUUAGAUAAUAUAGCUUAAAAAAACAAGAAGAUAAAUAUUAUUGAGGAAAUUAUAUUCUUAAAGACUCUUCAAGGGAGAAUUAAAGCCUGUAGAAAAUACUUAUGCUAGAAUAUUAAAUUAUAGAGCAAAUAAUACUACAAUGUUACACCUGUGGGUAGUAUUUCCAAUACUAUGAGUAUUCCAAUACUCUGAGUAGUUUCAUCAAAUGACAAACUAUUUGCUGUCAGUGUGGAGGCAAGAUCAAUAGAGUUCUAUUUCUCAGAAGAAUCAGGUAAACCACCCCCCCCACCCUGUCAUUCUCAUCACUAAUGGAAAAUUUAACUACAGGUAUAUGGGUGGAAAUUCUAAAUUCUGUGCAGAGAAUUUCAUCAUGUCAUAGGGAUGUUACUUUAAGUUGGUUACUUACUCUAAGAAAGUAGACUCAUGAUAUGAACGCUGAAAAUAGGACAAUGAAUUUUGGAGUAUUUCUCUGAUAUGCUGUAGUGUUUGUGGCACAAAGGAUUUCUAUUACUCUAAGUAGAAACUAGGCUUUAUAUUUUAUAUCUCAGAUCUUUUCCCAAAAAGAACACUAUUUCUUGUUCUGUGGUGUUGCUGGACAGAACUUAGCACCACGGAGUGGAUCAGGAGAGGGAAAAGGAGAUGUGUAAGAACAAGAAAAUAUUAGUCAAAAGGGGAAGAAGGAGAAGGAGAAGAAGAAAGAAAAGGUUGUUCUAAGCUGCUAUAAUGGUUAAACCUAGAAUCAAAUCCCAGCUUGCUGACUCUGUGACCUUGGGCAAUUUAACUAACCUCUCGGAGCCUCAUGGUUCCCAUGAAUAGGUUGAAGAUAGUAAUAUUUGGAUUUUAAAGUCAAUAUGAAAUAUGUAAAGUGGCUAGCAUAGAGACUGGAAAAUGGUAGAUGUUUAAUAGCUUGUAGUGAUUAUUUCUGAAUAUUAAAGGAGGAGGUUUACACACACAAUGCUAUGUUGAUCCUGGAGCAUAGUCACAUGCUUCAUAAUUCUUCAAAACAUCAGAAGAAACUCUGUUUUUAAUAUUCACUCACUUCACUUGUAUUCAUUGGGAAUAAUGGAACUGAUUGCCUGAGUCAGCAGGGUGGCUACUCCAGCUGCCAUUUCUUUUUAAAUGAGAUUAUUUAGUAAAUAUUCUUCAGAGAAGAAUUCACUCAUGAUUUCAAGACCAUAGAGCAAAGGGACUGUAGCUAGACUGUUUUGGGCAGUGUUAUAUAUUGGUGAGAGCCCAUGAUUUUGAAGCAGGUAUUUUGUUUGAAUGUCAACUAAACCACUUACUGGCUUCUGUUUCAGGGGUAAAGCAUUUAACCUCUGAGAAUAAGAUUAUCAACUUGAGGUGGAAACAGAAACAAACCCAGCACCUGUCUCAGAGGGCUGCAGUGAGAGGGGAGUUCAGAUGGAUGUGGGUGUAUUUCUUGAGCGGGUAGAGUGCUGUAAACAUUGAUGUUGAUUGUUGGCCAUGUCUGACCCAGGAAGGAGUUUCCCCUUCUUAGAUUUUAUUGUGUGCGUGAAAUACAGGACGAAGUGAAGGACACCUCUUCUUUGCCAACUGUCACUACUCCUGACACUUCCAACGCCCAAUAUGCGUGUGUGUUUUCCCCACACCAACCAAUUCUGCAAUCCUCUGGAUACCAACUGGAUGUCCUACAAUUCAAUUCUGACACUACCUCCCCAGAGUCAAUGCGGAUCGCAUGGACUAAGGGCUCCGUCCUCAAAGACUUCCUCCCCCUUCAGAUGCUAGCCACAGUUGGAGGCCUCCCNNGGCGACUGACCACUUGGUGAUAAAUCGGGGUUCCCAUGACCCCCUCUCAGCUUCAGUAAUUUGCUAUAGUGAUUUACUAUUACUUUAUGCUUUACUAUUACUGGUUUAUUGUCAGAUAUAUUAAAAGGGAUACAAACAGGCAGAUGAAGAGCUACACAGGGUGAGGUCCCCAGGAUCCCAAGUUCAGGAGCUUCUGUUCCAGAAGAGUUGAAGUAUGCCAUCCUCCCAGCACGUGGAUGUGUUUAUCGACCCAGAAGGUCCCGAACUCUGUUGUUUGGAAUUUGUUUUUUUAACGGAGGCUUCAUCAGAGGCAUGAUUGAAUAUUAACUCAAUCCUCAGUCCCUGUCCUCUCCCUGGAGGUUGGGAGGUGAUGCUGAAAGCCCCAAGUUUCUAACCAACAUUUGAUCUUUCUGGGUACUAGCCCCCAAGCCUGAAGCUAUCCCAGGGCCUACCAAGUGUUACCUCAUUAAAACAAAAGAUGCUCCUAUCACCUCCAUCACUUAGAACAUUCCCAAGUUUCUGGAAGUUCUUGCAUCAGGACCUGGGGACAGAGAUACAAACUAUGUGUCUUAUCAUGUCAUAAUAUUGUAUCUUUUUCCAUGAUCAACAGGUAGAAUUGUUGAAUCUUCAACUGUUUUACUUUUUUCUCCUACGAACCUCCUCUGUGGAAGCAACUUCCAAUUUACUAAUUGAACGUUAAAUUUAAUAACUUACUAAAUUUAAUAGAUUUGCUGAGUCAGCCAGACUUCUCAAUUUUUCCAGCAUUAUCCAGAUGAAACUCAAAACCACAGUGAGGUCUCAUCCCGCACCUGGUAGAGUUGGCUGUUAGCAAACAGACAAGGGACAGCAAGUGCUGGGGAGGAUGUGGAAUAAAGGGGAUCCUUGUGCACUGUUGGUGGGAAUGUAAACUGGUGCAGCCACUAUGGAAAACAGGAUGGAGGUUCCAAACUUCUUAAUUUUGGACCACAUUAAAAACUGGAACUCUUUGCCUACAAAGGCACAGUAGUUUUUCUGAAUAGAGCAAGAAGAAAUGUGGGUCUCACCUCCUAACUUUUGUAGACGCUGCUAUUUAUUUGAGGCGGUUGUAUGUUAGGCGUCAGCCCACCCAAGUUUUCACUGCCAACCCAAAGAAGCUAGAGUAUAGUAGCCACCUCUCCACCUCUACUAGGUUAUAGGGUAGCCUCCUUCAGGAAGUUGAGACAUCAGGAAGAAGAGGGAGUCCCACUCUUGACCACACCUGCUUUUCCUAGUCCCUUUAUUUCCUUCCUCCUUCUUGCCACUCUGAGACUUAAUCCCUCCCAGACCAAAGCUUCAAAGUGGAUGGAAGAUGAUAACCUGUGGGUUAAUUGAACAAGGAAAUCUUGAAAUCGUAGAGAGAAGAAAGCUAUUCAUAGAGAAUGUAAACAAUUGUGAGACUGAAGAACAGAGCCAGUUGGGGGAAGAGUGGAAUAUCGGCAUUCUGUUUUCAAAAGGUAGAGAAGAUACAUGUCUGUUUGUUGAGGAAAAAUGAAGGUUACUAAUUAGGGGGAGGUAGUGAACCUCCAAGUUAACAAAGACAAAAAUAUAAUGGAUAAAAUAUUUAUUAAGUCAGCAAAAAUAACAAAAAGGAUAAAGACGAAACCACCAAGGGAGAAUAAAUAAUAAUCCUGUUAAAUGGAAAGAUUAAUACCAAGUCUCUUAGUCAUUGCAAUAAAUAUAAAUGUGCUGAGUGUUCCAUUAAAUGAUGGAUUGUCAGAUUGAAAGAAAUGAAGAAGGGUUGAUGAUAAAGCACUGGCACCAGUGGCAGGGAUAAUCUAGCUGAAUUUUCAUUUGCUGUGAGUUAGAAAUACGGUAUAUGAGUUCAUAUUCCAUAAAUGUAAAGGAUACCACCUAGGCUAUCUGGCCUGUAGACUGAUGUAGUUUAUAUAUUUGCAUUGCUUUAUUUAUUCUUUUAUUCAGUCAAUAGUGAGUCCCACCAUACAGAGGCAGAACUGCAUAUUGUAGCCAACUGAAAGCUUUAUUUUCUCAAUCUGGAAGAUACUUGUGAAUGAUUUAGACUCUCAAAUCAUUUCACCUUCCCUCAUCGUCUGCUACUCCGGAUGAUAGGCAGAGCUGCCUAUGAUUUUUUUAUGUGGCGCUCCCGUCAUCUAUUCAUUUUCAUAAUAGACAUAGCUGACAAUCUUCCUUUAAACGUAUGUUAAGAGUCUGAAAUAACAUGUUGAAUGAGAAAGGGUGUUAUUAAUUCAAGGAAAAUUCCAGAUUAUUUGCCAGUUCCUUUCUCUUUAUCAUCUUGAACUUUAGGGCUAUAACUUGCUUUUGGUAUUUAAAAAGGAAAUCCCUUUGGUAUUUAAAAAGGAAAACCCCAUUUUUCUGUUGUACUUUGCUGAAUUGCUCUCUGGACCGUGCCAGCAGUCAAAGUUUCAAAAGGAUCUCAUUGUGCUUCAACUUCACCUGGGUCCUGCUUUCAAAUGCAGAUGUUUAGACCCCAGACCUUCUGGAUAAUAGUCUGCAUUUUAGUAAGAGUCUCAUCUGAUUUGUUUGCACGUUAAAAUUUGAGAAACACUUCUCUAGGAGAUUUUGGGGGGGCUGAUAUAUUGAUUCUGCAACUAAAAUUGCCAUUGGUUACACAAUAAAAAAUAAUGGCCAGGAAGGUCUUUCUCCCAUAUUCCCACUUUGCUUUAUCUGUAGGAGUCUUGGCACUUCAUAGGAUGUUCCAUCACAGAAAUUAUCUUGUCCUGUUUUCUGGUAUAAUCAUUUCUUUAUUUACAUUACUGGGAUACUUUAAUUCAUUCUUGGCUUCAGUGACUUAGAUAUGUGCAUGGUUAAUGUUCAUAAACAUCUUCAGAAUCUUUUUGGAAGUGGGUAUAAAUGACAAAUAGAAAAAAAGUAUAAAUGUGUCUUUUCUGAUAAGAGAAUUUAAGUAUGUUGGAAAAUGACAAUACUUUAGCUUUCAAUUCACUUGAACUACUUCGGGCACAAAGACAGAAAAGGGAUUUUUGUUCCAGCAAAUGCACAGCAGGAACAGCUGAAACCCGGAGAGAGAUAAUGCACUAAGUAUAGCAGUUAAGUGAUAAAGAUUUUUAUUCCUAAAGUGGCAAGUUCCAAGCAUCAAAGCAGCAGGAACAGUUUAAGACAGCAAACAGAAAUGGGAAGAAUCUCCUGGAGCUAUGAGGAUGCCUUUGGGUAUUGUCAGAGAGCGGGCCAAGUAGGAUACGUCCCAAAGGGACAGAUGAUUACACUUGGAGGCUGUUGAUUGUAGAUCAUGGAAAGCACCAUGUUGUACUAAGAUACCGAAUCCAAAGAUCUUUUUGAAAUCAUUUCUUGUUUGCUUUAUGAUAUUACACACUCACGAACACUUCUGUUUUUCCUUCCUUGACUUUGCAGACCUGACGUACACUGUCCAGACUGACGUACACUGUCCAGACUUGCCUUCUUGACUUGAUCCUUUGAAGACUGCGUUUUUUCUUUCUUAUUAACCCCUUAAAUGUCUUGUUUUAAUUUCCACUUCCAAAAAAGUGACUAAAACAUACAUUUCAAAUCCAGAUAUCUAGAUCCCAAAACAAGAAUAUCCUGGAUACAUCUAAAAUUCAGUAGGCUGAUCAGAAACAAACAAACAAAAAACAAACUUAUGGUGCUUAUUCCUGCAUAGGAGACUUUCAAACUGUGCCCUGUAGAGCCAUAGUGCUUUUUCAGGGUUGUCUCAGAAGGCCCCCAGAGACAAAGAGACCAUGCCACUGAGGUUUUUGGAGGAGCUCCCUCUGUCAAUUUCAUCUUGGUGGUCUAUGUAGAUUAUAUUUGGUUAAGUAGUAACGAUAACCAUAAAAACAAUGACUUAAGAAGAAAUAGAGGGGCGCCUGGGUGGCUCAGUUGAUUAAGUGUACGACUUCAGCUCAGGUCAUGAUCUUGCGGUUCGUGGGUCCGAGCCCCGCGUCAGGCUCUGUGCUGAUAGCUCAGAGCCUGGAUCCUGCUUCGGAUUCUGUGUCUCCCUCUCUCUCUGCCCCCACCCCUGCUUGCACUGUUUCUCCCUCUGUCUCUUAAAAAUGAAUAAUGUUAAAAAAAAUUAAAAAGAAGAAAUAGAAAUUUUGAAUAGACGUAUGUCAAGUGUAAUUAAAACCUAUCCACAGCAAAAAGCCCAGCCCCAGAUAACCUCACUGGAGAAUUCUAUUAAAUGUUUAAGAGAAGAAUUAAAGUCCAUUAUUUACCAACUCUGAAAAGACAGCAAUGGAGAGAACAGUGCCCAACCUUUUCUAUGAGGCCAGUGUUACCCUGACACCAAAAUCAGGCGAAGACAUCACAAGAAAACUAUAGGUCAAUAUCUCUUAUGGAUAUAGACAUAAAAAUUCUCCACAAAAUACUAGCAACUGAAUCCAACAACAUAUACAAAUUAUCACACAUCAUGACCAAGUGAGAUUUGUGUUAGGACUGCAAAACUGGUUUAACAUCUGAAAAAUCUGUAACACAAUAUCAAAACAAUAAAACACACAAAAAAACACAUGAUCUUUUCAAUAGACAUAGAAAAAGCGUUUGACAAAGUCCAACACGUCCUCAUGAUAAAAAAAUAUUAACAAAGUAGGAAUACAAGGGGACACCCUCAACUUGAUAAAGGGUGUCCGUGAAGAAAGCACAGGUAACAUUAAACUUAACAGUAAAUGUCUCACCCUGAGAUCAGGAACAAGACAAGGAUGUCUACUUCUAUUCAGCUUUGUACAGGAAGUUCUGGCAAGGACAACUGGCCAAAGAACAAAGAAGAUACACAGUUGCAAAAACCUCUGAAGAAGGAGAAGAAGAAAAAUUAUCUCUAUUUAGAGAUGACAUAAUCUUUAUACAGAAAAUUCUAAGAAAUCCACUGAAAAACUAUUAGAUCUGUAAAUGAGUUCAUCAAGGAUGUAGGAUACAAGGUCAGCACACACAAAAUCAUGGUAUUUCUAUAAACUAGCAAUGAAAAAUGUGAAAUGAAAUUAAGAAACUAAUCCAUUCACAGUAACAUCAAAAAUAAUAAAACACUCAGAAGUAAAUUUAACAGAAGUGUAGAAUUUGUACUGUGAAAACGACAAAACAUAGUUGAAAGAAAUGAAACAAGACCAGAAAAUGGGAAGGUAGGUCAUGUUCAUGGAUUAGAAGAUUUAAUAUUGCUAAGAUAGAGCUUCAACAUAAUCUCUUAUCAGAAUCCCAGAUAUCAUUUUGCAGACAUUGACAAGGUAAUCCUAAAACUCAUAUGGAAACGCAAGGGGCCCAGGAUAGCCAAAGCAAUAUUGAAAAAGAAAAAUACAAUUGAAGGACUCACUCUCUCCAAUUUCAAAAUUUAUUAGCAGUGUGCUGUUGCAUAAAGAUAAACACAUAGAUCACAAGGAAUACAUUUUUGUGAUCUUGGGCUAGGUAAUGGUUUCUUAGUUAUGACACACACAAUCAAUUCCUACCAUUUUCUCAAGGCCCAAGUCUUCAUCUUUCACCUCUAUCUACCAUUCCACUUGCACUUAAGUUGUAUAGACUAGUUGAAAAAUGUCUUACGUUUAUAUGCCCAAACUCUAACUUAGUGGUUCUCAACCGUGCCUGCACAUUGGGAUCACUGGGGAGCUUUCAAAAAAGACUCCUUUGGGUCUCACGCUCAGAGCUUGUAAUUUCAUUGGGAUGGGGUGCAGCCUGAGCAUCAAAACAUCCUAAAAGUUCUCCAGGUGAUUUUAGUAUAUAAUAAAGUUUGAGAAACUUGCCCUAAGUGAACAGUAAAUUCCUCAUAACAGACUUGCUUUAUGAUUAACGAUAUCCCCAGCACUUAGCACAAUACUGAAAAUGAAACAGACGCUUACUCAUUGCUGAGGAAGGAAGCAUUCUUUAAUUCUUUAUCUUUAUUAUUCUGACAUUCACUUCUUAAAGAAAUAAAUAUGACCAGGUGUAAAGUCUUGAAAAAAUACUAUUUUAACUUCAAAGUAAGGUUAAAUGUUUUGGCCUUGUAUUAUUUUCCUGAAUCCAUUCAUGGGAAGAACUGGACAGCCAUAUUUCUUCUGUCAAUACUGGAGGCACCACUGACAUUGGUUACCCCUGAUGCAGAUUGGACACGUCGUCAUUGCUACUGGACAUCACUGGCUUAGUGGCCAUGCUUGGUUCUGUAAACUUUCCACCCCACCCCCCACCCCAUGUGAUGCAAGGUAGAAAUAAGAACACUUAAGAAAUAGCACUUGUCUUUGAAGGGCUUGCAGUAUAGUAAGAGAUAGAACUCAAUGAGCCCCAUGACCUGGUAACAUUCUACUUCAUCGAUUAUGUUUGUAGUACUAGAUGUGUUUCUCUUUAAUAUCAGGAGUGAAACCAGAAACCAUCACAAUUGCUUUGACAACAUGUGGAGUUCCUGUCUAGCGUAUUGAGCAAGAAAAUAGAAAUUAGAAGGAUGAGGCUUAAACAACAACAACAAGAACAACAACAACAGGUUGAGCCUUAGAAAGUAGUAAAUAAGGAGGGCCUGGGUGGCUCAGUAAGUGUCCAACUCUUGAUUUUGGCUCAAGUCAUGAUCUCAGUUGAAGAGUUUGAGCCCUGUGUGGGGCUCUGUGGUGAGCUCCUCCAAAAUCCUCUGCUCUCAAGCGCAGAGCCUGCUUAGAUUUCUCUCACUGUCUCCCUCUCUGUCCCACUCCCGCUCACUCUUGUGCUCUCUCUCCCUCUCAAAAUAAAUAAACAUUUAAAAAAUCAAGUAGUAAAUAAACCUCUCAUUAUUUACUCAUAUAUACCUCUCAUUAUUUACGUAAUAUGAUUUUUUUUACACAGGAAACACAAAACAAUCUCCAGAUAAAUUAUUAGAAAUAAUAGAAGAGUUUAUAGUAUGGUGACUGAACAAAAGACUAAUAUGCCAAAAGGAAGUUGCCUUUCUAUGCCCCAGCAACAAAUAACCAAAAAAUACAAUUUCAAAGAGGACAUUAUUUACUGUAGUAUCAGAGAGUAUCCUUCAUCUAGAAAUAAAAAAAAAUGGCAAGACACGAAAAAUCAUGAAACUGUGUAAAAGGCAUUAAUGAUCUCAAUAAAUGGAGAUUCAAUUUAUAUUCAAGGCUAAGGACACAGUAUAUUAAAGAUAUCUAUUCUCCUUUAGUUGUGCGUUAGACUCAGGGAAAUUCUAAUUAAAAUCUUUAAUAGUAAUUUUCAUGUAACUUUGUAAGUCAAUUCUAAAAUUUCCUUGGAAGGAUAAAAGAGCCAGGGAAACUGGACAUUUCUGUUCUGCCAGAUACCUCAUGGCAGAUUACAACUCGGUCAUAGUACUUCGUUUAAGAUCCUUUGUGUGUGUGUUUGUGUUUCUGAGUUUUGUGUAUACAUAGAAAUGAAGAAAGGAAGUAACACACAACUUAAGUACAACGGCCACUUUCUUUGCUUUGCUUCUCUACGUAAAUUCUCUACGAUUACUUUGUGCCACCUCAUAAUCAGAAAAUCAAUUACAGUUUUCACAUAUCUGCAACAUGCUUGUAUAGGUUCUCAUAGUGUGUUUGGCAUUGUCUUCUAUAUUACCCCUUUAUGUCUCUGCUUCCUUUUUUUUUUUUUUUUUUUUUUUUGUAAAUUGAAAAGGCUCUAAAUUGAGGUGUCUGAAUAUAGCUGGAGACGUUGUGUUACUGCGAUUCUGUAAUCUGCCCUAUUUCAAACAGAUCAAGGUCACACAUGCCUUCAAGCCCCAAGAUCAAACCGUUUCUAUUAAGCCAGUCAACAUGAAUAGAGUUUCUUAUAAGCUCAGUGAUUUAAACCAGGAGUACAUUGCACUUCAUUACGUUGUGAAUACUAAUAUACUUCAGCUUUUCUUGUUGUCUCCUGGCCCAAAGGCAGAGGUUUUGACUGGAAUGAAAAUAGGUAGAUUUUGAUAUUUUCUUUCUGAUUUACUCAGUGAUCUAUAGAAAGAUCAUAGUUUUCAUUGGCCACAUAAAUGAAGGCAUCCUCCUCAUUGACUCAAACAUACAGGUUCAGGGCAGUUAGAAUAAUGUUAGAAUUACAGAGAAUUUAGACUAUAGUAAAAAUUCCUUUUUUCUCACCUUAAUUCCUAUGAAUGAACAAGAAGCCGCACUGAACCUAAGAACUCAUUUCAGAAUUUAGUAAAGCUAUAUCAUUUCUCAAUGAUUUUUUUUUUUAGAUACGAAUGACUUUUCUGAGCUCUGUCUUGCAUGUAGAUUCACUUUAUUCUAAUACAUUCACUGAUGGUCACCUUUUUUAUUUAAUAAGCUAAAAAUAAGAGAUGAGGCAAUGAUUGUGAUUGCACUGGACUCCAGCUCCUAGGGUAAAGUCUAAGCAGUUUGAAUUGACAUUUUGUCGUUGUCAAAAACCAACUGCUCGCCACAUCCAUUGGCGUAAAACACAACAUCUGGUUCAGUAUAAUUAGGUUUUCAAGUAAGCUGAUGAGAAAAUGAGCCUUGUGCACUUAUCCAAAUGAAGAAGCAUAAAGAAUUUUCUUUUGAUUGACAUAAAUACAUGAGAUGGAAUUGCAAAAUAGAGAAUCAGGUCUUGGAAUCACACUUGACCUCAGACAUGACCGUUGCGUAUCACGUAGGUGCAGGAAACAGAACUCAGGUUUGCUUUCAUUACCACACACGUGCUCGGUGAUGACAUUUCUGGUAUGAAGUGUCACGCGGGAGGAUCUCCUGGGGUUGUUCUCUAAUCGAGUGGUUGGCCCAGAAAUAAACACGGAUUGAGCCUGAAGGUUUCGUGAUGGUGAGUAUCAGCAUUGUCACAGGCAGGGCUAGGAAUGUCACUGGACGAGUGCACUUCGCUGAUUGUGAGAGGGGAGCAGAGGGCAUUUCUGGAGGCCGGAAGUGGCCAGCUGGGCAGAAUGGGGUUGAAUAGCCUGGCCCUUGCUUCUGCUUCUUGUAGAAUCUGAAUACGGUCUCCAUGCUACUCUGGAAUAGUCCAUUGCUUGGAACAUUGUUUCGCCCUUAGAAUAGGGUCAUGGAGCUGUCGAAUGAGUAAAUAGUUCUAGUUCUGGGAGCAGGACCACCAGACACAAUGAUUUUAGUUGAGGAAAACUGCCUCCCUGGAUUCCUUUCACAGCAUUCUGGACUUCUAAUUUGGGUGACACUGGCCAUCAUAGGCAUCCACCAGCUGGUCCCCACAGGGAAGGGGACAGCAGGAGAAGGGAAGGGACCACACAAGAGCUCUUAAAAUACAAUGCAAAUCCCAUGACUCUUUUCCCUUUAUGAGAACGAGUUCUGUUUCCUUUUAGAAGAAGGACUAUUUUCCCCUCUCCAUUUAUAGGUUUCCACAGGUGGAGAGCCCACUGAACUUGUAAUUUCAUUCUGGGCUUUACUGGUUUGAGUAACAAUACUGUGUACUUGACUUAGACUUGAGCUCAAGUUCUAGUGUGCCCUUGUGAAGUGAUGUAGAUUUGGGAAAUUAACCCCUGUGGCUUCAGUGUUUCUUUAUCUGUAAAGAUAGUAUUUCUUUGCCCCAACUAACCGGUUGUGUUGAGAAACUACACAACCCCAACUUGUUGUGUAGUUGUGUUUGCCCCAACUAACUGAGAAAAAAAUAUGCAAAAGGACUUCUCGUAUGGUAGCAUUCUGUGUAAGUGUUAUUACAUUUUCUUCUCUAAAAUACAAUUCUGGGAUUGACAUAGCAAGUAAAUAGCAUUAGAUGUUCUUGCAUUUGUAACAACAACAGAAAAAUCAAAAUUAGUAUAGCAGAACUUACUAUCUACAUUUUCCACAUGAGGAGACAGAACUUCAUUUAACUUAAAUGAAUUAAGGAAAGGUCAUGUAACUGGUACAGUGGCAGGAAUAAAACUCACAUUUUCGUGUAGUUUAAAUUGGCGUUUUGUGAAGUUUCACAGGAGAAACUAGACUGACAGUGAUAAUUAAGUAUCGUGGAAUGUAAGAAGUUUUCUGUAAGUGAGUCCAUAGCCAGAAAUACAUUUAUAUCCAGAGAAUGUUGAUUGCAUAUCAGUGUUUGGGAACCAGUUGUGUUUUGUUCUGUGCUUGGUUCUUAGGCUUUGUAACACAUUUAUUAACGGCCAAGAGGAAACCUAGAAAGAAAGCCUCGGGGAAAACAAAAACAAAAACAAAACAAAACAAAUGUAACAGGUUUACAAUUUGGAGUCAGAAAUCUAAGCAACAUCAGUAGGUUUAAAUAAUGAGCCAAAACGAGCUAGGUGGUAUUUGAGAUAAUAUUCUACACACAAAUAUUCUAAAAAUAAACCAAAUAGGAAGAAGUCAUAUAGAAGUUUGUAUGAAAGAGUCACUUAAUUUGAUGACAAAAUCAAUAAAUCUGUUGCGUGAUUCAGAUGUCGUAAAGCCGUAAGUGCAAUCUUAGGAAGUGACCUGAACAAGAAGGUAGCAGUCCCACUCUCUGACAGACCACUCCUGGACAGGAAACCUUGUAUGGUGGUUCAGGAUGUAGACUCCGGAAAUAGAUUGCCAGUUAAAUCCUGGCUUUGUGACAGUCUUCUGGUCCUGUGAGUUUGGGGAAGUUCCUCAAUCAGCUAGUGCCUUAGUUUCCUCAAGGGCAAAAUGGAAUUAACAGUAGUACAUGGCUUAUAGAGUUUUCAUGAGGCUUAAGAGCAUAGCCCAGGGGCUCAAAAAUGGAACCUGGCCCAAAGUGAGUUAGCCAUCAUAAUCAUCACUGUUAAUUCUGAAUCACAAACUAAGAAAAGCACUCACAACCUGGACCAUUUCCAGAGGAGACAAAUAGGCUGGCACGAAGAUAAAAUUCAACACGAUUUAUUAAAGAUUUAUUAGGCUCCAAACCAUAAACUACAAAUAAAAUAAAAGGAUAAGAUACAAAUGUUAUCCUUUCCAAAACCCUGGGGGUUGGGUAUUCUUGUUUGCGCGUUGUGCAUGAAACAAAAUGUGAAUUAGGAAGGUUAUAUAACACAGCCAAUAAGUGAUAAGAUGUCUGCUUGACUUUGAAAUAUCUCUACCCAUUAAGUAAUGCGCAUUUGAGGAUCAGCUGACGCACUGAGGAAGUUUAACCUGGACAAGCAGGGACCAAGUAGAAGCAUAUUGUUCCCUGACAUUUGAAGGACUGUCAAGUAGAACAGGGGUUUGACCCUGCCCAGCUAAUAAUACAGUCCUACAGAAAGACUCCAGGACAGGGCUCUGGUUCAUCUCCUUAUCUGCUCAGGCCCGGGUUUACUGCAUUAACCUCUUAUCUGAACUUCGUAACACUAAGCUUUUCUUAGUACAAUUCAUCCUGCAUCCUGUUAUGAGAUUAAUCUUCCAAAAAUACUACCACUAUUAUAUCAGCCUCUGGCUUAAAACCCUUCCUCCAUGAUAUGCAGGAUAACGUCCAGACACCUUAACUUGGCAUUCAGAAUCUUCCAUGAGCCGUUUCAACCAACAUCUAGAAUCAUUUACCUUUUCUGUUUUUUUUUUUUUCAAAUUUAAUUUCUUUAAAUUCAUUUUCUAAAUUCCAGUAUAAUUAACAUAUUAAUUUCAGGUGUACAAUAUAGUGAUCCCACAAUUCUGUACGUUACUCAGUGCUCACUAUGGUAAGUGUCCUCUUAAUGCCCUUCAUCUACUUCAUGCAUCCCCUCUGGAAACCACCAGUUUGUUCUCAUGGAGGGAUCCCAGUUUGUUCUCAUGGAAGGUAUAAUGCUGAGCGAAAUGAGUCAGUCGGAGAAAGCUAAAUACCAUAUGAUUUCACUCAUGUGUGGAAUUUAAGAAACAAAACAAAACCAAAAAUGAGACAAAUAGGAUCAUUUACUUCCUAGACCAAAAGGUGCCUAAGAUAUAACGUCACCCUGCACCAUCAUCAUGUGAGGAGAAUUAAGCUCUGAAAAGUCCCCUGAUUUAUCAAGAACCUCCCGCUGGUUGAGAGAAGAGUGUGGAUGACUGUCCAAUUUCUAUAUUAUUAUUGUGAACAAGACGUUCAAACUGAUGAUGGUGACAGAAGCAAAGCAGAGUGCACUAACCUGGACAAUAAGGGAAACUUUCCAUAUGCAUUUCUUCCAUACAACUCAGGGAGAGGUUUGUCUUUUUUCCCCCAAUUUUAAAAACUUCAUUUUUUUAAGCGCUGUUUCAGAAUCACAGCAAAGUUGAGAGGAGGGUACAGAGGUUUCCUGUAAGUCCCCUGCCUCCGCACGUGCAUGGUUUCCUCUGGUAUCAGUCUAGCCCUCCAGGGUGGCACGUUACGGUCAAUGAUUCCACACCGGAACAUCGUCAUCACCCAACUGUGAGGGUUGGUUCAGCCUUGGUGUUGUACAUUCUGUGGGUUGGGGUGAAUAUAUACUGCCAUGUAUCCACCAUUACAGUGUCCUACAGACACAGGUUUUAGUGCCCUAAAAAUCCUCUGUGCUCUGCCUGUCUGUCCCUCAACCCUCCCCCCCAUCCUCCUGGAAACCAUGGUUCUUUUAAUUGCCUCCAUAGUCUUGCCUUUUUCUAGAAUGUCAUAGAGUUGGAAUCAUAAAGCAUGCAGUCUUUUCAGCUUGGCUUCUUUUACUAAGUAAUACACAUUUAAGUUUCCUCUGUCUUUUCAUGGCUUGAAAAGUUUAUCUUUUUUUACACUCUGUUAUUAAUACCUUCCUUAGCUUUUCUUUGAACCUAUAAAUAUGUCUGGACUGGUCUGCCAAAAACGUAUAUGUAACUCAAGGCAGAGUCAAGGUGAGUGCCAUGUUAUAAUCACUGAGAUUUUUUCUUUGCUUUUUAUUUUAUUUAAAACUUUUAAUAAACAUUUUUUUAAAUUUAAUAUUUAUUCAUUUUUGAGAGAGAAGAGAGACAGAGCAUGAGUGGUGCAGGAGCAGAGAGAGAGGGAAACACAGAAUCCAAAGCAGCCUCCAGGCUCUGGUCUGUCAGCACAGAACCCAACGCAGGGCUCGAACUCAUGAGACACGAGAUCAUGACCUGAGCUCAAGUCGAACGUUUAACUGACUGAGCCACCCAGGUGCCCCCCCCCAAAAUUUUUUUACUGUUUAUUUAUUUUUGAGAGAGAGAGAGAGAGAGAGAGCAUGAGUAUGGGAGGGGCAGAGAGAGAGGGAGACACAGAAGGAAUCAGAAGUAGGCUCCAAGCUCCAGCUGUCCACACAGAGCCCCACGCAGGGCUCGAACCCACAAGCUGUGAGAUCAUGACCUGAGCUGAAGUCAGACGCUUAACUGACUGAGCCACCCAGGUGCCCCUUUGCUUUUUAUUUUAAUUUAUUAUUUGUCAUUGUAAUCUUUGAGCCCAGUGUGAGGAUGGAGAGGUAUCCCAGUCGUAGUGGGUGCUUCUCCAUACUUGCCAAAACUACACUUGUGGUUUAGAGAGGUAAGUGCUGGUUCUAGAACGAAUCAGACAGUACAGUGUUAACACCUUGGCUCUGUCCGUUUCUACCUGAGUGACAUUGGGCUAAUAAGUACACCUCUUGGAGCCUCAGUUUCCUAGGCCUAACCAUGGACCUUUGUAUCUUAUUUAUUUAUUUAUUUAUUUAUUUACUUAUUUAUUUAUUUAUUGGAGUUGCUUGCCAUGUUUUAUUUGUCUGUAACAAAAACUUGGUUGAAUUUUCCUCCCUCCUUGUAUAUCUUAUUUAUUUACUUAUUUACUUAUUUAGUAUUGAAGUAUAAUUAACAUACAGUGUUAUAUUAGUUUCAGGUGUAUAAUAUAGAGAUUCAGCAAUUCCGUACUUCACCCAGUGCUCAUCAUGGUAAGGAUACUCGUAAUCUCCUUCCUCUGUUUCACCCAUCCACCCCCCCCCAUCCCCAACCCCCCACCUCUGGCAACCACCAGUUGCAUUUAAGAGUCUGGUUUUUUGUUUGUCACUUUUUUUCUUUGUUCAUUUGUUUCUCUUUUUUUUUAAUGUUUUAUUCAUUUUUUGAGAGAGAGAGACACACAGAAUCUGAAGCAGACUCCAGGCUCCAAGCUGUCAGCACAGAGCCCGAUGUGGGGCUUGAACUCACGCACCGUGAGAUCAUGACCUGAGCUAAAUUCAGGAGCUUAACCUACUGAGCUCCCUAGAUGCCCCUUUUUUAAAUUAAAAAAAAUUUUUUUUUUUACUAUUUUGUUUCUUAAAUCCCAUAUAGGAGUGAAAUCUUAUGAUGUUUGCCUUUCUCUGACUUAUUUGACUUAGCAUAAUACUCUCAAGUUCCAUCCAUGUUGAUACAAAUGGCACAAUUUCAUUUUUAAUGGUUGAGUAAUAUUCCACUAUGUAUAUAUAUGUAUAUGUAUGUAUAUAUGUAUAUACAUAUAUAUGUAUAUACAUAUAUAUAUAUAGGGUACGAUAGUACUAUAUAUGUGUGUGAUGUAUCUAUCUAUACAUAGAUAUCUUUGUUCAUUCAUCUAUGGAGGGGCACUUGGGUUGAUUGCAUAUCUUGGCUGGUGUAAAUAGUGCUAUAAUAAACAUGGAAGUACAUAUGUCUUUUCAAAUCAGUGUUUUCGUUUUCUUCGGGGAGAUACCCAGUAGUGGGAUUACUGGAUCAUAAAGUCAUUCUGGUUUUUAUUGUUUGAGGAACCCUCAUGCACUGUUGGGGGGAAUGCAAAGUGGUGCAGGCCCUGUGGAAGGCGGUAUGGAGGUUCCUCAAAAAAUGAAAAAUGUAUCUUCUUUUUUAAAGCCUGUGAUGAGGUUUUAUUGGGAAAAAAAUGAAUUGAAAACCCCUAUUUAGCCUCUGAAGACUGAGCUGAGCCUCAGCAGGAGGAGGCCUUGAGGGUACAAGGAGUCCAGCUAUCUUUUGUGGCAGUCUUUCUUUUGAACGGCUAGCAUAGGUCUUUGCACGUUACCCUAGUAAGACAAUGGCAUAAAAAUGCCGUAUUUCAGGUCUGUUGUUUUUCUCUCAUGGGGAUCCACUGUCAUCUUCCCAAAGAUCCUCUCCCUCCAUGGGAGCUGGAAACUUCCCUGGGAAGACCCUCAUCUGACUUCUGCUUCAUGUGUGGAAAAAACAGCCUUUUGUGUCCUGGCAGCUUCCAGAAGCUCAUCUUCCUCCAUCCCUUAGGAAGUGCUCCUGGCCACUGGUCCUGGAGGACCCAGUAACAACCCGGCACCCCUGCAGGACUCCGUUUUCAAAGUGCCUAUUUUGAAAGAUAAAAACACGUUUUCCUCAGGAAGCCCAAAGUGCCGCUGUCUCAUCCUUCAGAACUCGCGUCCUUUUUCUGUGAUGUCUGGCAUUUUUAGUUCUCUUGUCCCUUUACCCUUUCAUUUAACACAUCACUCCUUGACAGAGGCUCACCUUCACCGUCGGGGAAGAAUAACCCCAGGGCAGGCCGUUUGCUCAUCAUCCUCUGGGGUGAAGAGGAAUGCAGAGAAAGAAUUUAGUUUUUCCCAAAUCUCUUUCUCCUCUUUGAUUUUGUCUCAUGCUUUGCUGGUUUGCAGGCAUUCACUGGGGCGGCCACAGACAAUGUACUGGAGGAUCUUUUUUUUCUUUUUUCCAUUUAGUUCUUUUCUUCUCUCUCUCUCUCUUUUUCUCUCCCUUCAAAAUCUUUGUCCUUCCCGUCGGUGUCUAACCUCUGUCAGAGUCUUCGCUCCGUGCUGGGAGACGCGAUGUGGUCACCUUUCCGUUUUAAUCAUAGCCUCUGAGGGUCGGAAGAGAACGUGGAGAUCACGAAGCCCAGCUCCCAUAGGGGGGCUCUGUGUUCAGUUCAUGUAGCCGACAGGCAUUCGGCCUUUCUGUGGACAUUUUCAGUGCCCGGAAGCUCAUGGUUUCGUAGCGCGGCCCAUCCCAUUACAGGAGCACACCCGUCAUCAGGGAUCUUUCUUAUUUUCAGCUGGCAUUGGUCUCCUGGCGACAUCCAGCCAUCACUGAGGUGGUAUCUCGGGCCAUGCAGAAUAAAUCCAACGUCCCUUAGACAUGUUAUCUCUUCGCAUGUGGUCCUUUUAUUCUAUGCCUUCAACUAUUCCUGAUGCAAUGUAUCCUCCUGAUCUGUUUCUUUCAUUUCUAGUGGAAACAAUUCAGCUUACAAUUACUGUUUCCCACCACCACCACCCCCCCCCACCCAGAGUGAAAACAAAAUAUACAAUAGGAACAUAACCGAGUUAAUAUUUUUUGGUUUCUUUACUAAGGCGACCUAAGACGUUUUGCAUUGUAAUAUGAAUUCUCUGAUUAUGUUACUGUAUGCAUCUAUGCGCAGCUAAUAUUUCAUUGACCAAAACUCAGUUCUUCAAUCAGCGAUUCUUCAACUUGAUAUUAUCUUUGGGGAACGUUUUAGGGCGAGAGGAAAAGAGGUUCUUGCAAUCACAAAAAAGAAAAAGAAAAAAAGGAAGGAAGGAAAGAAGGAGGGAAAGCAAGCAAGCAAGCAGAGGUAAGAACCAACAAGCUUUUAAAGGUAGUAUUGUGUUUUAAAUUGAUUUAGUGUCAGAUGAUCUCACAGGAGCUCAUCAGGAGAAUGGAACAGCGAUGAAGAUGGUCUGAAAGCUUACUUACAGAGAACACAAGAUAUCUCAAACUAAAUGUCAGGAAGAAAGAAAGAAAGAAAGAAAGAAAGAAAGAAAGAAAGAAAGAAAGAAAGAAAGAAAGAAAGAAAAAGAAAGAAAGGAGGGAAGGAAGGAAGAGACAGAGAGAGAGGGAAAGAGAAAGAAAGAAAGAAAGAAAGAAAGAAAGAAAGAAAGAAAGAAAGAAAGAAAGGAGGGAAAGAAGGAAGGAAGAGACAGAGAGAGAGGGAAAGAGAAAGAAAAAGAAAGAAAGAAAGAAAGAAAGAAAGAGAAAGAAAGAAAGACAGGCAGAAGUAAGAACCAACAAGCUUUUAAACAUAGUAUCAUGUUUUAAAUCGAUAUAGUGUCAGAUGAUCUCACAGGAACUCAGCAGGAGAAUGGAACAGAGAUGAAGAUGGCCUGUAAGCUUACCUACAGAGAACACAAAAUUAUCCCAAGCUAAAUGCCACAGAAGGAGAGUGUGCAUACUCAUAAACACAAGGAAAACCAUUGGCGAAUAGACUUCUUUCAGAGAGUUGAAUACCUAUAGAUACCACCUUUUCGUUUUGCAAAAGGGGAUAUCUGGACUCAUAUUUAAACACCAAGUUGGCGCAAACUGAAAAUCACGCACAGCUCUGUGGCGUGUAGGACUUUUAGAUACGUCAAUGUGCUCUUGCCAGCCACGGCUACAGGAAGAGGACCAACGUGGUCCCCAAGUUGGUUUCCUCCAUGGAAACGGGAGCCUCUGAUAGCAGGGAAUGCCGGGAGAUGGCAGCUCAGCAGUUACAUCCUCUAGGCCACUGAGUAGGCCAUGCAUUGAGAGAUACCUGUCGGUAGGCAUGGAUUUGCAGGUGCGGAUAAGCACAUAGAGAGAAGCUCUAAGAGAACGAUGCAGACUGGAAGUGCAAGAAAUGGUGUAUGUGUACGUCGGGGGUGCUGGGUAAGAGGGAGGUCAGCUAGGAGAAAGGAAAUGGUCAGGAAAACAAAACCCAAAAGCCUUGACUUUGGUGUCAGUCACAUGUGUAAAAUGGAAAAUCUUCCUGGAGACUUUCUCACCUCCGUUUUUAAGAACCUGUUUCCUUGUUGCUAUUAUCAGUGAUUACCUUUCCGCAGUCAUAGAUGGGGCACUUUGCUGUGGGCCUGGUCAUUUAUCUCCUACAGUAUCUCAGUUAAUCCUUGAAAAUUAAUAAGGUAAAUAUUAUUAUGCUUUUGUUAGUGAAGAAGAUGACGGAGAUGAGAAAGUUUAAAUAAUUGCCCAAGAUUAUGCUACUAGUAACGAAAGGUUCAAACCCAGCUUGGAAAUAAGAUCAAAGAAUUUAAGCACCGUGACAUGAUGCUGUAUGAAUAUUCUUCCAUAUUGACCCCGAUGACCUCCAAGAGUCGGGUGAAUUAUUCUGACCUUGCAUAAAUUGUAUUUUAUGGAAUGAAAAAUGGCAGUACAUUGAAAUGGAAAGAGACCCAGAUUGGGAACUUUGAGGCAGAGACUGUUGUCUCAGCUUUGCUUCUGGCUAAAUUCGCAUCAGGUAAAUCAUUCGACUCUUAGAAUCCGUUGCCUCAGCUGGCAAAUGAGAAUAACAACCCAUCUCAAAGGUUUUUCUGAAAAUCAAGUUAUAAAAUGCUUAUGAAGAUAAAAAGUGAUGUAUGAAAGCAAAGCAUAUGGGUCAUGUAAUCAGCAGGCCUUCAGGCAGUUUGAACUUGGAAGCAAAAUCUAAUGAUAUAAACUGAUAAAUUAUGCUAAAUCAUUUUUGUAAUAAUUUGUAAAGCAGUUUUGGAGUGCCCGCAAAUCAGGCAUUGUGCAGAGCAAAAGGAGAUACGAAGAUACAUAAGACAUAGCUCUUCCCUCAAAAGGUUUAUAAUCUAAAGAGUUUUUACUGAUAUUAGCUGCUACAUUUCAGAAAAUUAAUUUCUUGGAACUGAAAACAUAGGAAAUUGAGAUUUUUGGUCUUGAUUUUGGUUCAACUCGGUUUUAUUUUUAUCUGCAACUCCCAAUACAGAACGUAUACCUUAACUUGGUACCUCUCUUUUCUGUGCUGUAUUACAUUCAAAUUUACUACAAAUAGAAUGCUGCUACUACUUUGUAAAUAUAUUUAUAAAUCACUUGAAUAUGGUGAUGCAUAGCAAUUUUAAAAUACUUACAUAAUGAUCUGCAUUCAAAUUAAAGGCGGAAAGGUAUGAAAAUAUUUCUGGAGGAAGCCUUUUUCUUCAAAGAGGAAGGAAAAGACCUCAAAGGCCUCUUACUGACUCUGUAGAGCCUUCUGUUUCACUCUUGUCAGCUUCUAGGUUCUUAGUUACAGACACAGAAUGGUGAUGGGUAGAAUUAUUACAGUUACUUUCUAAGACAGACUGUAUGCCCAGGGUAGCAAAAAAUAAUAAUAAUAAUAAUCCCUGGAUUCCUUCUAUUUAAAUUCCUGCCCAAAGAAAAUGUGCCAUUUUAUGUCAGCCAAAUCGGGUUUGCUUCUCAUUCCCAGUGAAAAUCUGAGCAAACCAUCACUGUCCCAGUAGACUGAGGAAGGGGUCAGCCCAUCUUAUGUCUAAAGCCAGAAAGUAGCUGGAAAACCAUGAAAUUACUCACUGUAAAAGUAGUUUAGGAGGUGCCUGUGUGGCUGAGUCAGUUGAGUGUCCAGUUUUUGAUUUUGGCUCAGCUCAUGAUCCCAUUGUCAUGAGAUUGAGCCCCCUGUCAGGCUCCAGGUUGGGCAUGGAGCCUGCUUAAGAUUCUCUCUCUCUCACCCUGUCCUCCUCCCAUGCUUGUGUGCACUUUCUCUAUGUCUCUUCACAAAACAAAGGCAGUUUAGGAUGAGUUUUUAAGAUGUGGAGGUUGUUGAGAAAGGAAAAAAUUCAACUGAUAUUUGAUCAGAAAAAAGGUGCGUGUAUACCUCUUUUUCUUAAGCUCUCCCAUUUUCUUAUGAUCUAGGGAUGGGACUAUUAGAAUGUUAGAAAUGUUCAAAUAGAAUGUAAAAUUGAGGAAAAAAUAAUACAGUAUUUGAGGUAUUGGGGGGGGGUUUCUACUUUGAUAAUAACAAAGGUUAAUGUUGACGUGCAGUAAAGUGAUUAUGGAUUUUUAUCAAUUUAAGUAACAACACCGUCUUGUCCAUGGAAAAUUUAUUAUAGUUCUUUCAUCAUUGCUGGUUUGGCCUUCUGCCCAGGAGGUGUCUUCGGUUAUGUCCUGUACUGGUUAACCUGUCUGGAAUUGCUGCUAAAAAGCUCUGCUUCUUUAAAGAAAAUUAUUUCCCCCAGGAUAUUGUUAUCAUUUAUAAUUUACAGAUCAGGACACAGAGAUCAAGGACCUUGAGGAGUCUGGAGUUGAUGGGAUCUGGUGGUGGGGUCGAGUGCAGCUAGAAGAGGUUGCCCUGCACAGAGUCAGGAGAAAAGAUUGGGUAUGAUUGGAGAGAAGUCAGCGGGUGGUGAAGGUGGAUGAUUAGGGUUUUCUCUCUUUGUGGCCUCAGUUUCUGACAACAUAAGAGACUAGAGACGAUAGCGGGUGUUGGGGAAAAUUGCGAAGAGUGGUGAAGGUUUGAAACCACUAUUGAGAGAGUUUGGGUGGCGAGAUGUUUAAGGAGGACCCUGGUGAAGUUGGGAUCUUGUCUUGAUCAUGGUUCUAGUCCUCAUGGCAGGGCAUUCCCUGCCAUGGCAAUCUUCAGUCCCAGGCAGUAGUUAACUCUGCCACUGGAGCAGUGGUACACUUGCCAAGAAGAAUUCUACACAAUUGGAAGGAGCAAGUGAUCCACAUCCAUCAAUGGGUAAAGUAAUGGACUAUGGAGUGUUGUCUAACUCAUUUCUAGAUGGAAGUGAGGAAAAGAGGUUAGGGGGGAAAUUAUUAACUGGUAGGAAAAGAGAGGGUCUAGUGGAGAUCAUGUAUCAGAAGAUUGUGUGUUAGAAGAAAAGGUAGUGAGUAAAGAUACUAAGUUGGAGCCAGUGGCAUACUAAAGUUUAAGAUUUUUAUUUUUUUCUUUUUUUUAAUAUGAAAUUUAUCGUCAAGUUGGUUUCCAUACAACACCCAGGGCUCAUCCCAAAAGGUGCCCUCCUCAAUACCCAUCACCCAUUCUCCCCUCCCUCCCACCCCCCAUCAACCCUCAGUUUGUUCUCAGUUUUUAACAGUCUCUUAUGCUUUGGCCCUCUCCCUCUCUAACCUCUUUUUUUUUCUUCCCCUCCCCCUUAGACUUCUGUUAAGUUUCUCAGGAUCCACAUAAGAGUGAAAACAUAUGGUAUCUGUCUUUCUCUGUAUGGCUUAUUUCACUUAGCAUCACACUCUCCAGUUCCAUCCACGUUGCUACAAAGGGCCAUAUUUCAUUCUUUCUCAUUGCCACGUAGUAUUCCAUUGUGUAUAUAAACCACAAUUUCUUUAUCCAUUCGUCACUUGAUGGGCAUUUAGGCUCUUUCCAUAAUUUGGCUGUUUUUGAGAGUGCUGCUAUAAACAUUGGGGUACAAGUGCCCCUGUGCAUCAGCACUCCUGUAUCUCUUGGGUAAAUUCCUAGCAGUGCUAUUGCUGGAUCAUAGGGUAGGUCUAUUUUUAAUUUUUUGAGGAACCUCCACACUGUUUUCCAGAGCGGCUGUACCAGUUUGCAUUCCCACCAACAGUGCAAGCGGGUUCCCGUUUCUCCACAUCCUCGCCGGCAUCUAUAGUCUCCUGAUUUGUUCAUUUUAGCCACUCUGACUGGUGUGAGGUGAUAUCUGAGUGUGGUUUUGAUUUGUAUUUCCCUGAUGAGGAGCGACGUUGAGCAUCUUUUCAAGUGCCUCUUGGCCAUCUGGAUGUCUUCUUUAGAGAAGUGUCUAUUCAUGUUUUCUGCCCAUUUCUUCACUGGAUUAUUUGUCUUUCGGGUGUGGAUUUUUUUUUUAAUUUUUUUUUAACGUUUAUAUAUUUUUGAGACAGAGAGAGACAGAGCAUGAACAGGGGAGGGUCAGAGAGAGAGGGAGACACAGAAUCUGAAAUAGGCUCCAGGCUCUGAGCAGUCAGCACAGAGCCCGACGCGGGGCUCGAACUCACAUACCGCGAGAUCGUGACCCGAGCCAAAGUCGGACGCUCAACCGACUGAGCCACCCAGGCGCCCCCGGGUGUGGAUUUUUAAAGAAUGAGUCAUUCUGAAUCUUAACAAAGCCAAACUUGUGCCAAAGGGAGUGGAUCACUGAAAUCAAGGGGAAGUGAGGGCAAGUGGAAUUGAAGAGGUCAAGGAAAGGUUAAUCUGGGACAGUCAGUGGGUUAACUGUGCAGACAUUUAAAUCACCCAGCUGGUUAGUGGAAUCAGAAGUGUAUAAAAAUGUCAUGAGUCUAGAGCCAGAAUCUUCUGAAAAAGUGAUUGGGUAGGCAUGCAUUUGGCAAAGUGGAAGUAGAGGGGUGGUUAAAUGGUAAGAAUGGUAAGUUUUUUCUAUUUAGUUGUAAGUCUGAACGAGAGAAAGGGAGUGAAAAGUCUCUCCCGCACAGGGGAACAGAGAGCGAGAAGGUGAGCAGUCUACCGCGGAUAAUCCAGGGAGGUAGCAUCCUUGGAGAUGGGGAGUAGAAGCAAAGUUCACAUGGAUCCACAGAGUUUGCAGAGCAGGAAGGGAAAGGAGGAAAGCAUGGAAGACAGCCAAGGUGCAAUGAAAGAGGGUGGGAACUGGAGGGGCUAUGAUUUGAGUCAAUGGUGAAAGGCAUCAACAACAAGUGAGAGGAUAGAAUUGGCCAACUGGAGCGUUGAUUUCAAGACAUGUCUGCACCUAGUCGCACAGAGACCCUGGCUGGUGUCCCCAGCAAGAUGGCAUUUGUUGUCUGUGGUUCAUUGCAAAGAGACCUGUAUGACAGAAGGUAAAAUAGAUACUAAUAUUUACUGCAUUGUGCACAAAUUAUGUCAUUUAAUCUUUAUAAAAAGUCCAGAAUGUAUGCAUAAUUAUCCUCAUUUUUUUUUUAAAGUUUUUUUUUUUUCAACGUUUAUUCAUUUUUGGGACAGAGAGAGACAGAGCAUGAACGGGGGAGGGGCAGAGAGAGAGGGAGACACAGAAUCGGAAACAGGCUCCAGGCUCCGAGCCAUCAGCCCAGAGCCUGACGCGGGGCUCGAACUCGUGGACCGCGAGAUCAUGACCUGGCUGAAGUCGGACGCCUAACCGACUGCGCCACCCAGGCGCCCCAUCCUCAUUUUUUUUUAAGAGAUGAAGACACAGAAUCUCAGAGAGGCAAAAUAAUUCUUCCAAGGUUAUCAGUGCCAGCAAGUGCUUAAAAUGCAAGUGCCAAACUCCAAACCCAGGUUUGUCUGAACAUUCUUUCUCUUGUACCAAGAACUGACAUCUGGGUUUGGAUCCACACUUGCUCUAGGUGAAUCAAUUUCUACAUCUGAUUCCUUACAUCCAAAAAAAUAGCAAUAAUAUCAACUUUGUCUAACAUUGACCAUGAUGCAGUGAGAUGCUUGCAAAAACAGUUUCAAGUAAACAGAUAAAACUAUACACUCAUAUAUUAACUCCUUCACUCACGAGUCUACUCUUUUUCUGUAUCCUUAAAUCCCUAUGAAUAUAGGUAAAUAACUCGUCUAUUCACUAACUUGAAGUGUAAUCGUGUUCCUAUAGUAUAAACCUGUACUACCAGGAGUUACCAGAUGUACAAUAUAAAAAUAUUCCCCUUUAUAGGGUAAGGCUGAAUUGUUUCCUAUAAAGGAAAAUUUCCCCAGCGAGGUAGAAGGGAUCAUGCUUGUGCCGAUUCUUUUUAUUACUUGACAUUGUUUUGUUAGUGGUGCCAAUCUGGUGGUGGUAAAACGGUUUCUCAUGGUUUGCAUUUCUCUGACGGCUGCUGAGGUGAGCAUCUCUUUGUUUAUUGGUCAUAAAUGUUUUCUUUUGUAUGGAAUGUCUGUUAAUAUUUUUUAGAUUUUUUUAAGUGUAUGUGUUUUGAGAGAGCGCGCGCAAACGCACGCGCGUGUGCACGACAGUCGGGGAGGCGCAGAGAGAGAGGGAGAGAGAGAAUCCCAAGCAGGCUCCACCCUGUCAAUGCAGACCCAGAGACGGGACUCCGUGCCCCGAAUCACAAGAUCGGGACCCGAGCAGAGAUCAGGGGUCAGAUGCUUAACUGACUUAGCCACCCACGCACUCCUGUCUGUUAAUAUUUUUGCUCCUUCAUUGCCCUUUUCUAAUGAGACCCUCCAACUUCCUAAAGGUUGAGUUUGCAUCAAGAACAUGAAUUAAGGAGUACAAAGUCGCACCGUAAAUUGGUGGGAAAGCUUGAACUAAGACUGAACUGGUCCGGUUUUUUUUUUCACGCGAUGUCAUGGUCUCUUUUCCACUGAGAUUCUUUCUCCUCAAACAGAGGGGCACCUGAGUGAGGCCGUUUGCAUGGGACCGUGUGGGAUACCCAGCUGGGAUGGUUCUUGUUACUUCGGCUUCAUUCUUCCCACAGAAAUGAAACAAAGUGAGCCAGACACAUCAAUAUCCAGGGAACCCUGUCAAUUUUGAUGAUACAUGGAAUUUGUUGUAAAGCAACCACUAGUGCAGAACUCCCAGUCUGGGGAGAGGUGGGGGUCAAUGUAGAUAUGAUUUGAAACCUUGUGUAAGAUAUAUGAUAGGCAUUAGAGAAAUGACAGUUGGAGCAGAAAAUAUAAAAUGUGACUUUGAGAGAGGCUGGCUGGCUGGUCAGCUUUAGGUUUUAUUACUGCCGCCUACUCCCCCUUUGUUUCAUGGUUUUAACGGACCUGAUAGUUUGUCAUUCUCUCUGCUCUGACUGCAUACGAGAAACGGAGGAUUGGGGCAUUGGCAUAUGAGAGGACAGAGGGAAGUGAUUUUUCUGUCAUUUCCUAAUGAUAUCUUCAAAUAAUAACCUGAGAUCUGGAAUGGAAGAAUACGGUGGAAGUGGAAUUUUGAAUGAAAUCACUCAUUCAUCAAUUCAUUCAUUCUCUCACUCUUUCCCACCCACCCCCUCCAUUCAUCGUUUUAAGCACUAAAUCAUUGUGUGUGAACAAUAUGCUGAGUUGUACUAGAGGGAAAUCACGUUUUGCUGUUGAAAUGGUGUCCUGUGGUCUACACGCAUUCUUUGCCUUCCCACCUGUUAGCAGUUUCUCGGGUUCUGCCCGCCAUCUGUCCUUCUUGCUCAUUUCUUUCUCCUCCUUAUUCAGUGGCUCUUAGAUGGAGGAAAAUACAGUGUCCUUGGAGCUUUUUGUGCUACUCCUUUUACUCUCCUAUGAGACACCCAUGGUCUGGCUCCCUAGUCCCCUAAACACUGGACUGACACCAUAGAUCUUCAGGGUGGUGGGAGUAGAACGUGGGGAUGUGGAGAGAGAAGAAGGCAGACAAUGUAUGAGUAAACCUUUGAAGACAUCCAUUGACCUUUUCCUAAUAUUUGGUAUAGGACAAAUAGUUCUUUGUUUCUAAUAUGACAGUAUAAAAUAUAAUGUUUGUAAUUAUGCCAUGUUCUAUCACUACAGCGUGCAAAAUACUCCUUUCAAAGCAAUACUUUAGGGAUGCCUGGGUGGCUCAGUUGGUUGACCCUCCAACUUCACCUCAGUUCAUGAUCUCACAGUUCACGGGUUCCAGCCCUGCAUCGGGCUCUGUGCUGCCUCUGUUCCCCUCACUCUCUGCCCCUCCCCCACUCAUGCUCGUUUUCUCUCUCUCUCUCUCUCUCUCAAAAAUAAAUUAAAAUUCAAAGCAAUACUUUAAUUAUCCUCCCUCAUUUUUUCUUCUUCCUUCCUUCUACUGUUAUUCCCAUAUUCUCUUUAUUGAGCUAAUAUGAAGGUCUUAUAAUCCAACCAUGUCAUUUUAGAGAAGAGGGAUUGAGGGCCAGGAACAUUGUUCAGCUUGCUUAAGUUUUUAAACCCUGAAGCUCUGGACUUCUGACUUCUAGACUAGUAUCCUGUAUUCUUCAUGACCGGAGUUGAUACUCCAGGAGACUCCCUCUUAGAUGACAUCUUCUGACAGCCUUGUAGACUGGCUCCCUUUGUUGUUGUUGUUGCAUAUUUGGAGACUGAGCCCCUAAGUGCCCCUAGGUUAGUUGCCCUAUGCCACUGACUUUGUGAUAUUGACAAAUGGACCUCACAGAGAUCUUACAGGAUCAUUAUCCUCUAUGAUAGAGUACCAGAAUGCAAUUCAAUAUAGAGAUCGCUUUUCUGAUAUACUUAUUUUCUGGGGGUCUCCAAGAUCAUAAGUAUCUUGAUUAUAUGAGUGGUUUAAUCUGUUUUACCUAUCUUUAGGAACCCAUAUUUAGUAAGCUCUCACAUCAAACAGGACAUUUAAUUAUACCACAGGCACAAUAAUUCAUUCAACUAAUGUUCAUUGAAUACCUGUCAUGAGACAUUCACCUGACAGGCACUGAAAAUAUAUAGGACAGAUAUUAUUUUUGCCCUCAGAGAGCUUAUAGGCAGAGGCAGAAGUGGAUGCAUAAACCAAAAACUUCAAGCCUGGGCCAGAGCAGGCAUCAUAUAUCCUAAGAUUUAAGGAAUGAUCUAAUGUUGUCAGGCAGACAAAGCAAGCCAGAAGGCACAGCAGCAUCACAGAGGCAGUGCCUGUUGCUUGCUGGACCCCUCAGCUUGGGUCCAUCAACACUGCCGACUGACGGUGGAGGCGGGAAGACAGAAGACUACCAAAGAAACAGGAUUUGGCCUCAGAUAGGCACACACACACAGUCUUUCAUUUUCUUAUCCAGUGCCCCUUCCAUCCUCUCACCGUGGUGACGAGAGGAGAGCUUGGGCCAGAGCUUAUCUACUCAACUAUGUAACAGGAAAUGAAUUGUGGUGGGGAAAUGGCCUCUUUAACAUGGGGAGAGCCUCUAGAACUCUGUUACUUAGAUAAGUCAGAAACUUGGUGUUCUUCAUUUGUAGUAACACAGACUGGCAGGUUGAGAAGCUACCAAAACGGAAGAGGAAAUGAUCCAAGCCUACCCAGAGUUGUCUCUUCUGUUCUUUAUUACACACACCUCUACAUGUUUUCUCCCCAGAAUGUCAUAAUCAAAAGUUGGUGAUCUGUCUGAGCAAGUGAGCCAAGUGCACAUGUUUAGUUUUGUGUGAAAUCUCAAACUUUCACUAUUCUUUCUUUUACUUUGGUUCAUCAUACUUCCAGAAUCAAAAGAAUUAUUCCACAGUUCUGCCAGCUUCUCCCUCCAUAGUACCUGUCUUUCCAUAACAUCCUAUGGACCUGUGUAUUAUCACCUACACUUAUUAAUUCAGCUCAUUUUAUUUCUUUUGACUAACCAUCGUGCAUUUUCCUCUUCAUAGUCAAUGGACUCCCUAUCUGAACUCCCUUUUUGAUUAUUUCUCCCCAUGAACCACAAUGAGUUCAUGGAACUACAAACAACAUGGGAAAAACGCGAAAGACUUGAAAAGGUAGGUGUGCUGGAUAUAUUUUAUUCUCCACUCUUUCACCUUACUUAGUGCCCCAGGAAGCUGAGCCAUAUGGACUAUAUCCAAUGGGUUUUCUGUUGCCACAUGGGUUCCCCCAAUGGGAGGUACCAGAAUAUGAGGGGAGUUGCCUCCUCAGGAGGCAAGAGGAGAGUUAGGUUAGGGUAUUUAUUACCUCAUCUCUCCUUCCAGGUCAGUAUGAAUUGCUGCCUUCCUCUACUGAAGGCCCAAGUUCCUGUCAGGCAGUCCUUGCCACAGAAUUACAUCCUGGUUCCAGGAAUCUCUUUCUUCUCUUCCUCCUCCAGUCCUGAGGAUAUUAACGAGCCCUGCUUCGUACUGUGCCCUAUGUACCACACUUUUCUUUCUUGGUUCUCUUAGGGAAUUCUCACAGAUUGGUGUUUUACGUGGUAGGAUAUAUGAGCCUGAGGCUCAGGAUAGAAGUUCUAGAAUAAAAGUGUAGAUUGGUAGUUGAAGUUGGGGUUGGUGUGCAGAACCAGAACGGAAAAUGGCUGAGGAGAGAAGGUUAGAGAGGGCUCAUAGAUUCUCUAACGGAUGCCUCUUGCCAUAUUAUCUUCUUCCCUUUUUAUCCAUGAGUAUUUCUUCCAUUCAAGAAUGUGUAUAUAAUUGCUAAGUGAUAGCCAUGAAAGAAACAAGUGAUUCUUUAAUGGGCAAAAGCAAAAGUAAAAAUCUUUUUAAAAAGUUCUGAUCCAUAACAAUCAGUCAUGGCAUAGGUGAAUCUGUCUAAUAACAAGUUUUAUUAUAAAUUCUUUAACAUGUGCUAUGUAUUUAGAAAAAAGAAAUGCUUUAGCCAGAGUCCCUUUCCGCUUAUAACAUUUCUCACUGGCUGCUUCAAUUGUUUUCCCCUUUUUGUGGCACAUUAAUUCGAAUGGAGCAGGUCUCACUCUUCAUGAUAAUUGUCAUUUAGUUGGAUGUUAAUUAUUUUCACAGGUAGAGUAACCACAGGACCAACCAUUUUUCACAGUUUCCUUUAUUGCUCCGGUAGUCCCAAUUUCCAUUUAGCCAUAAAAGAGUUUUAAACACUUGUGAUUUCUUUAACACUGACCAGCUCCCCUUUUGAGAAAAAAAACAUUAUUCACCUUUCCUCCCAGUGUUUCAUGACCAAAUUCUAAAAUGUGUCCUGACUGCUUCCUUCGCUAGCCAAGACAUUUGAUAUUCCAGUCAUAACAACACAUUAAUUAAUUCAGGUUUUAUAAAUUAUGUUCCUGGCCCAAAUAAUAAUAGCAUGAGUGAAGAUGGCACUUUUUGUAACUGGGUUUGUGGUGGUUUUUUGUUUUGUUUUUUGUUGUUGUCGUCUUGUUUUGUUUUGUUUUUGUUUUUUUAUGUUUCUACUGGGUGUGUAUUCACGUUUACUUCCUGGGAAUAUUCCUGCCUUUAGUCCCUCACUUCCUGCUUCACUCCUUGUGAUUUCCCCAAUGACCAAGUCUCCGUUUCAAUGGUAGAAUAAAAUGGGACGCGUAGUACUGUAUGUAGCAUGUGUCAUUCAUGUGUCAUUCAUCAGAUUCCAACUCUGAGUUAAAGAUCCACAGCCAUGAUGGAACACGGUUCAGCUUGACCACUUCAUCCCCAUGAGGAGUGUUUUGGUCUUUUUUUCCCCCCUCUUAAGGAGGCAUACUUGGCUCCGUUAAGCUGUUGGAGUCCUAGAAAGUAUGGCUACUGGUCUGAGCAGUUGCUUUUGCCAAUGCACUAACAUUUGGGAUAUUCUGUAUGUCCUUUGGUGCUAGGUGUUUUGGGGGGGAUUGUCUGUUGGUUUGUUUGGUUGGUUGGUUUUAAUACUCUCAUGAGACUAAGUUGAUAACAGUGAGGACCUGUUCUUUUGAUGCCUGAAUUUCAACUUGGCACAUUAAGCAUGUGUUAUCUACGCAAAGUGUUAUAAAUUGCCAUAUGAACACUAACUGUACUUGUAGGCAUAGAUAGCGAGUUUUUAUUUUAAUUUUUGUCAUACAUUUUAUUGUAAAAUAAAUGGGUAUAAUGCGUCAACUGAUAAUUAUUGAGCACCUUAUUUCAUCCUUACACUCCUCUUGGUGUUAGAAGUAGCUCAGAAGGAAAAAUUCUCGGAUUCUCUCUCCCCUCUGAUGUAGAUUUUUGGUGGGAAAAGGAGAGAUACUAUAAUUGUCAUCAUAGAGAGUAGAAUUUAAAAAGAGUUUUGAACAAGGGGGGGUGAGCUCGUGAAAAGAAGGAGUCUAUUUCAGGAUUCUGGAAUGGCAUAGAAUAUAGCAUAUGGCCUUUACGAGAAGAAAGAGAAAGGAUUGUUAGUCAGUGGCCUUUUUGUUUUGGUUCUUCCUUAGUUUUUAUGCAUUCUUUUUAUGUACUAUUUCUUUUCUGUUUGAACUAUUUUCUAGAUGAUCCUUAAUAUAAAUGUACUGUUUAGGGGGAAAUGCCAACUCUUAGUCAUCUAGAAAAGCUGUUUCACUCUGACCUAAGAUUAAUGGGUAUAGAUAGUAACAGGAAGCCCAGAUUGGAAAUAGAUCUGGUUUUGGAAUUCUCCAUUACAGAACACCAAUAUAUUAAAUAGAUAGAAGUGGAGCUUAUCAGUUGCAAAGGAGACAGGAAGCCUCUACCCACACCCCACACCCCACAAACGCCCAGUGGGUUUGAAAAUUACUAAUAUACUCCCUUUUUGGUUAUUUGGCCGUCUUCAUAUUAUCCUUUAUUAUUAAAUAAAUGGGGACCGCUGACACAUGAGCCUUGGCUCACCUCCCUUUGCCUGUGGUUAUAUAGUCAGUUGCCAGGGGGGUUGUUUAAAAGGGUAACCUGAAGUAACAAAUUAAUGCCUGCACGGAACAGAGAGAGGGAAUGGAACCAUGAGAAGUGUUUUUUCCUCUUCUUUUGUUAUUAUGACACCCAUUUUAUCAGAAGGUGUGUGCAAGCAGUAGCAUGAUGACCCCUUUUCCUGCCCACGCUUCAGCAGACAGUGGAUAUGUUCUACUUAGAGGCUACGUCUGAGAUGAUGGGAGGUGAGCCCCAGGACCCACUGCCCAGGACUGCCUGGGACUGUACCCUCAGGUCUCCUCAGGAGCACCUAACCGAAGAAGUCCAUAUUUUGGCCUGGGUUGACAGCCAUCUUGGCUGGCCCUAUAGACCAAGUGCCAAAACACCACUUUAAUUUGUGCUGAGUAGGCAAUACUGUAAGUCAGGAACUCACCAGGGCAGGAAGCCAGAGCUUUGAAUGGCCAUCUCUGUGACUUUUCCAGCCCAUCCAUUGGAGGCAGCUCACUCCCAUCAACACAAAAGCUGUCAUUAUGCUUCCCGCCACCCCAAAUAGUCUGUUAAGUAAGGAACCAAGAGUGUCAUUAUUGACGUGGUACUCAGUAUAUUCUGAUUUCCAAGUGUUGACUUACUCCUGGUCCACUGGAAGAUGAACCAGAAGUAUAGAGUUAAACAAGCUGACAAAGACAUAAGUCGGAGGAAAAAUACGAGUACAUUUCUCUGCUGUGCAAGGACAUCCUUAGUAUUAUGAAAAUAUUGGAUUGUUCUUGGACUACUGGUUAGUAACACCCAAGAAAUAAGUGAGGAUCUCUGAAAAAUGAAUAACUAGCUCAGGAAUACAUAUAUUUAUCUGGGAAAGCCACAAAGAGUAUACCAGGACUACAAGUCUCCAUAAUAUAUUAAACAUCUAGUAUCUUUACCCUCAGUCAUUUGAGAAGGUUUUCUUUUUCUUUUCUUUUGUUUUUUUUUUUUCUGAAUAUACAAGAUGUUUUGUAGAAUUCUGAAACUGUUUAAAAAUAUUAUGACCCCUCAGCGACUUGGGUUACUUCAUAAGAAAUCUUCAUGUCUAGAUCAAAAUGUAAAGAUUUUAUUGAAGCCACAUCUCUAAUUAAUCAAACCAUGUUAUCAAUCCAAGAAUUAUUAAAUCAGUUCACUCAGAAGUCAAGUUAAUUUUUGAUACCUAAUGAACCAAGCUAGAAAUUUAAUAACUAAAUAUUUGCCAUUUGAUCACCCAUUUUGGAAACAUAGCAGGUCCUUCCUUAUGGUUGCUUGAUGUAAUGCAGUCUCUCUGUUUGAGGGCACAUCUUGAAACUGAUGACACUGGUGUCAUUAAAAAAAAAAAAAACCUUUCCAUUUUUCUUGUGAGAUUUUGACAAAUUAUUUGUAUGCUAAUGGGAAUGAGCCAGAUGAAAAGGAGGAGAAAACUAGGAGAGGGACAUCCUGGGGUAGAUGAGAAAAGAUGGAACCCUAUUGAAUGAGGGGGACGCUGUCCCUGGUUUGGAUGUAGGGACGUCAUCUCUGGUAGCAGCAUGCUAGGAGAUGCUCUGAUGCUCGUAGCUGUUAAAUGCACAGUGGGAGCAUGUGGACGUUUCCUUUCAUUAAUUUCUGUUUUCUCAUUGUAAGAACAAGGGACAGGGCCAUCUGCUGAAAGUGAGAACAGGUGAGGAAGUCCUGGGGGGCAGGGGGAGAAGAGACACCAGUGACCCGAAACAGUCUUCUCAUGGGGAUAGGACAGAGGUGAGCCACCUGCUGUGUCCUCAAUGCAUCUUCAGUUGACAGCAUUAUUAUUAUUAUUAUUAAGAACCUGUGUGUCACUCAGUCUAGUCUGCCUGUCUCAGUUGUUCCCUUGCCUUUGAAAGAUGUAUGGAAAAGGGGCUGAGAGAGUGUUUUUAUGUUUGUGCCCUGGAGACCCUGCACCUCUUCUAGGGUAGGACCCAGUGUCACAAGAACAACGGUGACCCAAGUCCUGGCCUCUCUUCCUCUCGCCCCUUUUCUCUUCUCUCCCCUUCACCUUGUCUUCCUGCCACCUUCCUCUUACCCUCUUCUCUGCACUCCUUCCCUACCCUCUUUCCUCUAAUGGUGUUCUCUCUACACAUCUUUCAGCUAAACAUAAAAUUGAGAAUUCACCCACAAAUAAAUGUAUAUAGCUUAUAACCAAGUAAAUAUGCAUCUACUACUAAACUAAUUUUUACAUUAAAAUAUAUCCCAAAGUAAAUAAAAUAAAAUAAAUAAAAUAUAUCCUAAAGUAUAAAUUUUAAACAUUUUUAAAAUACUUGUUUCUUUUGAGAGAGAAUGCACGCACAGGCAUGCGCUAGCAAGGGAGGGGCAGAGAGAGAGGGAGAGAGAGAAUCCCAAGCAGGCUGCAGGACUCGAUCCCAUGAACCUUGAGAUCAUGACCUGAGCUGAAAUCAAGAGUUAGAUGUUUAACAAACUGAGCCACCCAGGUGGCCCUAAAGUUCACAUUUUAAAGGGGCCUAUAGGCUUCCACCCAGGAUAAGUGAUUUGGAUGAGGGAGUAACAAGGAAUUUGUUCAUUGACAUAAGGGUGCCUGAGAGAUGUGGGUACCAAUAUCAGGUUCUAGGAUUGCCAGUCCUACAGGCCCCGUCUGAGCUCUAUCGGAGUGGAAAUAGGGACAUUGAUGAUGGGAUUGUUGGGAGAUCUUUACAGUGUCCCCAGAAUGUGGAAGAUGUACUUAAACAUAGUCACAGACACCAGGGCCCACAUUUGCCUGGAGAUCUCUGAAGUGGAUGAUAAGGGACUAGAGCAAACAGUGAAGAUGAAAUGAAGGAUGGGGGCUACCCCACCCCAGUUCCUGGAUGCCUGGUGUAGUACAGUCACUGUCCCCGUGGUUCCUGUGGCUCCAGGUUCAGGGGAGCAGACAGCACAGGCAGGGCAGGAGCUGUGUGGGUGUCCUGGAGCCUGGCCACUGAGCACUGAGGCACUCAGCCCGAGAAGAGACGGAGCGAACUAUUGCCGGUGGCCAAAGACAGACAAGAUUGCUUCUCUAUAACUGGGUCUUGGGGGAUAGAAAGGGCUAGAAUAAAGCGGCUCACUGCCUUAGAAAACCACCCACAUCAUCCACACAGGGACUGACAUGUUAACAGAGGUUGCCAGAAGCCCAUGGAAUGAGCCUGAAGCCUCGUACAUAGUUCAGGUAUAAAAAACUGUGCCAGAGAAUCUCCUCUUUCCCUCUUCUCUUCUUCUGACUCAUCCCACUCGAGAGGAGCAAGACCCUGGGCAAAGUGGGAAGGCCAGCCCCACGACCAGAACGCCCCACCCCCUCAUUCCAAGGUGCUUGAGUAGGAGUGAAAUCAAGUAGUCAGGACCCCGCCCUACUCAGAAACCAGAGAUACAGUCCCUCUUGGUGAUGAGGCAUGUCUUAAAGUGGAGUGGGACAUCACAGUAACUGAGACCAUCUGGGAUCUCCCUAAGAUAACAUUAAAGAACAAUUUUACCAAGCAUGGUUGGGUCAAUGAUGAACAAAAUAUUUACUAUUUCAUGUUUAAAGCUCACUGGGUUAGACUCAAUAAACCAGUUGCACAAGUAUAGAACUAAACCGAGCUUAGAACCAAACUUUCAAAUGACCGUCCUUUAAAAUGCUAUCCCAACAUACUUUUAAAAUGAUGUGUCUUCAACCAAGUUGUUUCCACUACAAAUAUUUUCAUUGUAUAUAUAUAUUUUUUUAAUUUAACUUUAUUUUUUAUUUUUUUAAACUUACAUCCAAAUUAGUUAGUAUAUAGUGAAGCAAGGAUUUAAGUAGAUUCCUUAAUGCCCCUUACCCAUUUAGCCCGUCCCCCACUCCCGCAACCCCUCCAGUAACCCUCAGUUUGUUCUCCAUAUUUAUGAGUCUCUUCUGUUUUGUCCCCCUCCCUGUUUUUAUACUAUUUUUGUUUCCCUUCUCUUAUGUUCAUCUGUUUUGUCUCUUAAAGUCCUCAUAUGAGUGAAGUCAUAGGAUUUUUGUCUUUCUCUGACUAAUUUCACUUAGCAUAAUACCCUCCAGUUCCAUCCACGUAGUUGCAAAUGGCAAGAUUUCAUUCUUUUUGAUUGCCGAGUAAUACUCCAUUGUAUAUAUAUGCCACAUCUUCUUUAUCCAUUCAUCCAUCGAGGGACAUUUGGGCUCUUUCCAUACUUUGGCUGUUGUUGAUAGUGCUGCUAUAAACAUUGGGAUGCAUGUGUCCCUUAGAAACAGCACACCUGUAUCCCAUGGAUAAAUGCCUAGUAGUGCAAUUGCUGGGUCGUAGGGNAGAUUCCUUAGUGCCCCUUACCCAUUUAGCCCAUCCCCCCUCCCACAACCCCUCCAGUAACCCUCAGUUUGUUCUCCAUAUUUAUGAGUCUCUUCUGUUUUGUCCCCCUCCCUGUUUUUAUAUUAUUUUUGUUUCCCUUCCCUUAUGUUCAUCUGUUUUGUCUCUUAAAGUCCUCAUAUGAGUGAAGUCAUAUGAUUUUUGUCUUUCUCUGACUAAUUUCACUUAGCAUAAUACCCUCCAGUUCCAUCCACGUAGUUGCAAAUGGCAAGAUUUCAUUCUUUUUGGUUGCCGAGUAAUACUCCAUUGUAUAUAUAUACCACAUCUUCUUUAUCCAUUCAUCCAUCGAUGGACAUUUGGGCUCUUUCCAUACUUUGGCUAUUGUUGAUAGUGCUGCUAUAAACAUAGGGGUGCAUGUGUCCCUUCGAAAUAGCACACCUGUAUCCCUUGGAUAAAUGCCUACUAGUGCAAUUGCUGGGUCGUAGGGUAGUUCUAUUUUUAGUGUUUUGAGGAACCUCCAUACUGUUUUCCAGAGUGGCUGCACCGGCUUGCAUUCCCACCAACAAUGCAAAAGAGAUCUUUCUCCGAAUCCUCGCCAACAUCUGUUGUUGCCUGAGUUGUUAAUGUUAGCCAUUCUGACAGGUGUGAGGUGGUAUCUCAUUGUGGUUUUGAUUUGUAUUUCCCUGAUGAUGAGUGAUGUUGAGCAUUUUUUCAUGUGUCGGUUGGCCAUCUGGAUGUCUUCUUUGGAGAAGUGUCUAUUCAUGUCUUUUGCCCAUUUCUUCCCUGGAUUAUUUGUUUUUUGCACGUUGAGUUUGAUAAGUUCUUUGUAGAUUUUGGAUACUAACCCUUUAUCUGAUAUGUCAUUUGCAAAUAUCUUCUCCCAUUCUGUUGGUUGCCUUUUAGUUUUGCUGAUUGUUUCCUUCGCUGUGCAGAAGCUUUUUAUUUUGAUGAGGUCCCUUCAUUGUAUAUAUUUUUUUUUUCAUUGUAUAUUUUUAAUGAAAACAAAAAUAUUUCUGUUCAAUUAAUAAAUAUAAAAAGUAGUAUUUUAAGAUAUUGUUUCUUUUACUGUUUCCUCAAUCUGUAAGAUUCAUACUUCGGAGCAUAUUUUAAUAUCAAAAUUAGGACAGUAGCAGAUGUAUGUUUAUUCAUUUUUUAAUCAAUUAUAGAAGUUUAUUGGUGAGUAAAUUCUCAAACUUUUUAACAGAGAGAGGUAUCUAAAUACAUUUUGUUAGAGAAAAGAGUUAGGAAAAGGGGCCCAGAAAACAAGCAUGAAUGGAAGAUAGAAGGAAAGAAAUGUGAAGCAGAAAGGAAUUCACAGGAAGGCUGACCAUUUAUAUGUGGAGGGGAGAGGCCAGGCUGGGCAGGGCCAGGUGGGGUGGGGCGGGGCAAGGAGGGGAGGAAGGAGGAGGACUUGGGUCACCAUUGUUCAUGUGACAUCAGACCAUUCCCAAAAAAGGUUCAGGGUCCGGGGCAUGAACAUAAAAAUAGCUUCUCAGUGAACUUUUUUAGACAUCUGUAGAAGAUAAUAGGGUCUCAGGCUAUACUGAGGGGCAUAUAGCCACGUUUUAACAACUCUGGAGUAACAAUAUUAUUGUCCGGUGAAUGGGUGGUGCAGGGUAGAGUGGUAGGGGAAGGGGAAGAGAAAUUUAGGUAAAUUUAGAUAAACUCUAAAUAAGAACAGAAAGCCUAUGCCAUGGUCUCAGGGGUCACCUGUUAGGCCCUUCAUAUUCAGAAGGUGAAAACAUCCUUUCAAUUCAAAGUUCAUGGAGAAGUACAAUUUUUGGAAGAAUAAAAUCUCAUUUCCUUAGAAGCGGUUUGGAAAACAACACAAAACUUACAAGAUAUGCUUCAUCUGCUAGAGCAUGGCAUUGUACGGGGAGUAAACAGCAGCACCGGGUUACAAGAGCCAGUAAAGGUCUCAUGAAAAUCUACAUUUAUGCAAAGCACUUUCUGUACUCCUGAGAAGCCGCCUCCAACUGACUCAGAGUUCACUCGCAGAAAAAUAAUUAAAUCCCUGAAAGUCAACGAGGAUUUAUUAAGGACUGAAAUGAUUCUCUACACGGUAGUAGGAACUCUGAUGAAGAUAUAGCCCUUGCUUUCAAAAGAACUUCACCACUUGCAGGUAAAUUGAAGAUAGAAGUCACAGCAUAGCUUAAUACAACUGGAUUGUGAUAUUACAUGGAUGAAUGAGAGAAGGGAGCAGAAGUGGAGCAGGGAAAAAGAGAGAGAAAAUUACUUUUGAGGCAAAACCUUGUCCAAGAGUUCAAGAGGAGCAAAACAAACAAAUAAACAAAAACAAACAAAAAAAAAAAAAAAGGGAGGGAAGAGAGCAGAAAGUCUAGACCAGAAGAAAAGAAAGAAAAAAUAAAAUGGGAAUACCCAGAGUAAUGGAGACCCCUGACGCCUCACAUCUCUUUAUAUUUCCAUUAAUUAAUAUACUUAUGGAAUAAGUGUCUAUCUCCAACACUUGGUGUGGGCAUAGUGAUAGGGAAUGAAAAAGAGAGUUAAAGAAAAUGUGAUCCCUAGCUUGAAAGAACUUGAAUGCAGGGGAGCAAAGGAGUAGAGCGAUGGUUACCUCACAGCGGGUGAUGGAUGUUUUGCCUGAAAAAGGCUGAUGGGAGCUCAGGAGGAAGUUAAUUGACCCACAAGAGCUCUGUGCUGCAGGAUCUCAGAUGUUUUGUUUUCAAGGAUGAAAACUUAGGGAAGAACGUGCUGAAAUUAAUGGAUGACAUUGACUUUUCUUUAUUCGAAGCAUAAUUCCCCACUAAGCUAGUUUAGACAGAUCAGCUGUGGGCUCAUCUGUUCGUACCUAGAGGCAUGGUGUCGCUAACCAGGGAUCACAGCCCUGGUCUCACCUAAGAGUCACCUGACACUGAUGCCUGGAUCCCACGGUAGAACAGUUAAAUCAGAGUCACUUGGGUGGAACCCGGGAAAAGGCAUUAGUUAAAAGACUUCUCCAGAUGAUUCUAACGUGCUUCUGGGGUUGAGAACCAGUGCCUACACACAGACCUGGACAGACUCCCGCUAUAACAGUUUACCCAGGUUUCUGACUUGGUCCCAGAUGUUAUAACAGAAACAGCCUCUCCUUUCGGAGGCACUUGGGUCCCCUCUUGUACUUCGUCUCUGCACACUGCACUGUUUAGUUGAGUCCAUUGAUGAAAUAGAUUAAAAGAAAUUUUUAAUACAUUUUAUUUUGUGGAAAAUUCUUGUUUUAAAAGUUUGGCCCUCUGCUGCUGUGCCAUAUAUGUUGGCCAAAAUAUAUGACCAGUUGGCAUAACUGGUCAACUAAUUCCUCCCCAGGUAAUAUUUCGUGCAAAAAAAAAGUAAAUUCUGACAGUGUAACAUUUACAUGGGAACAUGAUUUUCAAAUAAUUAAUUCAUAUCUGUUCCUGGCAAUCUCUAAGAAAUGGGUAAAUAUAUCUACGCAUCAAUGUAUAUUUUCCAAGAGGAUUAGGAACAAAUUAAGAACAUUUCUAUGGAAUAAUCUAUAGAGGAUCGCUGUGUAACAGAACACUUCAACUCCAGCUUCUUCUAUCGAUUUUAACUCUUUCCCCCCUGUAGAUUUUGUAGGCAAUGAAGACUAACCCAAAUCUUGACAUUCUGUGACCUCUGUGAGCUUUCUGAAUGCUGCCUGGAUGUUUCGUGUUAUGGUCUUCUGUCGGCCUUGGCAGUUUAAGGGCUGGAAGCAAACCAGUUUUCAAUUGCCUGCCUGCAAAAAAUACCCAAAAAUAUUACGAGACCAGUGAGCAUUGCCAAAAUGUUUUCUUCUUUCUUUGUCCAGUCUCCCACAAGACAUACAAGCUUUCUACUUCCUUUCCCUUUGCAGUUAGAAAAAAAAAAAAAAAAGGAGCUGAAGAGUCCAUUAAGAUAGAAUUGUCCCUUUCUUCACGGGCUCUUAAUCAGAGUAUAACUGUCGUUUUGACUCUUCAGCACAGGCAGCCAUGGAAUUGGUCUCUUUUCUCUCUGUAACAUCUAUUCAGCUGGUUUUUUUGUUGUUUUUUUUACCUCUCCUUUCUGACCAGUGGGAAAACUACAUUUAAUAAAACAAGUGGAGUUUAUUAAGAGUGACCAAAACUAAUCGCAAUUAAGCUUUUUUACCUUCUGAAACACUGAAACAUAAUUGGAACAGAAUACUUUCUGGGUGUCAUAGAAUCUCACAGAUAUUGGAAAACUUGUUGCAUAAGAGUCAGUGUUGAUGCGAUGCUACAGAGGUCGUACUUUGUUUCAGUAAAACAGGUAUAAUAUGGAUGGGGGACUUUCUACGUCAAGAAUGAUAUUAAAGUAUAAUAAUGAAUUAUUAUGAUAUUGAUAUAUGAUAUUGAAUUAUUAUGAUGCUGAUGUAUGAUUUUGAAUCAUGAUGUUGUAUGUCUAAUAUACAUACAUGUAUGUAUGAAGCUAAUAUAAUGUUGUAUAUCAGUUAUAGCUCCACAAACAAAAAGAAUUUGUCAGUUACAUCUCUAAAACAAAGAAUUAUAUUAAAGUAUAGAAAUUUAGGGGUGCCUGGGUGGCUCAGUCGGUUAAGCAUCCAACUUCAGCUCAGGUUACGAUCUUGUGGUCCGUGAGUUACGAUCUCGCGGUCCGUGAGUUCAAGCCCCGCGUCGGGCUCUGGGCUGAUGGCUCAGAGCCUGGAGCCUGUUUCCGAUUCUGUGUCUCCCUCUCUCUCUGCCCCUCCCCUGUUCAUGCUCUGUCUCUCUCUGUCUCAAAAAUAAAUAAACAUUAAAAAAAAUUUAAAGUAUAGAAAUCUAUAAAUUAAUUCAGAGAGGCAGUGAACUUUUUUUUUUAAGUUUUCUUUUCUUUAUUUUGAAAGUGAGAGAGCAAGUAGGGGAGGAGCAGAGAGAGAGAGGGAGAGAAAGAAUCCCAAGCAGGCUCUGUGCUGUCAGCACAGAGCCCAACGCGGGGCUCGAACUCAAGAAACGGGAGAUCGUCACCUGAUCCGAAAUCAAGAGUCGGACACUUAACCAAGCUGACGGAGCCACCCAGGCACCCGGCAGUAUGGUGAGCUUUGAAAUGAUGACAAAUGAAUAGCGAAACAGAAGCAGUAGUGUUUAUGACGGUUUAUACAGACCACAUGGUCAAAGUGCUUUCUUUUUUUUUUUUUUCAACGUUUAUUUAUUUUUUGGGGGGGACAGAGAGAGACAGAGCAUGAACGGGGGAGGGGCAGAGAGAGAGGGAGACACAGAAUUGGAAACAGGCUCCAGGCUCUGAGCCAUCAGCCCAGAGCCUGACGCGGGGCUCGAACUCACGGACCGCGAGAUCGUGACCUGGCUGAAGUCGGACGCUUAACCGACUGCGCCACCCAGGCGCCCCUCAAAGUGCUUUCUUAAUCUAGGUGUCCACACUGCUACAGAAACAGCAUAUAUUAAGAGCGAAGGAAUUCAAACAUCUCCAUAUCAGUUACGACUCAAUUUUUGCCAAAUGGAAGCCAUCUGAAAGGAAAUGUCUUGUUUUACUGUCACCUACAGAGUUCAGGAGUUGAAGAAGUGGAGAAUGGACUGGCUCCUCUGGAUUUACUUCUCAUUGACCAAGGCACACUGAUCGGUGACACAAAAGCAAAAAGAAAUUGGCAGAGGGAGAGGCUGUGCCAUUUUAAUGAGCAAAGGAAAUGUCAAAACAGAAGAGGAAGCAGCAGUAAAAUUGCAUGUCCAGCUACUCGACAAGAAGAAAUAGUUCAAAAUAAACGGAGGGGUCCAACAAAUAAAACGAGGACAGUCUAAUUAAAAGAGAAAUUAAAAAGAAAGAGAAGCUCCUACAGACACCCAAAUGAAUGCAAAAGGAACUUUCAUCUGAGCCCAUAUCACAGUGGAAUCAGCCCCCCGUGUCCAGCCACAGACACUUAUUACAGUGGGUUCAUGUGUUAAAGGGAACCUUACGAUACAUAUACGAACUGGGACGUGAAACACAAAGACAAUGAUGAAUACAAAACAAUGGCAUGUUGGAAUCGUUGGAGUAGUAUUUGGAGGGAAAAUACCUAAAUGAACUAAGAUGUGGGGGGAAAAAAAGGGUGAAAAUGG